AAAAAGAAAGGGUAUAAUUAAUCAAACUGAUUUGGACAAUACCACACGAUUUUUUUUUUAUUGACAAACCAACAUAAACAAUAUAUUAACGUAAAUAACGCAUUCACAUAUAAUUGUUUUAUUUAAUUAUUAAGAAAGACGAAGUACAUGGACGGUGGACACUAAGAAAUAUAAUCUCUUGUAUAUCAAGAGAUUUUAGAGGUUGAAAUGAACUAAACUGACCCUCACACAAUUAAUUGACAGGUAAUAACAGUACCCAUCCUUUUAUUAACCAUAAUGGAAAAGAGUAAUACUGCGUGCGUGCGUGAGCUUAUUAACCAGUGUGGUCGGGAUUUCUUCCAUAUUGAGGGACAGCAAUAAGAUCAAGAUUGUCAACUGUCCCGUCCUUAUCAUCAGCAAUACCAUAUACAGGUACUGGAGUACCCUCCAACCAUUCAUUCUUACCUGAAAGUUUAACAUUAGAAAAUGGAUUCAUAAAUGCUUAUAUUAAUAUAUGAAUUGUAAAUGAUAUCCAUUCAGCUGAAAUUGGCUAAAAAACCUGCGCAAGGAAAAGGAGUUUCCAUAUUCUUCAAAUCAGAAAAGAUCUCCAGGUGAAGCGUAAUCAAAACUCAAAAAUAAGUAGAGCUUGAGCGUGUUCUUAGUUCUGGUUUGAUCUGAUAUAUAUAGAUUCAAGAAGCCGAUGUUGCCGAGGUGUGGGUGAUUGUGACGUAGCAAAACAUAUAAUAGUUAUUUAAGAUUAACGGCCAUGGCUAAACUGCACGUCGAAACGUGUUAGCAUGGGUCCAUAAAAUAAAUAAUUUUAUCUAAUUAGGAGAGAAAUCGAUUCAGUAACAAGCUGCUGCUUGCACUUCCUAGAAAUUUUAAAUUUAUGAAUUGAAAUUACUCACGCCUUUUCUUGUGUAGUUAAUUAUGCAUACAGUUCAAGCUGAGGGAUACUGAUGUGAAGUGUAGGGACAUGGAUAUAUACUAUCGUUUACAUUAUUUUACAGCCUUGAUGUAUUAUUUUAUUUGGCAAUCAUAUAGUCACUGUCUGCACUACACUUUGUCUUCCCUACACUUGUCUCCACUUGAGUAUUCUUGAGUGGUAGCUGAGUCACAAGUCACCUUCUCAUGUCUGCUGGGCUUGCCUGUCGUGCUUGAUUUACUUUGUUCUAACACCCCGGCUCAAUCUCAGUUUUCUUAGCAUACUCUCAGGUCAUGUUUGGUUUGUAAAAAAUGGAGAAGAGGAAAAGUGUGGAAUGGAGAGGAAGAGAAAAGAAAGGAAUGGAGAAAAGUAGUAGUGAAAUCACAUUUUGUUGAUUGGUUUGAUAUAAAAUUUAAUAAGGAAAUGAAUUAUAAUUUUUUUCUUUAGACUAAUUUACAAUUUACCUCAAAUAUUUAAUUAUUUAUACUAGUAAUAAAAUAUAUAUAUAUAAAAAUAAAAUGACGGUCCGGUGGCCGGCGGUGAAGGUCCGGUUACUUUUCGGCGAACGUCUGGCAUCUUUUCGGCGAAUGUCCGGCAUGAUUCCGGCGAAGUUCGGUGGGAUUCCAGCGAAGUCCGGCAGCUUUCCGGCAACAUCAGGCGACUUUCUGGCGGUGAUCCAUUUAUGAUAUUAAAUCAAUAAAAUAAAAUUAUAAAUACUAAUUAUUAAUGAUAUUAAACAAAUUAAAAAGUUGAAAGGUAAUUUUAGAAACUUUAGUUUCUAACUUAAGAGGAAUUUAAAUUUUCACUACUUGGUGUGGAAUUCAAAUUCUACAUUAUGAUGGAUAUUAAAUUUUAAUGGAAAUUAAAUUCUUAUAUAUUUUGUCAAACCAAACAAUGGAAAUGAAAAGAGAAUUUAAAUUACUUUCCUCUUCUCCAUUCUCUCCUCCCAACCAAACACCACCUUAAUUUAUUUGUAUGGAAUUCAAAUAGCUCAUGUCCCAAUGCCUUUGUCAUAAUGUCCGCCACUUGCCUUUUACUCAGCACAUAUUUAAGAAUUAUUUCUCUUUUCCCGAUUUUUCAGUGUAAAUAAAUUAAGCCAAUAUCUUGAGAAUCCAAGCGAUACAUACAGUAGAAUUUGAAAUGGUGCAAGACCUAAUCAAGUUUGAUAUUUACUAAGUUACAGAGGCCAUUGAUGACAUACAUAGGAAAUUAUCUGUAAUUGUUGCUUGACUCCCACGUAUGUGUGUACAUAUAGUUCUUUUCAAGUGAGGGCAUCCUCAUUUUGUUAAAGUGAGGAUGCCCUCACUAGAAAAUUCCAGUAGUGAUAUCGCUGUUGGAUUUUUUAAUCUAGUAUUGUUGGAUCCUUAAUCCAAUACUGGGUUUAUAUGUGAAAAUUUUAUAUAUUGCAGACUGUCAUAUAAGAUUAAGUACAAUUAAAAGUGAACUAUUUAGGUUUUCGGUGCUAUGGACUUUAAUGUGUCUAAUAGGGUGUGAGCUUUAAUGUGUAGAGAUUCAAUGAUAUUUUAAUUUUAUGAUGGACAUAAUUAGAAAUAUCCAGUGACAAUAAGAAAAUGUUGUCUAUAUAAGUGGUUAUGGUUCCCAAAUCACAAGUAUGUUUCUAUUCUAUAUUGACAUCUCAUCAUCAGAGAGAGAGAGCGCAGAGAGAAUUAAAGGACUUUCUAUUCUCUUUUUAAGUGAGGAUACGCUCACUAGAAAAUUACAAUAGUGAUAUCGCUAAAAAACCUAUUUUAGAGUUUGAUUAUUUGAACAAGUAAUUUUAAUUCUGCUUGGCUAGAAUGAGAGUAGUAUGUUAUUAGUCUUUCUAUUUAUAUUUAGGUAGAAUUCUAUUUCUAUGUUUGAGUGUACAUUGCCUGGUAGAUUUACUCAAUUACAAAUCACGUGGUUACAUAAUAUGUUUGAAAACCUCUAAUUAACAAAAUUCUUAUUUUAUUUUCUUUCGUAAUAUGAUUUACCUAAGUCUCUCUUAUAAAAUCAUUUGCAUUAAAGCAUCAAUUAAUCUCAUUACUAUGAUGUAUUAUUUGUCUUGGACUUCUUAUUUUGGUCUAUCACUAUAUUACUUACCUUGGGCUGUCUCACUAUUUUCGCAUAAUAUUAUCUGCCUUGAGUCAUUCAUUUUUGUAUAGAGUGGUUAUAUUAUCUCAUCAGUUUUUAUAUUAAUUUCUAUUUUGCCGCUGUAUGAAAUUACUUGUUUUGGUGAAUUACUAUAUUAUUUCCCUUGGGCCGCCUCACCAUUUUGUUGCAUAAUCUGCCCUGGGUCAUUCAUUUUUGUAUAGAGUGGAGAUAUGAUCUCAUCAGCUUUUAUAUUAAUUUAUGUUUUGCCAUUGUAUGAAAUUAUGAAAAAUGGAUAUUGAAGAGUUUCUUGCCACAAAUUGAACCUGCAUCUCUGGUAAGCAUUACUCAUGCACUUUCGCGGAAAAGGCAGUAAGUGAAUGACCUAAACUCAUGGUUCAUUUCAUAUUAUGGAGUUUCUUAAUUUCUUCAGGAUUAUUUCGCCUGGAAUUCUCCAAAAAUCCACUGCUGAUAGGGUUGGUGCUUGCCACAUUGCCUUUGCGGCUGGUAGUGGCUUGUAUGCUUGUUGGAUUAGUCAGAAAAUUCAAUUGGCAUUGGUCACAAAUUUUUUUAUUCAAAUUUUUAUUCGAGCUGAGGGAUACAUAUAGUAGUAGACUUCAUAUACUAUGGGUGCGUUUUUGGGAUUGAGGUUGGGUAGCUGUGACUUUUAAGUUAGAGCACUAAAGUGUUUGGUAAACACUAGCUGUUGUACCUUUUAAGCUAUAUUAAUAUGAUUUUUUAUUUGUAUAAUGAAAAAUUUAUUAUAUCUUUAAUUAUUAUUUAAAAUUUAUAUUUACUAUAUAUUAUUAACUUUUGUUUGAUAGUUACUAUUUUUUUUUUAUAACAAUUGUAGUUUUUAAGUUACAGCACCUCAAUUCCAAACAAGACCUAUAUUGUCUUUCUCAUAUAUAUAAAAUAUAGUAAGAGAUAUAUAUUGCUUUCAUAUAAUUCUCAAUAUCAUAGGCGGUUAACCUGGACUCUUGGCCUAAAGACAAUAUGAGCAUGAAACCAUUUCGCGUGGGUGAUCAGUUAAGCCACCAAUGGGCUAUAAACAGAGCUUCAUUCAAGAGAGUUAAAGGUAUCCCAAGUUCUGAAAAUUGAGAGCAAGUACAAGUGAGCUUUUGCAGAGAAUUUUGAGAGUGUUUUCUUAACUAUUCUAGCGGGUAUUAUAUUGGGUGUAUUUAGGUUAUCGAGUUUUGAGAAUUAUUCCCGUUCAAAGCCCAACCCCAAUUUCAUGAACCUAAAUAAUAAACCAAACAAAAGAGAAUAUUCUCUCAAUUUAUCUAGAAUUAUCUUGGGUAAUAAUAUCCUGAAUAAUUGGCGCUGUGGCAGUUUUAAAAAUUUGGUGAUUGUUAAGAAAUUAAUGACAAUAAGUUUAGGAUGUCGUUACUUGUUAGGACCUGCAUUUAAAAUCUUAAAUAUUCGUAAUUAAUUAUAAAGAUCUUGGUUCACAUGCAAGCUACAACAAUUAGCCAACAAAUAUAUGGUAUUUUUGACAAAACUGUGCAAAAAGAAAGAGAAUAUAAUCAAUGAAACUGAUUUGGACAAUACCACACGAUUUUAUUUUUAUUGACAAACCAACCUAAAUAAUAUAUUAACGUAAAUAACGCAUCCACAUAUAAUUGUUUUAUUUAAUUAUUAAGAAAGAUGAAGUACAUGGACAUUGGACACUAAAAAAUAUAAUCUCUUAUAUAUCAAGAGAUUUUAGAGAUUAAACUGAACCAAACUAGCACUCGCAUGAUUAGUUGACAGAUAAUAACAAUACCCAUCCUUUUAUUAACUAUAAUAUAAAAAAGUAAUAUUGUGGGUAUGUAUGUAUUUAUUAACCAGUGUGGUCGGGAUUUCUUCUAUAUUGAGAGACAACAAUAAGAUUAAGAUUGUCAAAUGUCACUUCCAUAUCAUCAGCAAUACCAUAUACAGGUACUGGAGUACUCUAUGACCGUUCACUCUUACAUGAAAGUUUAAUAUUAGAAAAUGAAUUCAUAAAUGCAUAUAUUAAAAUAUGAAUUGUAAAUGAUAUCUAUUCAGCUGAAAUUGGCUUGAAACCUGCGCAAGGAGGAGUUUCUAUGUUCUUAUUUCUGCUUUGAUCUGAUACAUAUAGAUUCAAGAAGCCGACGUUGCCAACGUGUGGGCGAUUGUGACCUAGCAAAACAUCUAAUAGUUAGUUAAAUUCCACCUGCGACACGUGGGAGCAUGGGUCCACAAAACAAAUAAUUGGAACUAAUUAGAACAGAAAUCGAUUCGGUAACCCGCCGCCGCAUGCACUUUCUAAAAGUUUUAAAUUUAUGAAUUGAAACUACUGACGCCUUUUUAUGUUUGGUUAAUUAUUCAUAUAGUUCGAGCUGAGGGAUACAUACAGUAGUAGACGCCGUGUACCAUGUUCUCUUUCUCAUAUAUAUAAAUAUAGUAAGAGAUAUAUAUGGCUUUUAUUUAAUUCUCAAUAUCAUAGGCGGUAAACACGGACACUUGGCUUAAAGACAAUAUGAACAUGAAACCAUUUCACGUGGGUGCUCAAUUAUAUAACUUUCAUCCUUCUUAUGGAAGUCAGAAGAGGUGUGUACCUACCACAUCAACCGUGUCAAGCGAAGAUAUUGGACAUUUAAUAAUGAAAAAAUUAGGAAUUUUCAUGGACACACCAGUAGGUUCCGUAAAUAUAUAGAAUCAAUUGAUUCUAGGUACCUUACAAUGUGACUUAUUAUUUUUUUUUUUUUGUCCCUAAAGAUCCGGACUAUUUUUGAGGAUACUGGCCGUUGAGGCUUUGUUUAUAAUUGUGCAAGAAAAUGGAAAAGAAUGGGCUAAAGCGCAAAAAGUAAAGCUAACAGUUGUUUAAUUUAUUUUUUUAAGAUUGUUUUGAUGUGGAAUUUGAUUUGGGAACUUUUUUGUAAUUACAAGAAACAGCCACACAGGGUGACAAUUAUGGCAUUCUUUCGUCAAUUGGAUAUUAAUAGUACAAUGAGGAUGGCUAAAUGCAUAAUCACCCUAUUAAUCUUGCAGUCCAAAGCAAAAGCAAUAGCAUUACAAACAGUAGAACUCUCAGAUUGAUUCACUGUAUCUAAACGAUAGGUCAUCUGAUUACUAAACUAUCUGACGUAACUGAUUCAGAAAUUUAAUUUAGAGAGGAUUUGGUACAAAUAAAAUGAUUCACGAGGCGCGUUCGAUGGUGCAAGUGAUCGGCGGCAACAACAAGCAAGUAAGGUAAUGAUGAUGUAUAUGUUGGAAAUAUGACUUAAUAUUGUUUAUUAAAAGUUCAAAACAUGAAUAAUAGUUGUUGGUACUGUUCACUUAGCAACAAUUGUAAAUUUGUCAAGGCGUGUUCGAACUGUCCUUAAAACAAAUUUAAGCUCUUCUAGAAAGAUUUCUCGAUGCAAAAAGGAUAUAAAUAAAAUGGAUUGAGCUCCAUGAUACAAUGAUAUUGUUGCCAGGUUGCACUCCAAGUACAAUAGUUUAGAAAAGAAAAAUUAAUGAAGAAACUAUGAGAUAGAAGGAGAGGAUAUAGUGGCUGUGCCUUGAAGACUUUGUAUUUUAAAAUACCAAUAAAACUCGAAGAAUAAACUUAAAUAAUUUUGAUCAAGAUUGCACUUUAAGAUGAAACACUAAUUAGAGGCCUUUAUGUAUAACUUAAUAAUUUGAUAAAUAACUUCGCACUAGCAAAGCCAAGAGUUUCAUUUAAACCCCUAAGAUUCAAAUAUUCUUUCACCCUUUACUACUGGCAAAAUUUGGCAAUCGAUAUUUCGGAAGACAUCACACAUGUAAAAAAAAAAAAGGAAAAAAAAAUAGCUAGUCCCAUCAAAAUCACCAAAUGCAAUCCAAUAACAUGCUCCACUUAAGUAUAGACUUUCAUGAGAAUCGACAGAAAAAAUAAAUAAUAAUAAGUUCAUUUAGUUAAGCAAAUAACAGUUUGUGAUUGUUCUUUAACCUUAUUAAUAAUCUAAUUCUUAGUUUCUUACUAUUGUUCUUUUACUUGAUUAUGUUAUCCCCUAAAUCUUCAUAACAUCCAGAUUAAAUUAUUGAGAAAUACGAAAGCGGAAGCGUACCUGAAUCCAUGGUGAUUCGUAGUGGUUCUUGAGUGUAGGAGAUGGACUUCCAAUCUUCUCUUUCUCUUGAGUUUAGAAUUCUCUUUGAGAGGAUUAGAGAAUUGCAAAGGAUUAGAGAGAUUGGGGACCAUAACCCCUUUUAUAUAAAUACCGUGACUAUUGGUUUUCUUUUAGAAAACCCAACAGUCACGUUAUUUAUGAUAAUAAUUAUCACUUCAGCCCCUCAUUAAAGUGAUGAUUAAAUUCUGGUAUCUAUGCAUUUAAUCCACAACAAUUAUACCCUUAGCCAUUUAAUUAACUUCAAAUAGAUCACUUAAUUCUUGGCUUAUUAAAUAAUAGCACACACAUUUUAUUUAUUUCAUGUGUGGCCCCAAAUAUAUUAGAUUAAUAUAAAAUUGAUCUAACAAUCUCCCACUGGGCCAUAAAUGAAAACUGAAAUGUGUUUAACUUAAUGAGCUCAUAAAAUUGCUAUUAUGUCCUUAGAGUAUAUCUGAACAAUCUAGUUCAAUAACCACAUCGGUAUAUGAUCAUAUCGGCCUUUGUUACAUUAAUCGUAACUCAACCAUCCAUGGUCACAUAUAUCAAUAUAGUUACAUGACAUAGAUCAAUUGUGGAUGCAUAGCAUGGAAAUUACAUGCAAUGUGAUCUAAACAUGUCUAUUCCCAACUGGUCCUAAUUUACUUUAUUGAGAUCUAAACUUAAGUUAGUCUAACAGAGUGUAAGGAACUGAAAUACUUUAUUUCUGCAGAAAAUAAUCCGAAUAAUAUAAUCAAAAUAUAAAAGUCACACUUAGUAAUUAUACAAACUCCCACUAAAUCUGAAUAUCCUCAAGUAAAAUCACACCCAUACGAGCAGUGUGCUCAUGAAAGACUUUAGGUGGUAAUCCUUUAGUGAGCGGAUCCGCUAUCAUGGAGUUUGUCUCAAUGUGCUCUAUAGAUAUUUGUCCACUCUGCACUCUUUCCUUCACAACAAGGAACUUGAUGUCAAUGUGUUUUGACUUUGUAGAGCUCCUGUUGUUGUUGGAAUAUAAAACUGCUGACUUAUUGUCACAAAAUAUCUUGAGCGGUCUUUCUACACCCUCUAGAAUGCGCAGCCUAGUGACAAAAUUACGCAGCCAUAUUCCUUGAUUGGAUGCCUCAUAACAUGCUACAAACUUUGCUGCCAUAGUCGAUGAAGCUACAAGUGUCUGCUUGGCAGAUCUCCAAGAAAUUGCUCCACCAGCCAACAUGUAAAUAUAGCCUGAUGUGGAUCUUCUGCUAUCUUGGCAUCUAGCAAAAUCAGAGUCAGAAUACCCAAUGAUCUCUAACUGAUCUGACCUCCUAUAUGUGAGCAUGUACUCCUUUGUUUUCUGUAAGUACCUCAUAACCCGUUUGGUUGCUUUCCAAUGAUCCAUCCCGGGAUUGCUCAAAUAUCUGCCCAACAUGCCAACUAUGCACGCAAUAUCUGGACGCGUACGUACUUAAGCAUAUAUAAGACUCCCUAUAGCUGAAGAAUAAGGAUUCUUCUCCAUUUCCUGGAUUUUAAGAUUGGUCUUAGGGCAUUGACUAAGGCUGAAUUUAUCUCCUUUGGCGACAGGGGUGUUACCUGGUUUACUGUUUUGCAUGCCAAACCUCUUCAAAACUUUAUCGAUAUAGUUCCUUUGUGACAAUCCCAGAAUACCCCGAGAACGAUCCUAAUGUAUCUCGAUUCCUAAAACAAAGGAGGCAUCACCAAGAUCUUUCAUCUCAAAAUGUUUUGAUAGAAAACUCUUGGUGUCGUGCAGUAUGCCUAUAUCAUUUGUGGCAAGCAAUAUGUCAUCAACAUAUAAAACCAGGAAUAUAUGUUUACUCCCACUAAACUUGUGAUACACACAUUCAUCAAUAACAUUUGCCUCAAAACCAUAUGAGAUAAUUAUUUGAUGAAACUUAAAGUACCAUUGACGAGAAGCUUGUUUGAGCCCAUAGAUGGAUUUGGUUAGCUUACAAACCAUUUUCUUUGGGUCUCCCAACACAGUUUUUUGGUUGUACCAUAUAAAUUGUUUCCUCAAUGUCACCAUUAAAGAAAGCAGUCUUAACAUCCAUCUGAUGUAACUCAAGAUCAAAAUGUGCAACAAGUGCCAUAAUUGUCCUAAAAGAGUCUUUCGUAGAAACCGGAGAGAAAGUCUCUUUAUAGUCAAUUCCUUCCUUUUGAGUAAAGCCUUUAGCUACAAGACGUGCUUUAUACCUUUCCACAUUACCAUUUGAAUCCCUUUUGGUUUUAAAUAUCCAUUUACAACCAAUGGGCUUCGCACCGGAAGGUAAUGAGAUGAGUUCCCAAACUUUAUUGUCUUGCAUUGACUUGUACUCUUCAUUCAUGGCUUCGAUCCAUUUAUGAGAAUUGGAGCUUUGCAUGGCUUGAUGAAAGUUAAUUGGGUCAUCUUCCAUCACUCCAGUUUCAUCCUCAUGUUCCUGAAGAAAUACUAUAUAAUCAUCCGGAAUAGCAUUUCUCCUUUCUCUUGUGGAUCGUCUUAAUUGCGCAGGCUCUUGAGGUUGUUGAGUUUGUUCCUUAGGAACAAUCAUCUCAUGUUGAUUCUGGGGUUGAACAACAUUGUCAGAUGGUUGAGGAUCUGAAUUUACUUCAUGAUCAAUGACAAGUAUUAAAACUUGUACAUUGUCAAAAGCAACAGUGGAUCCCUCUUCCUCUUCAAAGACAAUGUUUCUUACUGGAUUUCUCCCCCCAAACUCAACAUCCUCAAAGAAUGUAGCAGUUCCCGUCUCAAAAAUUGACCUUGUACUGGGAUCAUAAAACUUAAAACCCCUUGAUCGCUCUGCAUAGCCAAAAAAGUAGCUGCUUACAGUUUUGGAAUCCAAUUUCCUUUCAUGAGGUCUAUAAGGUCUCGCUUCAGCUGGACAUCCCUAACUAUGUAAAUGGUUGAGACUAGGCUUUCGACCCGUCCAAUGCUCAUAAGGUAUUUUAGCAGCCGCUUGAGUUGGCAUUCGAUUUAGGAUAUAAGCUGCUGUUUUUAGUGCUUCACCCCAGAGUGAUUCUGGUAAAGUAGAAUGACUGAUCGUACUCCUUACCAUAUCCUUAAGAGUGCGGUUUCGUCUCUCAGAUACACCAUUCAUGCUAGGCGAUCCUGGCAUAGUAUAUUGAGGGACAAUUCCACAUUCCUCUAGGUAUUUAGCAAACGGUCCUGGACGUUGUUCUCCUGAACCAUUAUAUCUACCGUAGUAUUCACCACCACGGUCAGACCUGACAUUUUUAAUCCUUUUGUUGAGUUGUAACUCAACUUCGGCUUUAAACGUUUUGAACACAUCCAAAGACUGUGAUUUUUCAUGAAUCAGGAAUAUAUAGCCAUAUCUUGAAUAGUCGUCUAUGAAUGUAAUGAAAUAUUGUUGACCAUUCCAAGUAGCUGUAUGGAAUGGUCCACAAAUAUCUAUAUGAAUUAAUUCUAAGACGGCUGAUGUUCUGUAGGCUCCUAAUUUCUUACUUUUGGUUUGUUUUCCCUUGAUACACUCAAUACAAACAUCAAGGUCUGUAAAAUCAAGAGAUCUUAAAAUCUCAUCAGACACUAAUCGCUCAAGUCUAGCUUUAGAGAUAUGACCUAAACGUUUGUGCCAUAAUGAGGCCGAAUUUUCUUUCUCUAAUUUACGUUUUAUACCUCUGGAACUAAAAUGCAGGUUUUCAUUAUAACUUGAAACAGUGUGUAGCAAAUAUAGAUUGUCAUAAGCAUUAAGCAAACCGGUUCCAAUAACAUUAGAAUUGAUAGAUAAACUAAAUUGUCUGUUUACAAAUGAACAAGAAUAACCAGAUUUGUCCAAAACAGAAACUGAAAUCAAAUUUCAUCUAAAAGACGGAACAACAAAAGUAUCUAACAAAUCCAAAUAACAACCAGUUUUCAUAAGUAAUCUAAAAUGCCCAAUUGCUUCAACUUCUACCGUCUUACCAUCUCCUACAUAAAUGCAUCUUUCAGCAUCACUUGGCGGCCGGUAGCUCAGGCAACCCUGCAGUGAAACACAAAUGUGAGUAGUAGCACCCGAAUUUAUCCACCAUGUGUUUCUUGGUACUGAAGCGAAAUUAGUUUCAGAACAAACCAAAGUAAGAAAUGUACCUCUCUUUACGCGCCAUGCGUGAUAUUUUUGACAUUCCUUCUUCACAUGUCCAGGCUUGCCGCAGAAGAAACAACCAUGCUCGGCCUUUGGUUUCUUUGGCUCUGGACCCUUACAAGCAGCAGCUUCACCCUUUUUCUUUCUUUUGCCCUUAUCUUUAAAAGUGCUUACGAUAUGUGCAUAUUCGGAUUUCUCUUGCUUCAGUCUCUCUUCUUCUUGCACACAAAAGGAAAUCAGUUCAUUAAGAUUCCACUUCUCUUUCUGACAGUUGUAACUAACUUUGAACUGAUUAAAUUGUGUUGGGAGAGAGAUAAGGACCAAAUGCACAACCAAAUCAUCAGAUAGGUCGAGCCCUAAUGCCUUAAGCUUAGAAGCAAGAUGAGACAUCUCCAUGAUGUACUCUCGAACGUUUCCCUUGCCUUUAUACUUCAUUGAAAUCAAGCUUGCUAAAUGCAUACUUGUUUCAGCCUUAUCGUUUUUUGUAAAACGUUUAUGAAUUUCGGUAAGAAACUCACUAGCACUUGUAACCUCAUCAGUUAUAGCACUCCUAAAUACUUCUGGAACACCGCGCUUCAUGAUCAUAAGACUCAUCAUGUUAGAUCGAUCCCACUUCUCAUAGUACAACACAUCCUCAGAUGUACUAUCAUCAGUGAGUUCGUCUGGCUUAGGGUGUCUGAAUGAUAAGUCUAGAUCCAUGCAGCCUAAGAGAAUCAUCAUAUUCUCUUUCCAGUCAAUAAAAUUAGUCCCAUUUAGAACCGGGACACUAUUCAUAUUUGCAGAUAUAGAAGUCGCAGAUAGAAAAGCUAAAUAGAGAACAAAAAAAUAAAAUAUAAAUAAUGCUCACAUUAAACAACUCAAUUAAUAAUCUUUAAAAAUUUAAAAACAAAUUAUAACAUUUCAAGAUACCUAGCACAACAUUAGUAACAAGUCUUUGGACUAUAAUACUAACUGUAAAUGGUACUCUUGUUGCAAUGAUCAAAUUUUGACAAUAAAUUAUGUCAAGUAAUGAACCAAUCUUUGGAUUAGUACAUUACUCACAUUAAGUUAUCUUAAUAAUCGUCACAAAUUUACCAUCACAAGUGUGUGUGCAAUUAGGCCAAAUAUUAACCUUCCUUUGGGUCGAUUAACAUCCGCAGGAAUUACACAAACACAAACAUCUAACACCCCAAAUAAACUAAUCUACACAGGAGAUAUCACUUUGGUGACUUCCUGCUUUAAUUAGCAUAUCAUCAGUGUUAGACCAAUAAUCAUUUUAAUUUAAAGAUUAUAAAACCAUAACCGAAAUAAUUAAUAAAACCGAAACCGAAACGUGGUCUAACCAUAACAAUUACAAAAUUCCAAGCAAAAUGAUAUUAAUAACUCAAUAAUCUAAUCAUGGAUGGGGCUCUGAUACCACUUGUUAUCCCCUAAAUCUUCAUAACAUCCAGAUUAAAUUACUGAGAAAUACGAAAGCGGAAGCGUACCUGAAUCCAUGGUAAUUCGUAGUGGUUCUUGAGUGUAGGAGAUGGACUUCCAAUCUUCUAUUUCUCUUGAGUUUAGAAUUCUCUUUGAGAGGAUUAGAGAAUUGCAAAGGAUUAGAGAGAUUGGGGACCAUAACCCCUUUUAUAUAAAUAUCGUGACUAUUGGUUUUCUUUUAGAAAACCCAACAGUCACGUUAUUUAUGAUAAUAAUUAUCACUUUAGCCCCUCAUUAAAGUGAUGAUUAAAUUCUGGUAUCUAUGCAUUUAAUCCACAACAAUGAUACCCUUAGCCAUUUAAUUAACUUCAAAUAGAUCACUUAAUUCUUGGCUUAUUAAAUAAUAGCACGCACAUUUUAUUUAUUUCAUGUGUGGCCCCAAAUAUAUUAGAUUAAUAUAAAAUUGAUCUAACAGAUUAUAUUGUCGAAUCUUUCUGAAAAAGAUUGUUUUUGUAAUUGAACUGUUUAAAGUUUAAACAAAAAAAAAAAGCACUAAAUCCAAAUCAAAUAUAAAUACAAAUCCAGGUUCUAAAAAAAUCAAGUACAAAUACAGAAUCUAAAUUCUAAAACUUAAAGUUUCCAAGCGAACAUCAAGGAAUCAACAUCCCACGAAGCAACACGAACGGCGAAGGCGAGCUAGUUCAACCUGUAUCGGGGCUGGUUACUGGUCGCGAUAGCAGCUAGUGAUGAUGAACAUUGAACACAGCCACAAUCACGAUUAGCGAAGGUGGCGUUCAACUCGUAUCACAACUUGUUACUCGUUGUGACAUAGAAGAAGAAAUGAUGGCUAAUGAUGAUGAUGAGAUUAACACAACCGCAAAGAUAGUGAAGUGAUGACGACGAUGAUUUAAUUUGAUGAAAAAAACACCUGAAAAGAGACAGACAGGAAAUGUUUGGCCUUGGCAGCCGCAGUUAUGAAUGCAAGUAGGGCACUUGGGCUUUUUUUGUGUUUUUCUAUUUGUAUUAUAUAAUCUAAAAAAAUUAAUAUUAAAAUAAAAGCUUCCGGGUCUAGAUUCUGUAUCUAUGGGUUCAGAUAAACCCAGACACGGACUUGGAUACGUCUGGGUUCAUUAAAUUGCAUCCGAAUUCCAUAUAAAAUUUGCUCCAGUAUGGGUUGAAGCCAGCCUAUUCUCUGGGUUCAUCUAGGUUUGGGCGGGGAUCAGAUUGAAUUGGCAUCGCUUUUAUGUCCAAAUUAUCAAUAAGAUCCUUUGCUGUUAGUAAAUUCCUUUAUCAAAUGGUUUCAAUUUUGAACAUAUUAGUCCUAUUCCAAUUUUCAACCGUUCCCAAUUUUAUAACUCCAUUUAUUAGUAACAUUGUCUUAAAAGUUCAUCAUUGCACGGCACUAGAAUGAUUAUAAGGUUUAAUAUUUUUGAAUUAUGAAGCUCGUUCUCAGUAAGACAAGGCUAUUUGCACUCUAAAACUUAGUCUAAACAAUCUAUCACCUUGGAUACUCAUGUACUAAAUUUAAAAAGAUUAAGUUUUAUUUUCUUCACACUUUAAAAUACCUAAAAAGACCUUACUGAAACUCGCUAAAUUAAUUUACUCAAAACACCAAUCAAACUAUUUAGCACAUCCAAAAUGAAUUAGUAAUAAUUUAGAAUACACUGCAAUGGAAUCAAAGUAUGUUCUAAAGAAAUUUUUUUAACAUAAGUUUUAUUUAUUAGCUUUUGUUUAUUAAAGAAUAUGUUCAGCAUUGGUUUUUAAACCCCAAACUUUUAACCCAACAAUUGGAAAAAAUGGUUAUUUGGCCCAAAAAGGGAAAAAAAGAAAGAAAGAAAGAAAGAAAGAAAGCAAGCAAGAAAGAAGAAAAGAACACAAAGAAGAAGGAGAAGACUGCAAAAAAUAUUUUUAAAAAACUAAAAGGCAUAAAUAUGUUCAAAAUAUAUUAAAAGUAUUCAUUUGCUCCUAGCUCCUAGUUUAACUAAAUAUUGUUUAAGAGAUUGGAAAUAAAAUUUCUAGGGCUUAUGCCAAAAGAAUUAUAUAUUCAAUAAUGAGUGUGCUAUAUGAGUAUUUAGAGUAAUUAUAUAAUGUUAAUUUAUAAGAAAGAGUCCUUAUUAGUAAUUCAUAUGAUGUGUAUUUUUGUGAUAGAAUAAUUUAUUAAAAUAAAAAUGUGCAGAAUAUUUUUUGUAUUGUAAAUAUGUAAAAAUUCUCACCCUUCUCAAUAUAUUGACUUGAGUGAUAAUUUUAAAUUGCAUCAGAAUGAGCUAAAAGAAGAGGAAUUGUCGAAAUUCAGCUUAUGGCAAUUGAACAAUUAAUGGUUAAGAAAUACAGUAAAUCAAUAAUACUAAAACAUAAACAUAAUAAGAGAUCUGGGAUCUAACUAAUAUAUUGAUUCAAGAGUGACUAAUUAAAUAAAACUUCUUGAAAACCACACCUGCACAAGUCCAUGUGGGUUCUCAAGUUCUAUGUUAACUAUUAUUCUUCUCGGCAAGUAUCAUUCUUCUAUUGGAGAUGCCAUUGUUGCAGAAUAGAAGUCAGUUGAAGCUGUUAAUAUUAUGAUUGAAGUUUAUGCAAGUGCAGAUUGCAGACAGUAGAUAUCGACUUGAAGCCUCAUGUAAGGAAAUAAAGGUUGGUUUUCAACCAAAUAUGACGACUGGGACAAUGUCGGGUGGUUAAGGAAGAUGCAAUGGUCGUCUCAAAAAAUUGGGUUUCAUUGGCCAGAUAAGACUAAGAUGUCAACUUUUUUUUUUUCGUUAAUAUGAUUAACAAUGAAAGAGUAAUUUUGAAACAUUGACUUGGACUUGUGAUUGUUAAUAAAUUUAUUACUUCUUUUCAUUAAUUUGACCUGCAUAACAAUUAAUUGAGUGAUUUUUAUUUUUCAAGAUACUGCUACUUGAAGAAAUUGUAUGAAUCAAUAAUUUAUCAAUGAGUAACGUUACAAUUUAUACAAGUUAGACAUACUUGGCUGAUAAGCCAAACACUAUAAGAUAAGUCAUAGCCUAUAAGAUAAAUACAAGCUAAGGUAAAGAGCUAUAAGAUAAGAUUACAAGUUAUUGAAACAGAGAGUAGUUAUCUAUGUACAUGUUUGGUUAAUACGCCCCUGCAAGAUAUGUGUUCCAUCUAGAACUCCUAGCUUGGAACGUGCAGCAAUAUAACGACUGCGAGACAGUGGUUUGGUCAAGGUAUCAGCCAACUUAUUUUCUGAAGGAAUAUGAGAAACACAAAGAAGACCUGCUGCAAUUUUAUCACGAACAAAAUAAAAAUCAAUUUCUAGGUGUUUCAUCUUUGAGUGAUAAAUCGGAUUUGAACAUAAGUAUGUCGCUCCAAGAUUAUCACAAUGUAGAACAGGCAUAGAAAAUUUUAUACCAAGUUCAUCCAACAAGUUCCUGAUCCAACAUAUUUUUGAAACAACAGCAGUUAUUGCUCAAAAUUCUGCCUCUGUAGAUGAGCGAGCAACAGAACGUUGCUUUUUGGAUGACCAUGAAAUUGGAUUGCCUCCAAAAUAAAUAACAUAGGCACUAGUAGAACUGCGAUCAUCAAGAUUUCCUCCCCAAUCAGAAUCAGAGUAAGCUAUCAAGGAAUGCGACUGAGAUGAGCGUAGAUGUAAACCAUGAAAAAUUGUCCCUUUCAAAUAUCUAAGUAUUCGCUUAGCAGCUUGCCAAUGAAUUUGUGAAGAUUGUUACAUGAACUGAGAUAAUUUGUUGACAACAAAUCUAAUAUCCGGCCGAGUUAAUGUUAGAUACUGUAAGGCUCCAAUAAGUUGACGAUAUAGAGUGGAAUCGGCUGGUGGUGCCCCAUCAUUUAAUUGAAGUGUAACUGAGGAGGAAAGAGGAGUACCAACUGCUUUAGCAUCAUACAUGCCAAAACGCUGCAGGAGGUCACGAAUGUAAGAGUGUUGUGACAAGAGAAUUCCAGUGGUUUGUUGAACAAGCUCAACACCUAAAAAAUAGUUUAAAGCCCCAAAUCUUUGAGAGAGAAUUUAACUGAAAGAGCAUCAAUGAAAUGAGAAAUAAAUGCAUUAUGGCUGCCCGUUAUAAUUAUGUCAUCAACGUAGGCAAGAAAGUAGACUCGUACACCAUUUGUGUUAUAAAUAAACAAUGAUGCAUCAGAUCGACAUUGAUGAAAACCAUAAGCAAGCAGGAAAUGAUGUAAAGCUGUAAACCAUGCACGUGGAGCCUGUUUUAAGCCAUAAAUUAAUUUAUUCAACCUGCAGACAAAAUUAGGUUUGUUAGAAUCAACAAAACCACUGGGUUGUUUCAUGAACACUUCCUCUUGAAGAUGACCAUGGAGAAAAGCAUUAUUAAUAUCUAGUUGCCAUAAGGACCAGCCACAUGCCAAGGCUAGGCAAAUAACCAAUCAAACUAUAGUAGGCUUAAUAACUGGAUUGAAAGUUUCAUGAAAAUCAAUCCCAAGACGCCGAUGGAAACCUUUAGCUACUAGAUGAGCUUGAAAUCGAUCAAUACUACCAUUGGGUUUCCUUUUAAUCCAAAACACUCACUUACUGCCGACAAGGUUCUGAUUAGGUGAUGGAGGUAUAAGGUCCUAUGUGUUAUUGGAGAUAAGGGCACGAUAUUCAGUAGUCAUGGCAGCAAGCCAUUGAGGAUCUUUAAGUGCCUGUGUAAUGGAGGUGGGUUCACAAGAAGUUGGCAAUGGAUGACUGAAGUGCACCUGUAGAUGGUCUAACGUGGAAGAAAUUUUUUUUUUGGUUUAUGGAUGUUAUUUUGGGAGCGGGUUGUCAUUGGAUGUGUUCGAACAAGUGGAUUUGAUGAAGAAUGAGGUUUAGAUAAGGUUGAAUAAGGAUUAUUGGGUUCUGGAAUGGUGGGUGGAAUUUCAAUGGAAUUAGGAGAUGAUAAGGACGUGAGGAUCUGGGAACUUAUGGUGGUGGGGCUAGUAUUUGGUGGGUAUGAUGUGUGGGGUCAAGAGAGUUCUCCUGGAAUGAACUUGGAGGUUGUAUAUUUGAAUUAGAAUUUUCUGCAGACAAAGAACAUGAGCCCAAGUGCAAUGUCAUUUUAUUAUCAGAUGAGGCAAGUGACUGAGUGGCAUUAGAAUUGGAAGUUGAAACGGUGGGACUAGAUACAUGAAACACAGGAGGAAGCCAAGACGCUAUAGGUAAAGUAGAGAAAGAAGACAAAGUAGAAGUAAUAGAGUUAUAGGGAAAUACAUACUCAACAAAUUGCACAUCUCGUGAAAUAAAAAUUUUCCCAAACUUUGGCUCCAAGCAUUUAUAGGCACUUUGUUGAAAGCAAUAUCCUAGAAAAACACAUGGAAGUGAACGUGGUUCUAAUUUGUUGUGAGUGUAUGGCCGAAGCCAUGGAUAACAAAGACACCCAAAUAUUUUUAGUUUAUUGUAAUUAGGAGUUUCUUUAAACAGUAAUUGGAAAGGACAUUGCAUGCCAGUGGCACGAGAAGGUAGCCUAUUAAUUAAAUAGACAGCUGUCUGGAAGGCAAAUGACCAAAAUUUUGGUGGUAAUGAUGCUUGGUGCAAUAGUGUUAUCCCGGUUUCAACAAUGUGUCAGUGUCUACGUUUAGUUGUUCCAUUAUGUUGUGGGGUAUAAGGUGGUGUAGAUAAAUGAGAAAUGCCACACUUAAGAAAAAAAAUCUUUGAGUUUAAUAAAUUCCCCACCUCUAUCAGUGUAAACAGAAACAAUAUUGGUCUUAAAAUAAUUUUCAACAUUGUUCUUGAAUUGAACAAAAGUACCAAAGACAUCAUAUUUGAAUCGCAAUGGAUAAAGCCAAAUAUACUUGGUAAAGUGAUCAACAAAAAUCACAUAAUAUUUGUAACCAUCCAACGAUGUAACAGGAGCAGGACCCCACACAUCCGAAUAAACAAGUUCAAGAGGACUACUACUUUUCAAUGUAGACUCUCCAAAAGGGAGGCGAUGACUUUUAUUACAUAAACAAGACUCACAUGAUGGAGGAACUAAAGACCCAGAAAUAGAUAAAUGAAGAAAACACAAAAGAUGAUUUAAAACUUCUGUUGACGGAUGACCAACACGCUGAUGCCAAAUGGAAGAUGAAGGUUUAAUAGUGACACAGGAAAGCGGUGAAGAUGAUUUGCUAAAGAAUAAAUUUGGCCACUCAUACACUCCAUCCUUAUUCUGGCCUUGCAAUAAAAUUGCCCCCGUGGUCAUGUCCUUCACCUGAAAAAAAUCAGGAAAGAAUUCAAUAGAGGUAUUAUUUGAAGCACAAAAUUGAGAUACGAAGAUUAGAUUUUUAUUCAUAGAGGGGACAUAAAGAACAUCAUGCAAAGAAAAUUUGGUAUGAGGGGAAGAUAAAGAUAAAGAUCUAGUGUGAGAAAUACUCAAACCUGUACCAUUUCCAACUAAAACUGAAUCAGAACCUUGGUAGGGAGAAGCAGUAGUUAGAUUUUUAAAAUCCCCUGUGACAUAAUGUGAGGCAGCACUAUCAACAAGCCAAUUUGGGGAAACCAUAUUGGAUGUAAUGGUGUGGUUUAACAUCAGAGUAUUUUUGCGAGAGGAGAAAACUGGACAGUCUUUGGCUGUGUGACGUUUUUGCUCACAAAGCUGACAAAAUCCCUUAUAGCCAGAUCAUUUCUUACGAAAUUGAGCAUUAUUAUUGGUGAAAUUUUGAUAGUUGGAGGCAUUAUGGGGUUGGGAAGAAAAUUGACCAUUAUUAAAUUGGCCAUUUUGAUGUGGCAUAGAAGAGCCACGGUUGCCUUGCUUGUGAUUUGCACCAUGCUUAUUAUAUUGUCGUUGUGUAGCAUUAGUCGUAAUAGGAGAAAUUGCCAUUGGAUCUGCUCGUUUCAAAGUUGCUUCAAAAUCAACCAACUUGUCAUAUAACUCGUCAAAGGAAAUAACAGUUUCACGUGUUCUUACCCCAACAAUUAUUUCUUUGAAUUCUGCGCCAACUCCAUUAGCAAUAUGAACCGCAAUAUGAACCACAAUAUCGUCAUCAAUGAUGGGUAUAUCAAUCAAUGAUAAUUCAUCAGUAGUAGAUCUUAGGGAAUUGAGAUAAUCUGCCACAGAUUGUGAUCCACGAUGGGGGCGAGCUAGACGCUCUUUUAGCGAAAACACACGGCUACGGCUAGGAUUGGAAUAAAGUCUUGCUAACUUAUCCCACACUUAUUUGGACGUUGUGGAACAAGCAAUCAGUGGAGCAACUCUUUCUGAAGAGGAGGCAAUGAUGGAAUGAAAGAUCAAUUGAUCUUGACGUUUCCAAUAAAGGUAUGCUGGGUUUGGGGUGGAUACAGUUUCACUGCUAGAGGCUAAUGUUGGGUCUGGACAUGGAAAGGAUCCAUUUAUGUAUUUGAUAAGAUCAUAACCAAAAGCAAGGGAUAAAAACUGAGCUCGCCAAGUAAAAUAGUUUUCUGGUGUAAGUUUCAAAGGAAGUUGUGCAACAACAUUAAUAGAGAUAUACCCAGUAGAUUGUUGGGUUGAUUGGGUAGGGGAAAUGGCUGUAGAAGUAGGUGUUGUUUGAUCAGCCAUUAUAAAAAAGAAAAAUGUGCUCUUUAGAGACUAGAGCUCUGAUACCAUGAAGAAAUUAUAUGAAUCAAUAAUUUAUCAAUGAGUAACGUUACAAUUUAUACAAGUCAGGCAUACUUGGCUGAUAAGCCAAAUACUAUAAGAUAAGUCAUAGCCUAUAAGAUAAAUACAAGCUAAGGUAAAGAGCUAUAAGAUAAGAUUACAAGUUAUUGAAACAGAGAAUAGUUAUCUAUGUACAUGUUUGGCUAAUACUACCCUCCCAAGUUCGAAUCUUCGGUUGAAAAUUUUGAUUUAAACUUAGUCUUCAUCCCUCAUUUAUAAAUAAUAAAUAAAUUAAUUAAUACAUAAAUAAAUAAAACCUACGUGAAUGUAGAAAUGAAUCAGAUGAAAAGUAAAUAUUGUAUAAAUACCCGCACAAUGUGGUUCAGCUGCAUUGAAUAUUAUGCCAAGAAUAUGCAAAUCUGUUGGUUAGUGUUGACUUUGAACUACCUGAAGUACACAAGGGACUUUAACAUAGACUUAAUAACCAGUGGAAUUUCUGGCAAUUUAAGAAAAAAAGGGAACUAAGAUUCAUUUUAUUAUUCUUCCUUCCUGAACCUUAACAAAGAAAUUAAUCACAAAAAUAGUUUUUUGAAGUCUUUAAAAGUAAACCUUUUAGGAUCUCUUCAGAGAGCCGAAGAAAUGAAACAUGAGAAAACUUUGAAGUGAAAAGUAAUUUGGAGCUUACACAUCUUGGCACUCUUAAUCGGUGAAGCAACUGUGAUGUAACCUAACAGAAUGAUUAGAAUUUUCUGAGUAUAUAUGUUAACCCAUCCAUCAUAUUAUCUAUAUGUGUAUUCAGCACAAACCUUUUAAUCUUGUAUAAACUUAAAAUAGAGAACUGUUAUUCGUUCAAUACUUGCAGCCUUUAGAAGCUCAUCAAGUCCUUCACAAGUCCCAUUGUCCACUGUCGCAAGAGUUUGUUAAAAUCAUGAAUCAGUAUUGUGAAUUGGUUUAGUUAUAUUCUAUUAAGUUCGUUGCUAUUUUUCAAAAAAAAAAAAGUUCGUUGCUGAGGUGGCUUGAUGAGCUGGCGUUUGUGGGAACCUUAGUGGUUAAGUUGUUACAACAGUCCUACAAGUUUUUGGAAUUAAAUAUAAAAGAAAGCAAUGCUGGCCGGUGCAGCACCUAAAGACAAGAUCUUGACUAACUUUGAGAUAAAUUUUGUUAAUUCUUCAUUGAAGGGAUUUAUUCUCUGUGAUCUCAAGAAUUGUAGUAAUCAAUAUCUUAAUAAAAGUUUAUUAUCAGCCAUGGAUACAGGUACUAUGGUACCAAACCACGUAAUAUUACAAUGUUCUUUUUCUCUACUUUUUUAGUUUCUUUGUCAUAUAUGUUCUUUGUUCUUUGAUCUAGUGUCAUUAAUUCUUUGUGCCAUUAAUUGGACUGGUUAAUUGGCUAGUUUGAUUAAGAGCCGAAAGAGAAGAAAAGGCCUUGAUUUAUAGAAAAUUGGUAUCAGAGCCUUGGAGCUCUUUGCUCUUGAUCUUCAAAUGGAAAAGUAUCAGAUUUGAUCUCAAAAAAUUCAAUGGUGAAAAUAAUUUCUACUUGUGGAGUCUCAAAAUGCGUGCAAUUCUAUUUCAAGAAGGGUUUGAUAGUGCUCUUGAUGAUGAUGAAUAUCCAAAGGAUAAGAAAGAGAUUGAAGAAGGUUCAUCAAGUUCUGGAGGAGACAUGGGGUCCAUUAACAAUAAGGCUCACAACAGCAUUAUUUUACAUCUUUCAAGUGAAGUGUUGAGAGAAGUGGGAAAAGAAGAGACUACUUCUGGUCUAUGAGCAAAACUUGAAGAGUUAUUCUUGAAGAAAUCUUUGGCCAAGAGGCUCUGUAUAAAGAGGAAGUUGUACACAUUUUCAAUAAAGGAGAGGACAACUAUGAAAGAUCAUUCGGAUGAAUUUAACAAGCUGAUAUUGGAUCUUAAGAAUGUUAACAUUAUUCUUGAAAAUGAGGAUAAAAUUCUUAUCUUACUAAGCUCACUCCUAGAUUCAUAUAAGCAUUUUGUGGGUACUUUGUUGUAUGGAAGACAAUCACUCACUUUGAAGAAUGUGAAAAAUGCAUUAGAAUCUAAAGAUUUAAAAAAAAGAACAGAAAUAAGGGAUCAAAAUCUUGGAGAGGGCCAUAGUUGUCAGAUUCAUAUUAGAGAAGAAAGCCAAUAAAGACAAAAAGAAUAAUAAUAAGAGGGAUAAAGUUGAUAACAAGAAGAAACAAAAUGCUACUUAUGUCAUAAAGAAAGACAUUAUAUUAAGGAUUGCUUUGAGAAGAAAAAGCUUAAGAGGCUGUAAAAGGAACCAAAUGGGAAGGUUGCCAUUGUAUUUGAAGAUAAGGGAGAUUCAGAAGGAGCAGAUGUCCUUAUUACACUGAAAAAUAACUUACUGGUGAGUGGAUACUGGACACUGUAUGUUUUUUUUUUCAUAUGUGCCUAAAUAGAGAUUUGUUCAAGACCUUUGAAAGCAUUGAUGGGGGCAAAGUCUUGCUUGGAAACAAUCUUACUUAUAAGGUUAUUGGAAUUAGAACCAUUAGUAUCAAGAUGUUUGAUGGGGUAACUAAAGAUCUAAAAUCAGUGAGAUUGAAAACUUUUUGUAUUUCUCUAUAUCGUAAAAGGUUACACAGAUUCCUCUUAUAGAGAAGAAUACAUAAAAUCAGGAAACUGACAAUAAAUUAGCUAUCUAGUUGUACUAGCUAUUUCCUAAUUUACACCAUUGACUUAUUCUUAUUUACAGCUAACAAUCCUCUCUAACUACAAAUAUUUUUUUCCUUUUCUACACUCCCCCUGAAGUUGGUUUGAAGAUAUCCUCCAUAGCCAGCUUGCCAAUUAGCUCGUUGAAUUGCCGAGUAGGAAGCCCCUUAGUAAGUACAUCUGCAACUUACUGAGUAGUGGGAAUGUUAGGCAUACAGAUUAACCCUUUCUCAAGUAUUUCCUUGAUGAAAUGUCAUCUUUAUUGUCAUAAGUAGUUGAUCUAAACUAAGUUUCUAUGCUGCUUCUUGCCACCACAUUUUGCUUUUUACUUCGCCAUGUAAAACGAUUGCCACCAAUAAACGUGCAAUAGCCAGAAGUUAAUCGUUUAUCAACAGCACUUCUAACCCAAUCCGCAUCAGUGUAGGCUUCAACUUGUAAGCGCCCACGAUUCUUGAAUAACAAACCUCUUCCAGAAGUCCCCUUCAAAUACCUGAGAAUUCUAUAGACUGCAUUGAAGUGUUCUUGUCCAGGGGAAGGCAUAAACUGGCUAACUAUGCUCACUGCAAACGCUAUAUCUAGACGAGUAUGCAAUAAGUAAAUCAAUCUUCCAACAAGUCUCUGGUAUUGUUCUCUGUCCAGGACUUCUUCAGGUUUAAGAGGCUAUAAUUUGAGGUUGAGCUCAAUAGGUGUUUGUGCUGGUUUACACUCUAGCAAGCCCGUUUCAUUAAGCAAAUCAAGGACAUAUUUACGUUGAUUCACAAAUACACCUUUUUUGGAUCUAGCAAACUUCAUUCUAAGAAAGUAUUUCAAUGUCCCUAAAUCCUUGAUCUCGAAGUCAGCUGCAAGUCUCUUUUUCAAAUUUUCUAGUUCUUCACUGUUAUGAUAUGUCAUGACUAUAUCAUCCAUAUAAACAAUUAGUGUAGCAAUUCUGCCUUCUCUACUAUGUUUAUAGAACAUAGUAUGAUUAGCUAGGCUUUGACAAUACCCACAAUUCUUUACAGAUUUCCUAAAUCUCUCAAACCAAGUUCCAAGGGAUCACUUGAGGCCAUACAACAACUUCUUUAGUCUACAGACUUUCUUUGAUCCCAAAUUCUUCUCAAAACCGGGUGGUAGACUCAUAAAAACCUCUUCCUUAAGAUCACCAUUCAAAAGGCAUUUUUUACAUCCAAUUGGUAUAAUGGCCAGUUCAGAUUUACAACCAAAGAUAAUAGAAUUCUAAUUGAGUUUAUCUUCGCUAUCGGAGAAAAGGUCUCCUGAUAAUCAAUCUCAUAGGUUUAAGUGAAUCUCUUAGCUACUAAUCUUGCCUUAAAGAUUUCUAUGCUACCAUUUGCUUUAUACUUCACAGUAAAGACCUACUUGCAACCUACAAUCUUCUUCUCUUUAGGCAAGUCAACUAUCUCCCAAGUACCAUUUCUCCUAAGAGCAUUCAUCUCUUAUAUCACUGCCAAUUUCUAAUUUGGAUCACCAAGAGCUUCUUGAAUGUUUCUUGGGAUAAAAACAGUGUGAGAUUUUUUAAGUAAAUGCCCUAUAAGUGUGAGAAAGUUUGUCAUAAGAAAGAUAUUGAGCAAUGGGAUAUCUAGGAUUCUUAGUGAGAUUUCGAAUUCCUUUUCUAAUAGCAACGAGAAUAUUAAGGGCUGAUGAUUCUUUGCUAGGGAAAAUGAUGGGAAUUGAAGAUGAGUUAGGAUUGAAAAUACCUGUGAUAUUUGCAGGUCCAAUCCCCGAGGGUUGUGAUUGCUCGUUACCAAGAGUAACUGGUUGCCUUUGACUUUUUUUAUGAUGUUUUCUCCAAGUAUAAACCAAAAGCUCAAUGUUAGAAUCAUUUUGAUCUGGCAGUAGUAGUGAUUCUCCCCAUGUUUCAGAUACAAUAAUGUUUGGCAUUAUAUUGCCAGAACUUCCCUCAUUAUUCUCAGUGUUUUUAUCAUCACAUUGUUCCUGACUUUGAAGGUCGGGAAUGGUAGGAUGAGAGGAAUGAGGUAUAGUAGUAAAAAAUACUUUUGGUAAAGAGUUAGGAGAUAUAUCCCAAAAAGUUUAUUCCAUUACCUCAUACUCCCCCUGAAGAGAAUUUUUGUGAAAGUAGGAUUUAUUUUCAAAACACGAGAUAUCCAUACUCGCAUAAAUUUUCCUUGUUUGGGGAUUAUAGCACUCAUAUCCCUUUUAUUGGAGGCAUGCCCUUGGAUCAAGUUUGGACUGAGUGUUAUUAGGUAUACGAACAAAGACAGUACAACAAAAAACUUUAGAGGUAAAUCUUAAUACAUUCUAGAUAGGGGAAAGCAUUUUUUAAAACAUUCUAGAGGUAUAUUAUAUUUUAAAACACAUGUAGGCAUCUUAUUAAUUAAAUAAGUUGCUAUUAAAAUAACUUCUCCCCAAAGAUAUUUUGGAACAUUCAUCGAAAGCAUUAUAACACUUGUUACUUCAAAUAAAUGUUUAUUUUUUCUUUUAGCAAUCCUAUUUUGCUGAGGAGUAUCUACACAAGUGGACUGGUGAUAAAUACCUUUUUCUUUCAAUUUUUUUUUCAAAAUACCUUUAUAGUACUCGGUUCCAUUAUCAUUGUGAAGAACUCUAAUUUUCUUUUGAAAUUGAGUUUCAACUAUUGUGUAAAAGUCUUUAAAAAAAUUUCCAACUUCAGAUUUUUUACUCAUUAAGUAAACCCAAUAUAGACGGGUGUGAUCAUUUAUGAAUGUGACAAAUCAUUUUUUCUUUGAAAUAGUAGUAACUCUUGAAGGUCCCCAAACAUCACUACAUAUUAAAUAAAAUGGUUUUGAAGGAAUAUAAGGUUUUGGCAGAUAAGUAGUACAAUGAAUCUUUGACAUACAACAACUUUCACAGUAAAAUGAUGAAAAAUCCAAACCCUUAAAUAAAGUAGGAAACAAAUGUUUAAGAUAUGGAAAGCUAGAAUGUCCUAAUCUUAAAUGCCAAAGCAUUAUUUGUUCAUAAAUAGAGUUAGAACUAACACUACUAAGGCCCUGAGCCUUUUUAUUCCUAGAGAAAUCAUCAUCAAAGUAGUAAAGGCCACCAAUCAAUUUAGCACUGCCAAUCUUCUUCCCCGAGGUUUGGUUCUAAAAUUCAAAGUAAGAAUCACAAAAAAUCACUCGGCAAUUAGAAUCUUUAGUUAUUUUACUCACGGUUAAAAGAUUACAAGCUAACUUGGGAACAUGAAGAAUAGAAUUAAGGUUUAAUUUUUUGGAUAAUUUAAUCAAACAUUUCCCUACUAUUGGUGAGAAAGUACUAUCUGCAAUUCUUAUUUUGUCAAGACCAUAACAUGGUGAGUAGGUGCAAAACAAAUUUGAAAGGUUGGUCAUAUGAUCAAAAGCUCUUGAAUUUAUGAUCUAAUGAGCAUAAUUUGAACAUAAAGAAAGAGCAUUGGGUGUGCUAUCUGUUUAUGCAAGAAAAACAGUAGGAAUACUACUUGGUGAGUAAUUGGGUUUUAUCAACUGCAGACGGUAAUCCAUCUGCUCCUUGGCGAAAGGGCCUGUCUCGGCUUCAUUUGCAGUACAAAUCAACCAGGUAUUUUUAUCACCAGGCUUGCUGCUCUUUCAAUUUACUGGUUUUUCAUGGAUUUUCCAGCAUGUUUCUCAGGUAUGACAUUGUUUGUUGCAAUAGUCACACUAUACCCGUAGCUUCUCUACAGUUUUAUGUUGAAAUCUGGCUAUUUUGUUAAAAACAACCAAUGCACUAAAAAGGGCAGAACUUUCAGUAGGCCCGUCAGUUGUCUUCUUUCGUAGCAUUAUAUGUAUACGGCUUUCUUCUCUUCGAACCUCAAUAAACACCUCGCCAAUUGGAGCAACUGGCUUUCUGCCAAUGAUCUGCCCCCGAACCUCAUCAAACUCAACGUUGACUCCUACAAGAAACUUGUAAAUACGAGAAGCCUCAACAAUAUUGUUGUAAUAUUUGGCAUCUUCUGUGGAUUUCAUUUCAUAAUCAUUGAACAGAUCUAAAUCUUGCUGAAUGGAUUGAAACUACCUUAAACAAUUAUCACCAUUAAGGUAAAUAAUGGUAAUUUGAAUUAGAUGAGUAUCAGUAUUGGGAGUUUGGGUUUGUGUUAGAGAGUUGGUUGAAGCAGAUAUAAUCAGUUGAUUAUGAUGGCUCUAAUACCAUGAAAACUUUUUUGUAUUUCUCUAUAUUGUAAAAUGUUACACAGAUUCCUCUUAUAGAGGAGAAUACAUAAAAUUAGGAAACUGAAAGAAAAAUUAGCUAUCUAACUGUACUAAUUAUUUCCUAAUUUACACCAUUGACUUAUUCUUAUUUACAGCUAACAAUCCUCUCUAAUUGCAAAUAUUUCUUCCAUUUUCUACAGAGAUAUAUGCCAGACCUUACAAGAAAUCGCAUGUAUCUAUGGAUGAUUGAUCAAUUGGGCUGUAGCAUUAAGGUAGAAUAUGGUCAAAUACAGGUUAUAGAUAAGGGUAUGAAGGGAAUUAGAAGGAAUGGUUUGUGUGUUUUGGUUGGGUUAUUACCUCAGCUAGGGAUAAAUGCUAGUGUAAGUAGUGACAAAACCAAACUUUGGCAUAAUAAGAUAGAAUAUAUAAGUGAAAAAGGUUUGAAAGAACUAAGAAAGCAAGAGUUAUUUGGUCAUAAUCAAAUUUCCUCACUAGAGACAGAAGUUCAGGACAGGAAGACAUGAAACAAAGAGACAUUGGAUUAUGUUCAUUCAGGUUCCAUCUCAUGGUAGAGCUAGGUACUUUAUUACCUUAAUGGAUGACUUCUCAAGGAAUCUUUGGGUUUAUGUGUUGAAACAUAAAAGUGAAGCCCUAAAGAAAUUCAAGGAAUGGACAGCCCUAAUGAAGAACCAAAUUGGAAGAAAAGUGAAGAGAUAAAGAACAGACAAUGGCCUGGAGUACUGCAACAGCGAGUUUGAUGAGUUUUGUAAAAAGCAUGGCGUUAUAAGGCAUAAGACAGUAAGGCAUACACCACAACAAAAUGGCCUUGUUGAAAGAAUGAACAGAACCUUAAUUGAGAAGGUCAGAUAAUAUUAUUUCUCUAACCAUUUUUGGGCUGAAGCAAUCUCUAUUGCUGCAUACCUUAUCAAUAAAAAUCCCUCAUCAACUUUGGACUUUAAAACUCCACAAGAAGUCUCGUCUAGCAAACCACUUGAUCUAAGUAACCUAAGAAUCUUUUGUUGCCCAGCUUAUGCACAUAUAAGUUUGGGAAAGCUAAAACCAAGGGUUGUUAAAGGUUAUUUUAUAGGAUAUUCUGAAUGAAUUAAAGGAUAUAAGAUUUAAAGUAUUGAUGGGAAGCCCAUUAGAACCUUUAUCAGUAUAGAUGUUGUGUUUAAUGAGGAGGCAUUGAUACAAACAAAAGUUGAAACAUAGAUCUUUACUAAUUUUAAAGGAGAUUCACAUCUGAUGGUGGAGUCAGAUGUGCACAAACAUUCAGAAUUAGAAGGGUAUCAUCUUGUAAGAAAUAGAGAAAGAAGAGUUGCUGCAAGGCCUAAAAGAUAUGGUAUUGUUGUUUUAAUUUCAUAUGCAUGUAUGGUUAUUGAUUAUGUAAGUGGUUGAGAACUUAUCAGCUACAAAAAGGCCAUGAGUAGUAGGGAGAAGUCAAAAUGGCUUGUAGCAAUGAAAGAAAAAUUGCCUUUUUCUAGAAAAAUAAUACGUAGAUCCUAGUUGACAAGCCUUUAAACAAGAAAUUGGCUAGCUAUAAAUGGGAUUUCAAGCUCAGAAAGUGAUCAUGGGCAACCUAGAUAUAAGGCUAGACUUGUAGCAAAAAGGUUUACACAAAGGGGAGGAAGCAUUUUCACCAAUAGUUAAACAUAGCUCUAUAAGGGUUUUGUUGGCUAUCACUGCAUUCUUAUAUCUAGAAUUAGAUCAAAUGGAUGUCAAAAUAGCCUUUUUGCAUCGUAACUUAGAUGAAGAAAUUCUAAUGGACUAACCAGAAGGAUUCAUUAAAGAAGGAACUAAAGAUAUGGUUUGCUUAUUACAUGGCUCGAAGCAAUCCCUAAGACUAUAGUAUUUAAGGUUCAAUGAAUUUAUGAUCACUCAUGGAUACUUCAGAAGUCAAUAUGACAGUUAUGUGUAUUGUAAACUCUGCCUUUUAAAGAUACUAUCUAUCUUCUUUUAUAUGUUGAUGACAUACUUAUUGCAUAUAAACAAAGAGAAUAAAUAUAGAGGCUUAAAGAUGAACUAAGUUCUGAGUUUAAUAUAAAGAUCUUAGGCCCUACAACAACGAUUUUAGGAAUGCAGAUCAUAAGAGAAUGAGGUGAAAAAACUUUGUUCCUUUUUCACAAGCUAAUUAUGUCAGAAAGGUGCUUAACAUAUUUGGUAUGCUUAGUUCUAAACUUGUUACUAUACCUUGUUGCACAUUUGAAACUGUCUAAACAACAAGAACCAACUGAAGGAGCAAAUGUUGAACACAUGAUGAAAAUACCUUAUUCUAGUGUAAUGGGGAGCAUCGUGUAUGAUAUGGUUGUUUUAGACCCGAUGUUUGCAUAUGGAAUAGGAGUUUUCAGCAGGUUUAUAAGAAAUCCAGGGAAAGAACAUUGAGAUGCUAUUAAGUGGAUACUUAGAUACCUUAAUGGUACAACAAAUAAUGGUAUUUUAUUUGGAGGAAUUAAUAAUACACAAGUAAAAUCUUAGGCUAUGUGGACUCAGAUUUUGCUGGCAAUUUGGACAAAAGAAGGUCAGUUACUGGAUUUGUCUUCACAUUGUAUGGAGGUGCAAUGAGUUGGAAAGAAUCAUUGUAAUUAGUUGUUGCUUUAUCUAGAACUGAAGUUGAAUAUGUUGCACUCAUAGAGGCUACAAAGGAAACAAAAUGGCUCAUAGGCUUGGCAUCAGAAUUAGGAUUGAGGCGAGAGUCGAUUUCCAUUAGUUGUGAUAGUUCUAAUGCAAUACAAUUGAGCAAAAACCCAAAAGAACAUGAAAGAACAAAGCAUAUUGAUGUUAGGCUACAUUUUAUCAUAGAAGAAAUUGGUUCUGGUGUGGUGAAUAUUAUCAAAAUCCCCUUAGUAAUCAAUCCUACUGAUAUUCUAACAAAACCUUUGCCUAUAGUCAAGUUCAUGGGCUCUUUGAACUUGAUUAGGGUUGUUAGCUUGUAAAUCAAGCUAUGUGUUGCUGCUACAGAGUUCGGGUGAAGCUUGAAAAUAAUAUAAAUGAAGAGGAGAUUUGUGAAUUCGGUUAGUUAUAUUCUAUUAAGUUAGUUGCUGAGGUGGCUUGAUGAGCUGCUGUGUGGGACCCUUGUAGUUAAGUUGUUACACGGUCCAACAAGCUUCUGGAAUUAAAUACAGAAGAAAGCAACGCUGGCUGGUGCAACACCCGGAGAAAAGAUCUUGACUAGCUUUGAGAUAGAUUUUGUUAAUUCUUCAUUGAAGGGAUUUGUUCUCUGUGAUCUCAAGAAUUGUUCUAAUCAAUAUCUUAAUAAAAACUUCAAGUCCAAAGGGGUAUUAUCAGCCGUGGAUGUAAAUACUUUUGUAGCAAACCACGUAAUAUUGCAGUGUUCUUUUUCUCUGCUUUCUUAGUUUCAUUGCCGUCUUUAUUCUUUGUUCUUUGAUCUAGUGUCAUUAAUUCUUUGUGCCAUUAAUUAGAUUGGCUAAUUGGCUAGUCUGAUAAAGAAUCGAAAGAGAAGAAAAGGCCUUGAUUUCAUAACAAGUAUUCUGUCCAUUAAGGCUUCAAGUCAAUUAUUUUCUUAAACAAUUUAAGAGAAACUUUAAUUGCUUCAGUCUUCACUCUUCAACGUGUAUGAGUCUCUAUGAUAAGAGUUUUCUCCAAAUUCAAAUCCAACUUUAGCACCCAAAUUUUUGGCCUAAAUGGAAAAAAAAAAAAUUAAAGGCUUUACGUACUGGAUACUGAGGUACACACUUCACAUAUUAAUGUAAAAACUAAAAAGUUAACAUAUAUAUCGAAGGCUUUAUGAACUGGAUAAGAGUCUUGACAUUUUUAUGUAAAAAUUAACAUAUCAAAGGCCUUAUGAACUGGAUGAGAGUCGAUCAUUUACCCCCAUUGGGGACUGAUACAAAGUUAUUCCAGUUGGCGCACAAUGUCUUGCAAAGCAAGCAAACGUUCCCCUCACUAGAUGUAAUUGAACAAACAAUAAUCACAAUAUUUUUUUUUUUGGAAAAGUAAUUAAUUCAUUGAUUAGUACCAAAAAAAUCAUUGAAAUUUAAUCAAAUUAUACGGAGUUGCAUACCAUUUUUGCUCUUUGUUAAGAAUUGAUGGUUUCUUAAUAAGAUUAUAAUUGAAAGAAUUAGAAAUGGAAUGAGGAAGAUCUUUUGGGGGUAAAUUGAUUGAAGAAUGAAUGGAGAAUUUGUUUCAGCCGGAAAGAAAUCAGAAAGUAUUUGAGAUGGAAUUAAGAAGAUUUUUGUGGGUAAAUUGAUUAGAGAAUGAAUGAAGAGUAAAAACGCAAAAUUUGGAAACUCGGAUACUUGGAAAUCAAGUAAGGUCUGUGAAGUCGGAUAUUAGGAGAAUUAUACAGGCCGUUUGAUAUCUAAUUUGAACGGUUUAGGAAAUUGGGUGGAUAUUCUCUUGUGUGCAUAUUAAUUUUAUUAAUGAAGAGUGAUUCGUUCAAUUGACGAGUAGAAUUUUAAGCACUGUUAUAUGAUGGUGUUACGCAUUGUUUAGUACAAGUUUAACUAAUUGCAACUUAAAAAUUAUAGCACUAAAUUAUUUGUUAAACACUAGCCGCGCUGCUGUCACUUAAAAUUGAAAUUGAAUUGAUUCAACACUUUUAUGAAAAAAAAAAUUGAAUUUUUUUUUUAAUUUUUAUCAUAUUAUUAUUAAAAACAAUCAUGUUCGUCAUAUACUAUUAACUUUUAUUUUUAAUAAUAGCUUCUUUUACCACAAUAUGAGACUUAAAUAUUAUAGCACCUCAAUACUAAUCAAAUGCUUAGCGUAAAAUUUUUAAUAAAUAAAAAUAUAAUUUAAAUAGUUUAAUUUUUCUAAUAGACUAAUAAUAUUAGAAUAUUUUUAAUAUAAAAAUAAUUUUAAAACUAUAAAUGAUUAUAUUUAUUUUAAUAAUGUAUUUAUAUUUAUUCUAGAAUUUUUUAAUAAAUAUCUAGGUUAAAUAAAUUUUUCUAACAGACUAAUAACACAAUGCUCGCAAAAUGGUAAGCUUACCGAUUUGAGCCCUGGAGGCAAUUUUCGCUCAGAGAGAAUUUUCAAAUCUUGUUUUGACAAAUGACCGAGUUCGAGAUGCCACAUCAUCGUUGAUUCUUCUCCAUUUGACGUGACACACGCAUCAGCUUCUUGUGGUGUUUCCCCUUCAAGUACGAACAAAUUAGGACUGAUCUUUUCUGCCUUCAUCAAUACAAGCGCACCUUUAACAAUCUUCAUAAUCCCAUUUUCAACAUGGGUUUUACACCCAUGACAAUCUAUUGUCCCAAAGAUAAUAGAUUUUUCUUCAAGCCUUUGACAUGUUGUACCUCCUCAAUUGUACGAACCGUACCAUCAAACAUUUUUAUUUUGAUAGUACCAGUACCAACGAUUUCCAAGGCAUGAUCAUCUCCCAUGUAUAUAAAUCCUCCUGAGAUAGGUUCAUAUGUGUGGAACCAUUCUCUUUGAGAGGUCAUAUGCCAGGUAGCUCCUGAGUCUAUGAGCCACACAUCAGAUAACCAUUUUCUGCCUUCUGAAACAGUUGUUGUCUCCACUCUGCUUGUUUUUCCAACACUCUUUCUUGAAAUGCCCUUUCUUGCCACAAUUGUAGCAUUUGACAUUUUUCUUACUUUUUAAUUUUGAUCUACCAUGAUUGUGACUCCUAUUGGGGCCACGAUCUGUUGAUCUUCCUCUCGUCAUCGAUAGUGCUUUUACUUGCUGCGAACUUACUUGUUUGUCUUCCUUAUUUUUCCACCUAUUCUCCUCAUUUAAUACAGAGGCUGCAACAUCAUCGAAGACUAGACUGUCCGCUGGGUUGUUGUUUGUCAGGUUGAUGAUGACUUAGUCGUAUGAAUCUGGUAGACUUUGAAGUAGAAGCUCUACACGUUCAUUUUCCUCUAUUUUAUGACCCAACGUUGAAAGUUGUGAAAAUAGAGUCUUUAAGGUGUUGAUGUGGUCGGUCACAUAUUUUAAGAAGAUCUUGUUGUGCAGUGAUUUGGCCUUGUACAAUUUUGUGAGAGUAUCACAUAUUUCCUUUGCUGUCUUUUUCUUUGCCACAUUGGAUAAUACUCCAUCCACAAGCACCAAGUAUAGAUUAGAAAUGGUGUUGCCGUCUAUCUCGUUCCACUUGUCAUCAAUUAACUCCAUGGGCUUUUCUCCAAUUGCUAUCAAGCAUACAACUUUUAUCUUCAUUUUCCACAACGAAAAAUUAUUUCCGUUGAAUUUCUCAAUUUCGUAUUUUACCGCCAUCGCUUUUCACCAAAAACUAACUUUGCUAGGAUCGACUCUCAUCAUUUUCAAGUGAACAAUAAUUGUAUACGUGAACAAUAAUCAUAUACGUAAAUAGUGCCGUAUACGUUAACAGUACCCCGACUCCAAAAGAAAUACAACAAGUAGCUCUGAUACCAUUGUUAGGAAAUUGAUGGGUGAAACACGGCCACAGCUAAAAUGAAAUUGAAAGAAAAUUUACAAGUAUUGUAAUAUUUUGUCUCACUACCCAAAACCCUCUCACUCAAUAGACUCACAAGAGCUUUGUAAUUUUAAGCUCUUAAAAUCACUCAAAAUCUUUGUUUUUUCUCUCACCAAAAUUAGAUGCCUAAAAUCAAAUAAAGAGCUCCCUUUAUAUAGCCAAAAUUGGCUAUUAAAAUAUUAUUAUUAUUCUGUAACCGCCUUUAAUUUCUUCUUCUUCUAUUUUCUUCUUUCUUCUUUCUACUUCGGCGGUGCCAAACCCUUCAACAUUUGCUACUUCCAAAUUCUAUUUUUCUUUCCUUGGGUGGCACCUCCUUGGACUUCAAUUUGGGCAGCUUAUACAGCUUCUAGAUCUUCAAAAUAGGCUACUUCUGGAAGCCUUUUCGUGACACAUUACCUAGUAGAUUUACUCAAUCACAAAUUGGGUGGUUACAAACUAUGUUUGAAAACCUUUAAUUAAUAAAAUUCUUAUUUAUUUUCUUUCGUAAUACGAUUUACCUAUUAUGAAAUCAUUUGCAUUAGAUCGUGAAUAAUCUCAUUACUUUGGGGUAUUAUUUGCCUUGGACUUCUUUUUUUGGUCUAUCACUAUAUUACUUACCUUGGGCUGUCUCACUAUUCUCGUGUAAUAUUAUCUGCCUUGAGUCAUUCAUUUUUGUAUUGAGUGGUGAUAUUAUCUCAUCAGUUUUUAUAUUAAUUUCUAUUUUGCCGUUGUAUGAAAUUACUUAUUUUGGUGAAUUACUAUAUUAUUUCCCUUGGGCCGCCUCACCAUUUUGUUGCAUAAUCUGCCUUGGGUCAUUCAUUUUUGUAUAGAGUGGAGAUACGAUCUCAUCAGCUUUUAUAUUAAUUUCUGUUUUGCCAUUGUAUGAAAUUAUGAAAAAUGGAUAUUGAAGAGUUUCUUGCCACAAAUUGAACCUGCAUCUCUGGUAAGCAUUACUCUUUCAUUUUCGCGGAAAAGGCAGUAAGUGAAUGGCCUAAAUUCAUGGUUCAUUUCAUAUUAUGGAGUUUCUUUCUUCAGGAUGAUUUCGGCUGGAAUUCUCAUAAUUUGCUUCCAAAAAUCCACUACUGAUAGGCUUGGUGCUUGCCAUUUUUGCCUUUGCAGCUGGUAGUGGCUUGUAUGCUUGUUGGAUUAGUCAGAAAAAUCAAUUGGCAUUGGUCACAAAUUUUUUAUUCGAGCUGAGGGAUACAUACAGUAGUAGACGUCGUGUACUAUGUUCUCUUUCUCAUAUGUAUAAAUAUAGUAAGAGAUAUAUAUGGCUUUUAUAUAAUUCUCAAUAUCAUAAGCAGUAAACAUGGACUCUUGGCUUAAAGACAAUAUGAACAUGAAACCAUUUCACGUGGGUGAUCAAAUAAUAACUUUCAUUUGUUUAACUUCUUAUAGAAGUCAGAAGAGAGUGUACCUGCAACCAGUGGCGGUGCCAGAAAUUAUUUUUAGCGGGGCUAAGUUCACAUAAUAGUUUAAUUCAAGAAAGUAAUCAACAAAUAACAUAUAUCAAAAUAAAAAUUCAUUAAAGUAUUUAAUGCAACACACUUAUAAUUGUUCUCGACAAGGUUUCAUAUAUUGAAAACGUUGAAGAAUAACCUCAUUGUCAAGACUACAAAAUACAUCAUUUUUUUUAUGAAUACAACAAGGCUAUCAUUCAACCAUUGAUCUCCCAUCCGAUUUCGCAGAUGGUUUUUCACAAAAUUCAUAGCUGAAAAUGCCCUUUCUACUGUAACUGCGGCAACCGGUAAAAUCAAUGCCAAUGUCACCAAUAAAUAGACCAAUGAAUAUAAUUGAUCCUUUUUAGUCUCAACCAAUUUUCUUACUAGCUCACCAAUCCCUUUCAAUCCUGAAAAUUUGUUGUCAGAACCCACAUCCAUAAUAUAAACAUCAAAUUGAGUUUCAAGUGCCACAAGAUUCAUUAGAGAAAAAUCAUUCGGAUAAAACUCAGCAAGGUGAAGUAGUUUCUGUUUAUCAAAAGCUGCAAAUGAGUCAUUGGGGCAUAGACAUGCCACACAAAGAAGCAACUCAGUAUUCAUCUCAUUGAAACGAUUGCUUAAUUCUUUAAGUUGCAUGUCCAAAAUUGCAUAAAAUAAUUCAACUCGAAAAUAAUGCAAAUUCGUGAUCUUUUGAGCCUUGCGUUGUGAUCUUGCUUGUGAUAACUCAUAUGCAAAUCCAAGAAUAUUUUUCAUUAACAGCAGGCUAAACACAAAAGCAAAUGAUUGCAUUGACUUCGAUAACAUUGUAGCUUGAAAUCUUUGUUCAGAAUUUCCCUCAUUUGAAAUUAUCUCAAGCAUGUCAAUAAUAGAUGGAAACAUGGUGAUUAUACUCAAUAACGUACCAUAAUGUGGGCCCCAACGUGUAUCAGCAUAUCGCUUUAAAGUAACCUCUUGAUUUAAACCUCGUCCACUUGAAAGUUCACCAUCAUUGAGUGCUUUAAUAACUGCUUGAGCAUGUUUCUCUUGAAGAAUAUCACGACGUUUUGCUGAAGCACCAACAACAUUGAUAUCACGACGUUUGCCCGCGGGGAGUCGUGAUAUCAAUGAUUGCAUUCACCGUCCACAAGUUUAUCUUAUACACUUCAAUUAAUUUCAUAGCAUUCACAAUGUCUUGAUCCUUUUUUUUGUAAUGCUUGUGAUAACUCAUGUGCAAAUCCAAGAAUAAUAUUUUUCAUUAACAGCAGGCUAAACACAAAAUCAAAUGAUUGCAUUGACUUCGAUAACAUUGUAGCUUGAAAUCUUUGUUCAGAAUUUCCCUCAUUUGAAAUUGUCUCAAGCAUGUCAAUAAUAGAUGGAAACAUGGUGAUUAUACUCAAUAACGUACCAUAAUGUGAGCCCCAACGUGUAUCAGUAGAUCGCUUUAAAGUAACCUCUUGAUUUAAACCUUGUCCACUUGAAAGUUCACCAUCAUUGAGUGCUUUAAUAACUGCUUGAGCAUGUUUCUCUUGAAGAAUAUCACGAUGUUUUGCUGAAGCACCAACAACAUUGAUAUCACGACGUUUUGCUGACGCACCAACAACAUUGACUAACAUUGUGACUAAAUUGAAAAGAGAAGUAAUUAUAAGAAUUUAAAGAGAAACUGAAAACAAUUUCCAUGUCAAAAUGUAAAAAAAUACAAAAAUACAAAAUAUUAAUUUAAUAAACUAACUACCCAAUUAAAUCCCCAACCACUAAAUUACUAAUCCAUCAUAGCAUCACGCCAUGACCAAUGGCAUUGUUAUUCUAUUGUUUAUAAUAAGUAAAGUUAAAAGCAUUGCCACUUUGUCAAGAAGCAUCGCCACUUUAUCAAGAAACAUGCCACAAUCAUUCUAUUCAAAAAGCAUAAAAAAAUUCAAGAAUUAUAAUAUUAAAUUAUAAAGUGACAAAGAUGUUUAAUUAUCAAAAUAAUUUAAUCAAUUCUUAAUAAUUAAUCUAAAAGCUGCAAAGGUAUGACGGUAGUACCUGAAAAAAUGCAAAAAUGCAGACCAUGCGGUGGUGCAGGGCUCCAAGUGCGAGCUGCAAGUUGUAGCAUUUAUGGCAUGAAAACAAAGAGCUAUGAUGGCAUGAGAGUUUGAUAGAGAUAGAUGACAGGCUGAUCACUGAUGGUAGCCGAUGGAGUUUUUCUUUGGCAAAGGAUCGAUGGUGGUGGUUAGGGAUUUGAUUUUGAGUUUUUUUUUUUAAUUUCUAAUCGUUGUUUUAAAUUUUGGUCUUUUAGUUAUUUCAAAAAUAUUUCAGGGAUUUUAUUGUAAAUUCAAUAAAAAAAGAUAAAUUUAAUUUUUUUUUAAAUUCUAGGGGGCAUCAGCCCUAGCUCUCAAGUGGCGCCGCCUCUGCCUGCGACAUCAACCGUAUCAAGCGAAGAUAUUGGACAUUUAAUAAUGAAAAAAUUAGGAAUUUUCAUGGACACAUCAGUAGGUUUCGUAAAUAUGUAGAAUCAACUGAUUCUAGGUACCUUACAAUGUGACUUUUUUUUUUUCCCCUGAAGAUAAGGACUAUUUUUUAGGAUACUGGCCGUUGAGGCUUUGUUUGUAUUUUUGCAAGAAAAUGGAAAAGGGUGGGCUAAAGCGCAAAAAAUAAAGCUAACAACUGCUAAAUUUAAUUUUUUUAAGAGUGUUUUAAUGUGGCAUUUGAUUUGGGAACUUUUUUGUAGUUAUUGAAAUAGCCACACAGGGUAACAAUUGGGGCAUUCUUUCAUAAAUUGGACAUUAAUAGUACCGAGUACGAAUGAGGAUGGUUAAAUGCCUAAUCACCCUAUUAAUCUUGCAGUCCAAAAAAGCAAAAGCAAUAGCAUUACAAAUAGUAUAACUAUCAAAUUGAUUCACUCUGUCUAAACGACAAGUCAUCUGAUUACUAAAUUAUUUGACGCAACGACUGAUUUAGAAUUUUAAUGUAGAGGGAGCUUGGUACAAAUACUAUGAUUCACAGUAGCGUGUUCGAUGGUGCGAGUGAUCAACAACAGCAACAGACAAGUGAGGCAAUGAUGAUGUAUAUGUUGGAAAUAUAAAUUCAUAUUGUUUUUUGAAAGUACACAAUAUGAAUAGUAGCUGUUGGUACUGUUCACUUCACUAUUUACUAAUACUAUUGAUCUUACUGUUCACUCAACAACAAUUGUAAAUUCGUCAAGGCGUGUUCGAACUGUCCUUAAGACCAAUUUCUGCUUCUCCAGAAAGAUUUCCCGACACAAAAAAAAGAUAUAAAUAAAAUGGAUUGAUCCCUAGGAUAUAAUGACGUUAUUGUGAGCUUGUACUCCAAACACAACAGUUUAGAAUAACAAAAGAAAAAUUAAUGAAAAGAUAGAAGGAUAGGUUAUAAUGGCUGUGCCUUGAAGAUUUUGUAUUUUGAAAUAUCAAUAAAACUACAAGAAUAAGCUUAAAUAAUUUUAUCAAGAUUGCACUUUAAGAUGAAACACUAAUUAAUGGCCUUUCAAGACUUGAAUUGGGUUAAAUAGUUUAUGUACGAAAAUUGAAUUAUUGACAUCCAAAUGCACUUAAAUAAAUAUUUUCCCUAUCUCCUUUUAUAUAUUGUUGGUAAUAAAUCUAAUAACUUUAUGUUGUUGUGAUUCUUAAUGUAGUUUUUUUUUAAUCGGUAGCUGUGUACGUGUCAUUAUUAGCAAUGUGUCAUUUUCAUUACUGUGUUAUUGUUUGCAAUGUGUCAUUUUCAUUACUGUGUCAUUGGCCAAUAAUUUUGUAACAAAACCAACAUAUAGCGGUAAAUGAAAAAUUCACAAGUGGGGGACAUACACCCGUUUAAAAUAUUGUAAAUACAUUUUCUUCAUUCUAAGUGUGGACAUGCCAAUUUUGCAUAAUAGUCAUAUCCCAGAACAAAAGUCGCAUUAAAAUUUUAUUCAUUUAUUCAGGUUUUUUCCUGCAUUAACGAAUUCAUUGUGUAGGAUUUCAUUUUUAUGUAAACGAAUUUAGUUACGAUAAUCAACUACUAAUUUUUUUCCGUUAAUUGGCUACGUUUACGUUAAUUAACUGAUAAAUAACAUUGCAUUAGCGAAGCCAAGAGAUUCAUUUAAACCCCUAAGAUUCAAAUAUUCUUUCACUAGUACUACUGGAGAAAUUUGGCAAUCGAUAUUUCGGAAGACAUCAUUACAGAUGUCAAACAAAAGGUAAAAAUAAAAUAAAAAAUAGCUAGUCCCCCACUUGUAGGUAGGGCAUGCGUCUCAUGCGCUUUAAAUUUCCAAAAUUUAUAUCUUUUUGACAUGGAAACUACUCAGCAAGGCAAUGGUGACUCAACAACAUUAUAUAUAUGGAACUCUUUAGGUGAAUUGAAGAUGAGAACGAGGGAUUGCAUAAGCUACAAGAAUGAACGGUCAUUUGUAAAGUACAGCGAAUAGGGUCCAAUAGAUCAAAUCAAGUAGAGUAGAAGAAAAUGAAUUACACUUAUGGUACAAUCAGUUUCAAUUUCUUUCAUCUGUUAACCGUCUAUAAACAAGAUACAAGCUCGAAGCCACCAAUGGGCUAUAAACAGAGCUUCAUUCAAGAGAGUUAAAGGUAUCCCAAGUUCUGAAAAUUGAGAGCACGUACAAGUGAGCUUUUACAGAGAUUUUUCAGAGAAUGUUUUCUUAACUAUUCUAGAGGGAUUUAUAUCGGAUUUUGAGAAUUGUUCCCAUUCAAAGUCCAACCCCAAUUCAUGAGCCUAAAUAAUAAACCAAACAAAAGAGAAUAUUCUCUCCAUUUAUCUAGAAUUAUCUUUGCUAAAAAUAUCAUGAAUAAUUGGCGCUGUGGCAGUUUUAAAAUUUGGUGAUUGCUAAGAAAUUAAUGGUAAUAAGUUUAGAAUGUCGUUAUUUGUUAGGACCUGCAUUUAAAAUCUUAAAUAUUCGUAAUUAAUUAUAAAGAUCUCGGUUCACCUGCAAGCUACAACAAUUAGCUAACUGAUAUAUGGUAUUUUUUACAAAACUAUUCAAAAAGAAGGAGUAUAAUUAAUCAAACUGAUUUGGAUAGUACCACACGAUUUUUUUUUUAUUUUUAUUGACAAACCAACAUAAACAACAUAUUAACGUAACUAACGCAUUCACAUAUAAUUAUUUUAUUUAAUUAUUAAGAAAGACGAAGUACAUGGACGGUGGACACUAAGAAAUAUAAUCUCUUGUAGAUCAAGAAAUUUUAGAGGUUGAACUGAACUAAACUGACCCUCACACAAUUAAUUGACAGGUAAUAACAAUACCCAUCCUUUUAUUAACCAUAAUAGAAAAGAGUAAUAUUGCGUGCGUGCGCUGCGCUUAUUAACCAGUGUGGUCGGGAUUUCUUCCAUAUUGAGGGACAGCAAUCAGAUCAAGAUUAUCAAUUGUCUCGUCCUUAUCAUCAGCAAUACCAUAUACAGGUACUGGAGUACCCUCCAACCAUUCAUUCUUACCUGAAAGUUUAACAUUAGAAAAUGGAUUCAUAAAUGCUUAUAUUAAUAUAUGAAUUGUAAAUGAUAUCUAUUCAGCUGAAAUUGGCUAAAAAACCUGCGCAAGGAAAAGGAGUUUCCAUAUUCUUCAAAUCAGAAAAGAUCUCCAGGUGAAGCGUAAUCAAAACUAAAAAAUAAGUAGAGCUUGAGCGUGUUCUUAUUUCUGGUUUGAUCUGAUAUAUAUAGAUUCAAGAAGUCGACGUUGCCGAGGUGUGGGUGAUUGUGACGUAGCAAAACAUGUAAUAAUUAUUUAAGAUUAACGGCCAUGGCUAAACUGCACGUCGAAACGUGUUAGCAUGGUUCCAUAAAAUAAUAGUUAUUUAAGAUUAACGGCCAUGGCUAAACUGCACGUCGAAAUGUGUUAGCAUGGUUCCAUAAAAUAAUAGUUAUUUAAGAUUAACGGCCAUGGCUAAACUGCACGUCAAAACGUGUUAGCAUGGGUCCAUAAAAUAAAUAAUUUUAUCUAAUUAGGAGAGAAAUCGAUUCAGUAACAAGCUGCUGCUUGCACUUUCUAGAAAUUUUAAAUUUAUGAAUUGAAAUUACUCACGCCUUUUUAUGUGUGGUUAAGUAUGCAUACAGUUCAAGCUGAGGGAUACUGAUGUGAAGUGUAGGGACAUGGAUAUAUACUAUCGUUUACAUUAUUUUACAGCCUUGCUGUAUUAUUUUAUUUGGCAAUCAUAUAGUCAUUGUCUGCACUACACUUUGUCUUCACUACACUUGUCUCCACUUGAGUAUUCUUGAGUAGUAGCUGAGUCACAAGUCACCUUAUCAUGUCUGUUGAGCUUUCCUGUCGUGCUUGAUUUACUUUGUUCUAACCACCCCGCUCAAUCUCAGUUUUCUUAGCAUACUCUUAGGUCAUGUUUGGUUUGUAGAAAAGGGAGCAGAGGAAAAGAGUGGAAUGGAGAGGAAGAGAAAAGGAAGGAAUGGAGAAAAGUAGUGAAAUUAGAUUUUGUUGUUUGGUUUGAUAUAAAAUUUAAUAAGGAAUUAUAAUUUUUUUCAUUAAACUAAUUUACCAUUUACCUCAAAUAUUUAAUUAUUUAUAUUAGUAAUAUAUAUAUAAUGACGGUCCGUUGGCCGGUGGUGAAGGUCCGGCGACUUUUCGGCGAACGUCCAGCGACUUUCCGGCGGUGGUCCAUUUAUGAUAUUAAAUCAAUAAAAAAAAUUAUAAAUAAUAAUUAUUAAUGAUAUUAAACAAAUUAAAAAGUUGAAGGGUAAUUUUAGAAACUUUAGUUUCUAAAAUAAGAGGAAUUUAAAUUUUUCACUACUUGAUGUGGAAUUCAAAUUCUACAUUAUGAUGGAUAUUAAAUUUUAAUGGAAAUUAAAUUAUUAUAUAUUUUUUAUGGUUGUCGAAGCCAGCAAAAAUAAAUACCUACUCUAAAUAAAUUGUGUAUAGUGAUUGAGCAGGGUCGUGUCCACAGAGAUCGGUAAUUAUUUAAAUCAUUUUAAAUGUAAAAUGCAAAAUGGGGGGAUUGUUGACAAUAAUAAAAAUCAAAUUAAAAUAACAAGAAUGCAAAUUCAAAAUUGUAAUUCAAAUUGGGGAAAGCUCUGGUUGAAGGAAUUAAUUUAGCUUGAUUCGACUACUGAUCAUUGAUUCAAAUAUAAAUCAUUACUACUUAUGAAUAGACCGGUUAUAGCUACUGAGACACUCUAAUAGUCAAUCUCUCCUUAACUAGUCGAUAACCAAAGUACGACCAUUGGUUAUUUCCCUAAUCAAUAGAAAACCCUAGAUACGAUCAUAGGAUUUAAUCAAUUGACAACCUGAAAAACCAAAGAAACUCAAAUCCUAAUAAACAAACGCAUACGAUGGUUCAUUUAAAUUAGAUUGUUUAUUCUCAUAACACAACGCACUGCUAUGCUAUUUGUCACAAACAUUAAAAUCUUCAUACGAUGAAUCCUUUAAUUGACAAUAGAUUAAGUUGAUAAUUAAAUAGUGGCCAAUUAUCUAAUUAACAAACAUAAUCAUGACAAUAAUUUAGAGAAUAAACAAAUACCCAAAAAGCAAUAAAAUAAUUAAAGCAUAAGAAAUAUCUCACAGUAAUGAUGAAUCAAAACUUCAUUAACCUUCAACCAGAAUAAUAGGUUUAGUUCUUCAUAGAGAGAAGAGAAAAAUUUAGAUCUAGGGUUUCUUUUUUUCUUCCUUCUUCACCAGUAAUCCCGCGUCUUAUUCAUUUAUUACCCAAGUUUCAUGGUUUUGCAGGUGAAGAUCCUCAUAAACAUCUCAAGGAGUUUCAUGUUAUGUGUUCAAAUAUGAAGCCACAAGGCGUGACUGAAGAGCAGAUUAAGCUGCGUGCUUUUCCUUUCUCUUUAGAUGGACUAGCUAAAGACUAGUUGUACUACUUGCCUCCUGGAUCGAUUACCACGUGGAAUGGUUUGAAGAAGCAGUUCCUUGAGAAGUACUUUCCUACUUCAAGAGCUGCUAGAAAAUAUAUUUGUGGGAUUAGACAACUUCCUGGGGAGACUUUGUAUGAGUAUUGGGAGCGAUUCAAACAAUUGUAUGCCAGCUGUCCUCAGCAUCAGAUUUCUGAUCAACUUCUUAUUCAAUACUUUUAUGAAGGACUGUCAUUGAUGGAUAGGAGUACGAUAGAUGCUGCUAGUGGAGGUGUGUGUGUUGGUGAACAGGACCCCUACUCAAGCAAGGGAGUUGGUCUCAAAUAUGGCUGCCAAUGCACAACAAUUUGGCAGCAGGCAAGAUCCCACUUCAAGGAAGGUGAAUGAGGUAAAUAUUUCUUCCAUUGAACAACGUUUAGAUAAACUUACUUCUCUUGUGGAAACGUUUGUUGUAGGUAAUGUGCAACAGGUGAAGACUUGUGUCAUUUGUUCUAAUAUGGGUUAUUCAACUGAUAUGUGUCCUACACUUCAAGAAAAACCCAUUGAACAAGCCAAUGCAAUUGGAGGAUUUCCAGGCAUGCCUCAGAGGACGUAUGAUCUUUAUGCAUAAACAUACAAUCCGGGAUGGAAGGAUCAUCCCAACUUCAGCUAUGGAGUUAGGCCGUCAGGAAUCCCACAACAAUAUCCACCAAGACAACCAGCACCUCCACAGUCAAACUCCAAGUUAGGUAUAUCUCUUGAAGAAAUUGUUCAAUCACUUGCGACUAACACUCAACAAUUUCAGCACGCAACUACAACAAGCAUUCAAAAUUUGGAGAACCAAAUGAGUCAAUUGGCGACUACAGUGAGCUGUCUGGAGUCUCAAGUAUCAGGGAGAUUGCCUUCACAAUCUGAGGCGGAUCCAAAAUAAAACGCUAGUGUUGUCAUCCUUAGAAGUGGGAAGGAGUUGCAAGAGCCUAGUAAGAAAGCGACAAAGCAUGUAGAAGAUGAGCUUGAGAAGAAUGAAUUGAUGCCUAAAUCUCAAGAUGCGCAACCCACCAGAGCAAUACCUCUACCUGUGGUGAUACCUCCUCCUUUUCCAAGCCGGUUUGCAAAAUCCAAGAAAGAGGAACAAGAGAAAGACGUCCUUGAGACAUAACAAGAGAAAGACGUCCUUGAGACAUUUCGCAAGGUUGAGGUAAAUAUUCCUUUAUUAGAUGUUAUAAAACAAAUACCUCGAUAUGUUAAAUUCCUUAAGGAACUGUGCACCUCCAAGAGAAAAUUAAGAGGAGAUGAAAGAGUUCACAUGGGGGAGAAUGUUUCAGCAGCUCUCCAAAAGAAAUUACCUCCUAAGUGCAAGGAUCCAGGUAUGUUUACUAUCCCUUGCAAAAUUGGUAGUGUUAAAGUUGAGAAUGCUAUGUUAGAUCUAGGAGCUUCUAUUAAUGUCAUGCCUCGUUCCAUUUAUUCAUCUUUGAAUGUUGGUCCAUUAAAAGAAACUGGCGUGAUAAUUCAACUAGCUGAUAGGUCUAAUGCGUAUCCUGAUGGGGUAUUAGAAGAUGUCUUAGUACAAGUUAAUGAGUUGGUUUUUCCUGCUAAUUUUUAUGUACUUGAUAUGGAAGAGGAUAACUCCUCUAAUUCUGUCCCAAUUUUGCUAGGAAGACCUUUUCUUAAGACUGCUAGGACUAAAAUGGAUGUACAUAAAGGGACUCUCACUAUGGAGUUUGAUGGAGAGGUUAUAGAAUUCAAUAUGAAUGAUGCCAUGAAAUAUCCUAAUAAGGAACAUUCGGUAUUUUCUGUGGAUGUUAUUAACCCUAUAGUGCAGGAAGUUUUUUAUUUGGAUGUUGAAGAUUCAUUGGUAGCUGCUUUAAAUAACAGUUUGGGCCUCAAAGGAUUGUAAAAGGAUGAAAAUAAGUUUGUUUUAAAUUCUGUAUUGUAAGAGACAAUUUAUGAAUUAAAUUCUUUGAGAACUUUAACUCAUCAUAUGUCUUAUAUUGAAUUACCUUCAUCUCAUGCAAAACUUCUUCCAUCUAUUUUGCAGGCACCGAAAAUAGAGCUUAAACCAUUGCCGAGUCAUCUAAAGUACAUAUUUUUAGGAGAUGGUGAGACACUUCCGGUGAUCAUCUCUUCAAAACUUAGUACUUUAGAGGAAGAAAAACUUAUUAGAGUGCUGAAGGAUUACAAAAAGGCUAUUGGGUGGUCAAUUGCUAAUAUUAAAGGGAUAAGUCCGUCCACGUGCAUGCAUAGAAUAUUGCUAGAGGAAGAUGUCAAACCUUCGAUUCAAGCUCAACGCCAUUUGAAUCCACUCAUGAUGGAAGUAGUGAAGAAAAAAAUUCUGAAACUUCUUGAUGCAGGUAUAAUCUAUCUAAUUUCGGAUAGCAAAUGGGUAAGUCCAGUACAAGUGGUACCAAAGAAAACUGGUAUAACAAUUGUUGAGAAUUCUUAUGGUGAGUUAGUACCCACCCGAGUUCAGAAUGGGUGGAGGGUUUGUAUUGAUUUUAGAAAGCUUAAUUCACUCACUAAGAAGGAUCAUUUUCCUAUUCCUUUUAUUGAUCAGAUGCUUGAAAGGUUGGCAGGAAAAUCUCACUUUUGUUGUCUUGAUGGCUAUUCAGGUUUUCAUCAGAUACUAGUUGCACCUGAGGAUCAGGAGAAGACUACCUUCACAUGUCCUUUUGGAACCUUUGCGUACCGACGUAUGUCAUUUAGUUUUUGUAACGCUCCUGCUACCUUUCAAAGGUGCAUGGUCAGUAUUUUUUCAGACUAUGUAGAGAACAUUAUAGAGGUAUUUAUGGACGAUUUUACAGUCUAUGCUGAUUCUUUUGAUGAUCGUCUCUAUAAUCUAAAGAAAGUGCUUGAAAGAUGCAUUGAAACAAACAUUGUCUUGAAUUAUGAAAAAUGUCAUUUUAUGGUAGAUCAAAGCAUUAUUUUGGGUCAUGUAGUCUCUGCUAGAGGAAUUGAGGUAGAUAAAACUAAGAUAGAUGUUAUUAAAUAUUUACUUAUCCCACAUGUGUGCGGGAAGUUCAUUUUUUGCUUUUGAAAAAUUUUGUUCCUAUUUAUUGGGUACUAAAGUGAUUUUUUUUUCUGAUCAUGCAGCUCUCAGAUAUUUGCUCGCCAAGAAGGAAGCGAAACCAAGACCCAUCCGCUGGACCCUACUACUUCAAGAGUUCAACUUGGAUAUGCGUGACAAGAAAGGAGUAGAAAACUUGGUUAUAGACCACCUUAGUAGGUUGACCAUGAGUGAAGAAGCAGCACCUUUGAAGGAUGAUUUUCCAGAUAAGCAUCUCUUUGUAACUCAAGGUAUAGUUCCUUGGUACGCUGACAUUGUCAAUUACUUAGUUACAAGAACACUACCUAGUAAUCUGACGAGGGCUCAAAAAGAUAAGAUUAAAAGCGAUGCUAAGUACUAUGUUUGGGAUGACCUUUACUUAUGGAAACAUUGCUCUGACCAAGUCAUCAGAAGGUGCGUAUCUGAGUUUGAAAUUCCUUCUAUUCUUCAGUUUUGUCACUCGUAUGCAUGUGGUGGUCAUUUUGGUCCCAAAAGAACAUCAUCUAAGGUGUUAGAAUGUGGUCUAUUUUGGCCUACUUUAUUUCGUGAUUCAUACAUAUUUUGUAAGUCGUGUGAGAAUUGUCAAAAAACUGGUAAUUUAAGUUAUAGAAAUCAAAUGCCACUUACCCCUAUUCUUGUUUGUGAAAUAUUCGAUGUGUGGGGCAUUGAUUUUAUGGGACUUUUUCCCUCAUCUUUUGGCAAUGCUUACAUUCUUUUAGUAGUGGAUUACGUUUCUAAGUGGGUAGAGGCUAAGGCCACCCAGACUGACAAUACUAAAGUUGUUGUAGAUUUUGUCAAGUCUAAUAUUUUUGCCAGGUUUGGUGUAUCGAGAGCGGUGAUAAGUGAUAGAGGCAUUCAUUUCUGUAAUCGAGUGGUGGAGGCUUUGUUCAAGAGAUAUCAUGUUACCCACCGAGUGUCUACCACCUAUCAUCCACAGACAAGUAGACAAGCUGAGAUAUCAAACAUAGAAAUCAAGUCUACUCUUGAAAAGACGGUUAGUCCAAAUCGAAAGGAUUGGAGUUUGCGAUUAGAUGAUGCAUUGUGGGCGUAUCGCACCGCGUACAAAACUCCCAUAGGUAUGUCUCCUUAUCGUUUAGUAUUUGGUAAGACUUGUCAUUUACCUGUAGAGCUUGAGCACAGAGCAUACUAUUAACUUUUAUUUUUAAUUAUACCUUCUUUUACCACAAUAUGGGACUUAAAUAUUAUAGCACCUCAAUACUAAUCAAAAGCUUAGCGUUAAAUGUUUAUUCAGUGAAUUGACAUUGUGUUUGUACUACACAUCUUCUCUACAUAUAAGAUAGGCCAUCCCUUAUAUUUGUAUAAUACGGACAUGUCAUCUAUAUCAUAUGGUGAGCCAAAAAUUUAGAAAAAUUUCAUAUGCAGUCCUUCUAAAUAGAUUUAUCUGUAAAUUGUUGUCAAUAUUUUUUGAAAAAGACAUUUGUACCCAUAAAAUUUGGGUGAUGAUAAUGUAAACCACAAGUUUUUAAUAAGGGACACUAAAACUCUUUUUUUAAUAUAAUACCCUUUAUAAAUAGCAACUAAAAAAUUGACCAUAAAAUUUUUAAUAAAUAAAAAUAUAAUUUAAAUAGUUUAAUUUUUCUAAUAGACUAAUAAUAUUAGAAUAUUUUUAAUAUAAAAAUAAUUUUAAAACUAUAAAUGAUUAUAUUUAUUUUAAUAAUGUAUUUAUAUUUAUUCUAGCAUUUUUUAAUAAAUAUCUAGGUUAAAUAAAUUUUUCUAGCAGACUAAUAACACAAUGCUCGCAAAAUGGUAAGCUUACCGAUUUGAGCCGUGGAAGCGAUUUUUGCUCAGAGAGAAUUUUCAAAUCUUGUUUUGACAUAUGACCGAGUUUGAGGUGCCACAUCAUCGUUGAUUCUUCUCCAUUUGACGUGACACACGCAUCAGCUUCCUGUAGUGUUUCCCCUUCAAGCACGAACAAAUUACGCCUGAUCUUUUCUGCCUUCAUCAAUACAAGCGCACUUUUAACAAUCUUAAUAAUCUCAUUUUCAACAUGGGUUUUACACCCAUGACAAUCUAUUAUCCCAAAGAUAAUAGAUUUUUCUUCAGGCCUUUGACAUGUCGUACCUCCUCAAUUGUACGAACCGUACCAUCAAACAUUUUUAUUUUGAUAGUACCAAUACCAACGAUUUCUAAGGCAUGAUCAUCUCCCAUGUAUAUUGAUCCUCCUGAGAUAGGUUCAUAUGUGUGGAACCAUUCUCUUUGAGAGGUCAUGUGCCAGGUAGCUCAUGAGUCUAUGAGCCAUACAUCAGAUAGCCGUUUUCUGCCUUCUGAAACAAUUGUUGCCUCGCUGUAGAGAAUCUCACCAUCAUCUGAGGUACUUGUCAUACACCCCUGAGCAUUUGAUGACUCAGAUUUAUUGUCUCCACUCUUUCUUGAAAUGCCCUUUCUUGCCACAAUUGUAGCGUUUGACAUUUUUCUUACUUUUUGAUUUCGAUCUACCAUGAUUGUGACUCCUAUUGGGGCCACGUUCUGUUGAUCUUCCUCUCGUCAUCGAUAGUGCUUCUGCUUGCUGCGAACCUACUUGUUUGUCUUCCUUAUUUUUCUGCCUAUUCUCCUCAUUUAAUACAGAGGCUGCAACAUUGUUGAAGACUAGAUUAUCCGAUGGGUUGUUGUUUGUCAGGUUGAUGAUGACUUAAUCGUACGAAUCUGGUAGACUUUGAAGUAGAAGCUCUGCACGUUCAUUUUCCUCUAUUUGAUGACCCAACGUUGAAAGUUGUGAAAAUAGAGUCUUCAAGGUGUUGAUGUGGUCGGUCACAUAUUUUAAGAAGAUCUUGUUGUGCAGUGAUUUGGCCUUGUACAAUUUUGUGAGAGUAUCACAUAUUUCCUUGGCUGUCUUUUUCUCUGCCACAUUGGAUAAUACUCCAUCCGCAAGCGCCAAGUGUAGAUCAGAAAUGGCGUUGCCGUCUAUCUCGUUCCACUUGUCAUCAAUUAACUCCAUGGGCUUUUCUCCAAUUGUUGUCAAGCAAUUAUUUUUCCUCAAUACAUCUUUUAUCUUCAUUUUCCACAAUGAAAAAUUAUUUCCGUUGAAUUUCUCAAUUUCGUAUUUUACCGCCAUCGCUUUUCACCAAAAACUAACUUUGCUAGGAUCGACUCCCAUCAUUUUCAAGUGAACAAUAACUGUAUACGUGAAAAGUAAUCAUAUACGUAAAUAGUGCCGUAUACGUUAACAGUACCCCGACUCCCAAAAAACAUACAACAAGUAGCUCUGAUACCACUGUUAGGAAAUUGAUGGGUGAAACAUGGCCACAACUAAAAUAAAAUUGGAAGAAAAUUACAAGUAUUGUAAUAUUUUGUCUCACUACCCAAAACCCUCUCACUCAAUAGACUUACAAGAGCUUUAUAAUUUUAAGCUCUUAAAAUCACUCAAAAUCUCUGCUUUUUCUCUCACCAAAAUUGGAUGCCUAAAACCAAAUAGAGAGCUCCCUUUAUAUAGCCAAAAUUGGCUAUUAAAAUAUUAUUAUUAUUUUGUAACCGCCUUUGAUUUCUUCUUCUUCUAUUUUCUUCUUUCUUCUUUCUUCUUUCUACUUCGGCGGUGCCAAACCCUUCAACAUUUGCUGCUUCCAAAUUCUAUUUUUCUUUCCUUGGGCGGCACCUCCUUGGACUUCAAUUUGGGCAGCUUAUACAGCUUCUAGAUCUUCAAAAUAGGCUACUUCUGGAAGCCUUUUCGUGACACAUUACCUAGUAGAUUUACUCAAUCACAAAUUGGGUGGUUACAAACUAUGUUUGAAAACCUUUAAUUAAUAAAAUUCUUAUUUAUUUUCUUUCGUAAUACGAUUUACCUAUUAUGAAAUCAUUUGCAUUAGAGCGUGAAUAAUCUCAUUACUUUGGGGUAUUAUUUGCCUUGGACUUCUUUUUUUGGUCUAUCACUAUAUUACUUACCUUGGGCUGUCUCACUAUUCUCGUGUAAUAUUAUCUGCCUUGAGUCAUUCAUUUUUGUAUUGAGUGGUGAUAUUAUCUCAUCAUUUUUUAUAUUAAUUUCUAUUUUGCCGUUGUAUGAAAUUACUUAUUUUGGUGAAUUACUAUAUUAUUUCCCUUGGGCCGCCUCACCAUUUUGUUGCAUAAUCUGCCUUGGGUCAUUCAUUUUUGUAUAGAGUGGAGAUACGAUCUCAUCAGCUUUUAUAUUAAUUUCUGUUUUGCCAUUGUAUGAAAUUAUGAAAAAUGGAUAUUGAAGAGUUUCUUGCCACAAAUUGAACCUGCAUCUCUGGUAAGCAUUACUCUUGCAUUUUCGCGGAAAAGGCAGUAAGUCAAUGGCCUAAAUUCAUGGUUCAUUUCAUAUUAUGGAGUUUCUUUCUUCAGGAUGAUUUCGGCUGGAAUUCUCAUAAUUUGCUUCCAAAAAUCCACUACUGAUAGGCUUGGUGCUUGCCAUUUUUGCCUUUGCAGCUGGUAGUGGCUUGUAUGCUUGUUGGAUUAGUCAGAAAAAUCAAUUGGCAUUGGUCACAAAUUUUUUAUUCGAGCUGAGGGAUACAUACAGUAGUAGACGUCGUAUACUAUGUUCUCUUUCUCAUAUGUAUAAAUAUAGUAAGAGAUAUAUAUGGCUUUUAUAUAAUUCUCAAUAUCAUAGGCGGUAAACAUGGACUCUUGGCUUAAAGACAAUAUGAACGUGAAACCAAUAGUUAUUUAAGAUUAACGGCCAUGGCUAAACUGCACGUCGAAACGUGUUAGCAUGGUUCCAUAAAAUAAUAGUUAUUUAAGAUUAACGGCCAUGGCUAAACUGCACGUCGAAACGUGUUAGCAUGGGUCCAUAAAAUAAAUAAUUUUAUCUAAUUAGGAGAGAAAUCGAUUCAGUAACAAGCUGCUGCUUGCCCUUCCUAGAAAUUUUAAAUUUAUGAAUUGAAAUUACUCACGCCUUUUCUUGUGUAGUUAAUUAUGCAUACAGUUCAAUCUGAGGGAUACUGAUGUGAAGUGUAGGGACAUGGAUAUAUACUAUCGUUUACAUUAUUUUACAGCCUUGAUGUAUUAUUUUAUUUGGCAAUCAUAUAGUCAUUGUCUGCACUACACUUUGUCUUCCCUACACUUGUCUCCACUUGAGUAUCCUUGAGUGGUAGCUGAGUCACAAGUCACCUUCUCAUGUCUGCUGGGCUUGUCGUGCUUGAUUUACUUUGUUCUAACACCCCGGCUCAAUCUCAGUUUUCUUAGCAUACUCUUAGGUCAUGUUUGGUUUGUAAAAAAUGGAGAAGAGGAAAAGUGUGGAAUGGAGAGGAAGAGAAAAGAAAGGAAUGGAGAAAAGUAGUAGUGAAAUCACAUUUUGUUGAUUGGUUUGAUAUAAAAUUUAAUAAGGAAAUGAAUUAUAAUUUUUUUCUUUAGACUAAUUUACAAUUUACCUCAAAUAUUUAAUUAUUUAUACUAGUAAUAAAAUAUAUAUAUAUAUUAAAAUAAAAUGACGGUCCGGUGGCCGGCGGUGAAGGUCCGGUUACUUUUCGGCGAACGUCUGGCAUCUUUUCGGCGAACGUCCGGCAGGAUUCCGGCGAAGUUCGGUGGGAUUCCUGCGAAGUCCGGCAGCUUUCCGGCAACGUCCGGCGACUUUCCGGCGGUGAUCCAUUUAUGAUAUUAAAUCAAUAAAAUAAAAUUAUAAAUACUAAUUAUUAAUGAUAUUAAACAAAUUAAAAAGUUGAAAGGUAAUUUUAGAAACUUUAGUUUCUAACUUAAGAGGAAUUUAAAUUCUUCACUACUUGGUGUGGAAUUCAAAUUCUACAUUAUGAUGGAUAUUAAAUUUUAAUGGAAAUUAAAUUCUUAUAUAUUUUGUCAAACCAAACAAUGGAAAUGAAAAGAGAAUUUAAAUUAAUUUCCUCUUCUCCAUUCUCUCCUCCCAACCAAACACCACCUUAAUUUAUUUGUAUGGAAUUCAAAUAGCUCAUGUCCCAAUGCCUUUGUCAUAAUGUCCGCCACUUGCCUUUUACUCAGCACAUAUUUAAGAAUUAUUUCUCUUUUCCCGAUUUUUCAGUGUAAAUAAAUUAAGCCAAUAUCUUGAGAAUCCAAGCGAUACAUACAGUAGAAUUUGAAAUGGUGCAAGACCUAAUCAAGUUUGAUAUAUACUAAGUUACAGAGGCCAUUGAUGACAUACGUAGGAAAUUAUCUGUAAUUGUUGCUUGACUCCCACGUAUGUGUGUAUAUAUAGUUCUUUUCAAGUGAGGGCAUCCUCAUUUUGUUAAAGUGAGGAUGCCCUCACUAGAAAAUUCCAGUAGUGAUAUCGUUGUUGGAUUUUUUAAUCUACUAUUGUUGGAUCCGUAAUCCAAUACUGGGUUUAUAUGUGAAAAUUUUAUAUAUUGCAGACUGUCAUAUAAGAUUAAGUACAAUUAAAAGUGAACUAUUUAGGUUUUCGGUAUUAUGGACUUUAAUGUGUCUAAUAGGGUGUGAGCUUUAAUGUGUAGAGAUUCAAUGAUAUUUUAAUUUUAUGAUGGACAUAAUUAGAAAUAUCCAGUGACAAUAAGAAAAUGUUGUCUAUAUAAGUGGUUAUGGUUCCCAAAUCACAAGUAUGUUUCUAUUCUAUAUUGACAUCUCAUCAUCAGAGAGAGAGAGAGCGCAGAGAGAAUUAAAGGACUUUCUAUUAUCUUUUUAAGUGAGGAUACGCUCACUAGAAAAUUACAAUAGUGAUAUCGCUAAAACAACUAUUUUAGAGUUUGAUUAUUUGAACAAGUAAUUUUAAUUCUGCUUGGCUAGAAUUAGAGUAGUAUGUUAUUAGUCUUUCUAUUUAUAUUUAGGUAGAAUUCUAUUUCUAUGUUUGAGUGUACAUUGCCUGGUAGAUUUACUCAAUUACAAAUCACGUGGUUACAUAAUAUGUUUGAAAACCUCUAAUUAACAAAAUUCUUAUUUUAUUUUCUUUCGUAAUAUGAUUUACCUAAGUCUCUCUUAUAAAAUCAUUUGCAUUAAAGCAUCAAUUAAUCUAAUUACUAUGAUGUAUUAUUUGUCUUGGACUUCUUAUUUUGGUCUAUCACUAUAUUACUUACCUUGGGCUGUCUCACCAUUUUCGCAUAAUAUUAUCUGCCUUGAGUCAUUCAUUUUUGUAUAGAGUGGUUAUAUUAUCUCAUCAGUUUUUAUAUUAAUUUCUAUUUUUCCGCUGUAUGAAAUUACUUGUUUUGGUGAAUUACUAUAUUAUUUCCCUUGGGCCGCCUCACCAUUUUGUUGCAUAAUCUGCCCUGGGUCAUUCAUUUUUGUAUAGAGUGGAGAUAUGAUCUCAUCAGCUUUUAUAUUAAUUUAUGUUUUGCCAUUGUAUGAAAUUAUGAAAAAUGGAUAUUGAAGAGUUUCUUGCCACAAAUUGAACCUGCAUCUCUGGUAAGCAUUACUCAUGCACUUUCGCGGAAAAGGCAGUAAGUGAAUGACCUAAACUCAUGGUUCAUUUCAUAUUAUGGAGUUUCUUAAUUUCUUCAGGAUUAUUUCGCCUGGAAUUCUCCAAAAAUCCACUGCUGAUAGGGUUGGUGCUUGCCACAUUGCCUUUGCGGCUGGUAGUGGCUUGUAUGCUUGUUGGAUUAGUCAGAAAAUUCAAUUGGCAUUGGUCACAAAUUUUUUUAUUCAAAUUUUUAUUCGAGCUGAGGGAUACAUAUAGUAGUAGACUUCAUAUACUAUGGGUGCGUUUUUGGGAUUGAGGUUGGGUAGCUGUGACUUUUAAGUUAGAGCACUAAAGUGUUUGGUAAACACUAGCUGUUGUACCUUUUAAGCUAUAUUAAUAUGAUUUUUUAUUUGUAUAAUGAAAAAUUUAUUAUAUCUUUAAUUAUUAUUUAAAAUUUAUAUUUACUAUAUAUUAUUAACUUUUGUUUGAUAGUUACUGUUUUUUUUUUAUAACUGUAGUUUUUAAGUUACAGCACCUCAAUUCCAAAUAGGACCUAUGUUGUCUUUCUCAUAUAUAUAAAAUAUAGUAAGAGAUAUAUAUUGCUUUCAUAUAAUUCUCAAUAUCAUAGGCGGUUAACCUGGACUCUUGGCCUAAAGACAAUAUGAGCAUGAAACCAUUUCGCGUGGGUGAUCAGUUAAGCCACCAAUGGGCUAUAAACAUAGCUUCAUUCAAGAGAGUUAAAGGUAUCCCAAGUUCUGAAAAUUGAGAGCAAGUACAAGUGAGCUUUUGCAGAGAAUUUUGAGAGUGUUUUCUUAACUAUUCUAGCGGGUAUUAUAUUGGGUGUAUUUAGGUUAUCGAGUUUUGAGAAUUAUGAAAUACAAGUAUGCAACCCAAGAGGGGGGGUGAAUUGGGAUUCUAAAAAAUUAUUCAAUUUAAAGAAAAACUUAAUGCAAAUACACUCCAAAUUCAAAGCAAUAAUAAUUAAGUUGAUCACAAUAUAAAAAGAUAAGGGAAGAGAAAUUCAAACACAGAGAUUUUUACGUGGUUCGGCCAACCUCGCCUACGUCCACGCCUCCAAGCUUUCCAGGCUUGAGGAUUCCACUAAGCAAGCCUCCAAGGCUUCAAAUGCUUACACUUGACUUCCAAGGUGUCAAUAAACCUUUACAACAAGAGAUUAUCCACAAUCUCUUAACCCAAGUGUAUCCCAACACUUACAAUCACUCAAAGUAAAAGAUUACAAAUUAUUUUUCUCUCACACAAUAUCUAAGAUAACAAAUCAAUGCCCAAUGUGUUAAUAGAUGAAAAGAGAGUGAGUUUAAAGCUCUAUGAAGAUUGUAUUCGCGGAUAUAAGCUCAGAGGUAGUGUUGUGAUCAACCUUCUUUGAAUUUAAAUGAGCUUAUUUAUAUCUGGAGCUGAAAAUCUAGCCGUUACAAACUGUCAGACAGAAAACGGUUCGCCGUUAACCCUAAACGGUUAACCGUUUCGGUUGGUCAAAGUUAUCGUUGGGCCAGAUUUUAAAUAAACGGUUUGCCGUUUGGGAUUACCCUUUCGCCGUUAACUUCCAGAGACUUGCAAGAUGAACAUUGGUUAUCCGUUUACACUAAACGGUUAAGGACUUGCGUGAAGUGGCUUAUCUGGAUAUUAUCGGUUAACCGUUUGUAAUAAACGGUAAGCCGUUUGACUCCAGUAACCUGCAAAACAAACUAGCCUUAUCAGGUUUUGUUAAUAAGUGCCAGAGGAGGACAACCUUCAAUUCUGGACGUUACCGGUUAACCGUUUAUAAUAAACAGUUCACCGUUAAGUUCCAGUUGCCUUUCCAUCCUUGGUGUUUUCCGUUUUUCAUAAACGGUUAGAGCUUAAGCAAUAUGUUGCUUUCUGGUGUUAAUCGGUUAACCGUUUUAAAUAAACGGUUCACCGUUAAGUUCCAGUAACCUUCCCAUCUUUUGUGUUUUUCGUUUUUCAUAAACGGUUCAAGGUUUAGAAAAUAUGUUGCUCUCUGGAUGUUAUCGGUUAACUGUUUAAAUAACCGGUUCACCGUUAAGUUCCAGUAGCCUUCCCAUCUUUUGUGUUUUCCGUUUUUCAUAAAUGGUUCAAGGUUUAGAAAAUAUGUUGCUCUCUGGAUGUUAUUGGUUAACCGUUUAAAGGAAACGAUUUACCGUUUAUUUCUAGAAUCGCACUUUAAAACAGAUUUUAUAGAGAAUCAUUUUUGAAUUCGAAGGACCCUUUUAUGAAACAAUAAAUGGAAUGAUUAUUAAGGCUUUCAUUUAUUAAGGAAUAGCUCCAACAUUUUUAUCAAAAAUCAUUUAAAGUUUGUUAUCAUCAAAAUCAAUAUUAUUAACAUAUUCAUGUUAACAAUCUCCCCCUUUUUGAUGAUGACAAAUUUUAUUCAAUAUUUAGCUCCCCCUUAAUAUGUGCUCCCCCUGAAUGUAUGUCCAGAUUAAGAAAUGUUCAAUAACAAGAUUUUUGCUCAAGAAAACCUUUUUAAAUUCAUUCUUAAUCUCCCCAAUUUAAAUACCAUAAAUCCGUUUUAAAUACCAUAAUUAUCUCCCCCUUCAUCAUAAAAAAGAAAAGAUAGAAUAGGGAAAAAAAAUUGCAAAUCCGUGAAAGAAGUUACCCGGUUUUGGCGAGCGAAAAAUUUGGCAGAGUUUCCCCUUAAAAAUGAACAAAACCACUAAUACAAAAUGAGAUUAAAACACUUCCAAAAUAGAUUAACACCAACUUCAACUUUCAACAAGCCAACAACUCCAUGAACAAAACAAAACAACACUCCAAUAUCCACAAACAUACCAACAUUACAAUAUCCACAAAUAAACCAAUACUUAUGCAUCAAAAUCCAAAAAACAUCUAAUCAUCAAGAACAUCACACACAUAUGCAUCAAAAUAAAAAAAAAUAUAAAUGCAAAACACCAAAAUAUGAAAUGUAUGUGCGAAAACAGAACUCAGAAACUACGGAGGCGGAGAAGAUGUGCUCCCCGGAUCAUAGCCGAAAUAGCCGAGAAGAAUGCGCUGUCCGGCGAUAAGCUCGAGCUGCUGGUCAAUGCUCUGCUGCUGGAAAGUCUGAAAGUUAGAGUGGAGCUGCUGGUGGUCACGGGAAAUGGUGUCCAACCGAUCAAGAAUCAGCUGCUGGCGCUCCGAGAACCGGCGAACAUCAGUAACCAACUGCUGCACAACGUCUGAAGCAGGGGGCGGAACUGGAGCUGGAGGUGGCAUAGAGGUCGAUGGCUGCUCGGGAACAGCAGAUGGCUCAGGAGCAGGAGGCGGCUCGGAAGAGGAGGGAAUGUCAGCAUCCAUCGCACGCUCCUCAGAGUCUGAGUCAGCUGGAGGCCGAGGGACAAAAUGGCGACGCGGAGGAUGAGGAUGAGCUCCUAAUCUAAAGUCAGGAAGCAGAUCGGGAGAAUAGACAUCAUUGAGCAUCCGAUCGUCCUCUGGAGCAAUCAAGGUAUCCCGGUUUUUGGAGUUGCUUGUCUUUAUCCACACUCCAUUCUUUCUAGAGAAACCGAUACUAGUCAUGGCCUCGGGACCAAUCCGUUGAGUCUCCAUAUGUCCAGUAUCAAGAAGUGGAACCUCAAAGCGUCGCAGUAUCUUAGUGAUAAUACUGCCAUAAGGAAGCAAGCGGUGAUUGACCGCGGGAGUACUCAACAUAUGUCGAACAAUAAUAUACCCGAGGUUAAUGAGACGGUCUGUAAGAAGGCUAUCUAAUAGGGCAACGUCCAACCUCGUAACCUCAUCAGAGUGACCCUUCCUAGGUGUCACUAUGUGCUAUAAAAUAGAGUGAAGAAUACGAACUUGGAGAGGUAAGAGUUGAGACCGAAACGGAAGCAAACAAAUCUCAUCCGAUAAGUCUCGACGACGACAUAUAUUACGGACGCCAUGAGUAUGAGAAAAACUGUCAAAGGAGAGGGCUUUCCUAGAGGUGUAAAUAUCAAGCCCCUCACAAGAGAUACCAAGAAGGUCAGCUAGGUCCGCAUCAUCAAACUCUAUUGGCACACGGCCGACUUGAGUAACUAUCCUAUUUAGGCGAGUGUCGGAGAUUUCCAUGUUCGAAUAAAAGACUCGCACUAAGUUUGGAUAAACUCGGUCAUCAAAAUCAAUGCCAGACUCCCAAGGCAGAAGCAUAUCCCGAAUACUUCUACCACAUACAACCAAAUGACGGAAAUCAUCAAGGUCAACAAAGAAGGAGUCAAGUACCUUUCGACCAUCGAAGCGUUCUUCGAACCGCUUGGCCAAGGAAGGAGUGGGGAAGUGAAUCCUUGCAAAUUCAGAGACUUCCCGAGGUGGUAUGGGAUUCCUUGGAGGCACAGAUUUACGCCUGGGGUUUCUCCGAGAGGGUUCAGCCAUGGAAAAUACAGGAGAUAAGAAAGAGAAUAGAUGAUUGGCUUAUGGAUGAAUAGGAGAUGUGAUUUGGGUGCUCAAUUUGGUUGAAGAAGGGGAAGAAUCGGAUUAAAAACGAAGAAAUCCGACCCGCGGCAGUUAGGGUUUUGAUUUUGGGAUUUUUGAAUGUUGGGCUUGAUUUGAAGUUUUGAAUCGGUAGAAUUGUUCUAAAGGGGAUAAGAAAAGAUUUUGAAGGUUUGAUUUGGCAAGGAAAGCAAGAAAAAUGAGGGUUUGAGGACAGAGAAACCUUCGGCUGCGCAACAAUGGUGGAAACGGUGAAAGGGUAACUGGAGAAAGAGAAGAAAACCUUUAAACAGUAUUUAUACUUCGCGAAAACGGUUAACCGUUUAUUUAAACGGUUAAAGGGUAACUUCCAGAGGCUGAAGAGAGGGAAACGGUGAAAGUCUAAGCGCUUAACAGCUAAGGAGUAACUGUUAGAGGACUCUCUAUUGACAAACGGUUCACCGAUUGUGGAAAACGGUGAAAGAGUAAACGAACAGACACAUAAUCUCGUUUCUGGAAUUAAACGGUGAUCCGUUUAUAGGAAACGGCUAACCGUUUAUUUUAUCUGUAAUUUCGCACAUUUGAUUUAAUUUUUGGCUGGCAAAUAAUAUAUUCCAAGAUCAUUUAAUUGAUUUGAAAAUAUUUAAUGAGCCAUUUUAAUGCAUGAUUCAUGAACAUAUUUUUCAACCAAUUAAUUCAUAUAAUCACAAGUUAUCAAGGCAAAUUCAUCAUUUGACGAUCAAGCUCAACCAUUUCAUAAAUAAUAGUCAAUCAAUUCAGUACACUCAAUAGCAUGAAUAGAGAUGUUAAUGCAAAAAUUUCAUCAUCCCAAGUUCAUGCCGAAUUUUUGAAAAUUGUUCUUCGCAAAGCGGUUUUGUGAAAAUAUCGGCAAGUUGUUUUUCCGUGGAAAUAAACUCUAAUGCAAUAUCUCCCUUUUGAACAUAAUCUCUCAAGAAAUGAUGUCUUAUUUCUAUAUGCUUGGUUCGAGAGUGUUGAAUGGGAUUUUUUGAAAGGUUUAUAGCACUAGUAUUAUCACACUUAAUAGGAAUUUGUUCAAGAUUAAUGCCAUAAUCUCUAAGUGUUUGUUUCAUCCAAAGUGCUUGUGCACAACAACUUCCGGCAACUAUUUAUUCAGCCUCAGUAGUUGAAAGUGCAACAGAAUUUUGUUUCUUGCUAAACCAUGAAACAAGAGAGUGUCCUAGAAUAUAGCAAGUUCCACUAGUGCUCUUCCUAUCCACUUUAUAACCGGCAAAGUCCGCAUCCGAAAAACAUGUUAAAUCUAUAUGAGUUCCCCUAGGAUACCAAAGGCCAAUAUCUAUGGUUCCACUUAAAUAACGGAAAAUUCUUUUAACAGCGAGCAAAUGAGAUUCCUUGGGACAUGACUGAAAUCUUGCACACAAACAUACACUAAACAUGAUAUCGGGUCUACUUGCAGUCAAAUAAAGUAGGGAUCUGAUCAUACCUCGAUAUAUUUUGAUAUCCACUUCUUUACAUUUUUCAUCUUUGUCCAGCUUGGUUGUUGUGCUCAUUGGUGUAUUCUUGGUCUUUGAAUCAUCAAUGCCGAAUCGUUUGAGUAGAUCCUUUACGUACUUGGCUUGAUUUAUGAAAAUUCCUUCCUCAUUUUGUUUGAUUUGAAGUCCAAGGAAGUAUUUCAACUCUCCCAUCAUACUCAUCUCAAAUUCCUUGCUCAUACAUGAUGAAAAUUCUUCACACAACAACUCAUUAGUAGAACCAAAAAUAAUAUCAUCAACAUAAAUUUGAACAAUAAGUAUGUCUUGGUUCUUAUGCUUAACAAAUAGAGUAGUAUCUGCUUUACCCAUAGAAAAAUCAUUUUCAAGCAAGAAAUUUUUAAGUCUAUCAUACCAUGCUCUAGGUGCUUGUUUUAAUCCAUACAAGGCUUUAAGCAACUUAUAAACAUGAUUUGGAAAUUUAUCAUUUUCAAAACCAGGAGGUUGUUUCACAUAAACUUCCUCCAAAAUAUAUCCAUUUAAGAAAGCACUCUUGACAUCCAUUUGAUAUAAAAUAAAAUCCUUAUGACAUGCAUAUGCUAACAACAUCCUAAUGGAUUCUAACCGGUGCAAAGGUUUCAUCAAAAUCAAUUCCUUCUUCUUGGUUGUAACCUUGAGCCACUAAUCUAGUUUUAUUUCUUACAACCACACCAGAUUCAUCCAUCUUAUUUCUAAACACCCAUUUAGUACCUAUUAUAGAUUGAUGUUCUGGUUUAGGAACUAAUUCCCACACAUUAUUUCUUUCAAAUUGAUUUAACUCCUCUUGCAUUGCCAAAAUCCAAGAUUCAUCAUUUUCAGCAUCCUCAAAAGAUUUUGGUUCAAUUUGAGAGAUGAAUGCAUUAUGCUCACAAGUAUUUCUAAGUGAUGAUCUAGUUGUAAUACCUCGUGAGGGAUCUCCUAAAAUUACAUCUUUAGGGUGAGAAGAGACAUACCUCCACUCCUUGGGGAGUGUUUGAGAAGUACCUUCAUUUUGCUCCACGUUUGGUUCUUCAUGAUGUUCCUCUUGAAUUCCAUGUGGUGCGUCUUCUUGAUUGUCAUUUGAUGCUUCUUCUUCUUGCUGUUCUUCUUCUGCAUUAUCAUCAACAACGACUUUCUCCGUAGAGGAGGGGUUAGACUCAUCAAAUGUGACAUGCAUAGAUUCUUCCAUAACUAAAGUUCUUUUAUUAUAGACUCUAUAAGCUUUGCUUGAGUUUGAAUAACCAAGAAAAAUACCAACAUCAGAUUUUGGAUCAAAUUUACCAAGAUUGUCUUUUGUGUUCAAAACAAAACAUUUGCAUCCAAAAACUUUAAAAUAGCCAAUGUUGGGUUUUCUAUCUUUCCAAAGCUCAUAUGGAGUUUUAUUAAGAUUAGGUCUAAUCAACACCCGAUUUAAAACAUAACAAGCGGUGUUGACGGCUUCGGCCCAAAAAUAUUUUGGUAAUGCAUUUUCAUUUAACAUGGUCUUAGCCAUUUCUUGAAUAAACCUAUUCUUUCUCUCAACAACUCCAUUUUGUUGUGGAGUUCUAGGUGAAGAAAAUUGAUGCUCAAUGCCUAGAUUAUUGCAAAAACUCUCAAAUGCAUGAUUUUCAAAUUCUCCUCCAUAAUCACUUCUAAUGUAUACAAUACCAUGCCGUUUUUCAUUUUGUAAUUUCUUACAAAGCACUUUAAAAGCAUCAAGAGCAUCAUCCUUAUUGGCUAAGAACAAUACCCAUGUAUAUCUAGAAUAAUCAUCCACUAUCACAAAUGCAUAAUAUUUGCCAUUUAGACUAGCAUAUCUAGAUGGCCCAGAAAGAUCUAUGUGAAGAAGUUCAAGUGGUUUUGAAGUGGAAAUAUGGUUUUUAUUCUUGAAAGAAGUUUUAAUUUGUUUUCCAAAUUGACAAGCUUCAUAAAUUUUAUCCUUUUGAAAACCAAUUUUCGGAAGACCUUUAACUAAAUCAUCUUUCGAAAUUUUUGAAAUCAAAUCCAUACUUGCAUGUCCUAACCUUCUAUGCCAUAACCAACAAUCAUCAUGCAAUGCCGAAAAACAUUUAUCAAGAGAAGAUGCACAUUCUAUGUCAAUGAUAUAAACAUUACCACAUCUAUUUCCAACAAAUAAGGUUUUGCCAUCACAUGAGUUCUCAAUAACACAACUAAAUUUAUCAAAGAUAACUUUGUAACCUUUGUCACAUAAUUGACUAAUGCUAAUUAAGUUGUGUUUCAAGUUCUCAACCAAACAUACAUUCUCAAUUAGAGUUGAAGAGACUUUACCAACAUUUCCAAUUCCAAGAAUUUUUCCUUUUAAGUUGUCUCCAAAAGAUACGUCUCCACCAUUUUCAAUUUUGGUGAAGCUUGAGAACCAUGCAUAGUUUCCGGUCAUGUGCCUUGAACAACCGCUGUCCAAGUACCAUUUAUUUUUCUUCUUCUUCAAGCCCUACAAGAAAAAGUCUCAAGUUUUAGGUACCCAAAGCUUUUUGGGUCCUUGAGAGUUAGUAACGGUUCCUUUUGGAACCCAAAUGUAUUUGACACCAUAAUAUGCAUUCCUUUUCACGGGACAUCUAUAUUUCAUGUGACCAUUUUGAUUACAAUAAUGACAUACAAUCUUAUGAUCAUUUGUGGAGGUAGCUUUAACAAAAUAAUUCUUAUAAUACUUUUGCUUCAAGUUAGGCUUAUAUCCAAGUCCUCUUUUAUCAAAAACACAUUUUUGUAAGUUAAGCAUAUUAUCCAACAUUUUUUGCCCAUUUGUAAAUUUCAAAACAAUUUCAUUCAAUUCAUUACUCUUUUUCUUGAGCAUUUCGUUCUCAUUUUUCAACUCAUCUAUGUGUGAUUCUAAAUGCUCAUGUAAGAUGCUAGGUUUCUCAUUUGAUAAUGCAAUUUCAUCAUGCAAUGUUUUGUUCCCUACUUCUAGGCAUGCAAUUCUAGCAUUUAGAGAUUCAUUUUCAUUUUUAAGCUUUGCCAUUUCCUUUUUAAGACAUACAUUCUUUUUACCAAUCUUCAUCAACUCAUUAUGUAAAUCUUUAAAAGCAUCAUACAAUUCAUCAUAGGUGGGAUCACUUACCUCAUUGAAAUCAUCAUCCCCUCAUAUUGCCAUGAGUGCUAGGUUUGAUACUUCUUGCAAUCCUUCUUCAUCACUUGAUUCUUCCUCACUAUCAUCCCAAGUUGCAACCAUUGCUUUCUUCUUGAGUUUGUUGAUAAGUGGGCACUCCGAUCUUAUAUGUCCAGGCUUUUUGCAUUCAUAGCAUGUGAUUGCCUCCUUCUUCUCCCUGUGGUUCUUGAAGUUUCUGAAAUUUCUUCGCUCUCCGGUUUUCUUGAAGAAUUUUCUGAACCUCCUUGCUAGCAUGGCUAGCUCUUCAUCAUCCGGUUCACUCUCCCCAUCACUCUCAUGUUUAGAAGCUUUGAGAGCAAUGCUUUUCUUCUUCUCUUCAAGUCCUUUUUCUGCAGCUAAAUCCUCUUCAUAUGAAAUAAGAGAACCAAUUAAAUCAUCAAGAGGUAAAGUAUUUAAAUCUUUGGCCUCUUCAAUGGCAGUUCUUUUAGGUCUCCAUUCUUUUGGAAGAGAUCUAAUGAUUUUCUUAACUUUCUCACUAUUUGAGAAGGUCUUCCCCAAGGCACCUAGAGUGUUUACUAUGUCCGUGAAUCUAGUAUACAUAUAAUACACAUUCUCAUUUUUUUCCAUUUGGAAUAGCUCAUAUUGACGAGUGUAUCUACUAAUUUUAGACUCUUUAACUUGAUUUGUCCCUUCAUAGACAACUUCAAGUUUAUUCCAUAUUUCUUGUGCACUUUCACAACUAGAUACUCUAUGGAAUUCUUUCUUAUCAAGGGCACAAAACAAAGCAUUCAUAGCCUUGGAGUUUAGAGACAUCUUUCUCUUUUCUAACUCACUCCAUUGACUCGAUGGUUUAGGAAUAUCAUCUCCUACUUCAUCUUUAAAUGUAGGCAUGAAUGGACCAUCACAAACAACUUCCCAAAUUUCAUAAUCUAAGGCUUGCAAAUAGAUUCUCAUUCUAGUUUUCCAAUAAGCAUAGUCAUUACCAUCGAAAAAUGGUGGUCUAGUGGUGGAUUGCCCUUCUCUAAAGGUUGAGUCAUUUAGGGUUGCCAUGGAUCUUUUACUCUUAGAUGAUUAAGUCCUAACAAGAGAACAAGGCUCUGAUACCAAUUGAAAUACAAUUAUGCAACCCAAGAGGGGGGGUGAAUUGGGAUUCUAAAAAAUUAUUCAAUUUAAAGAAAAACUUAAUGCAAAUACACUCCAAAUUCAAAGCAAUAAUAAUUAAGUUGAUCACAAUAUAAAAAGAUAAGGGAAGAGAAAUUCAAACACAGAGAUUUUUACGUGGUUCGGCCAACCUCGCCUACGUCCACGCCUCCAAGCUUUCCAGGCUUGAGGAUUCCACUAAGCAAGCCUCCAAGGCUUCAAAUGCUUACACUUGACUUCCAAGGUGUCAAUAAACCUUUACAACAAGAGAUUAUCCCCAAUCUCUUAACCCAAGUGUAUCCCAACACUUACAAUCACUCAAAGUAAAAGAUUACAAAUUGUUUUUCUCUCACACAAUAUCUAAGAUUACAAAUCAAUGCCCAAUGUGUUAAUAGAUGAAAAGAGAGUGAGUUUAAAGCUCUAUGAAGAUUGUAUUCGCGGAUAUAAGCUCAGAGGUAGUGUUGUGAUCAACCUUCUUUGAAUUUGAAUGAGCUUAUUUAUAUCUGGAGCUGAAAAUCUAGCCGUUACAAACUGUCGGACAGAAAACGGUUCGCCGUUAACCCUAAACGGUUAACCGUUUCGGUUGGUCAAAGUUACCGUUGGGCCAGAUUUUAAAUAAACGGUUUGCCGUUUGGGAUUACCCUUUCGCCGUUAACUUCCAGAGACCUGCAAGAUGAACAUUGGUUAUCCGUUUACACUAAACGGUUAAGGACUUGCGUGAAGUGGCUUAUCUGGAUAUUAUCGGUUAACCGUUUGUAAUAAACGGUAAGCCGUUUGACUCCAGUAACCUGCAAAACAAACUAGUCUUAUCAGGUUUUGUUAAUAAGUGCCAGAGGAGGACAACCUUCAAUUCUGGACGUUAUCGGUUAACCGUUUAUAAUAAACGGUUCACCGUUAAGUUCCAGUUGCCUUUCCAUCCUUGGUGUUUUCCAUUUUUCAUAAACGGUUAGAGCUUAAGCAAUAUGUUGCUUUCUGGUGUUAAUCGGUUAAUUGUUUUAAAUAAACGGUUCACCGUUAAGUUCCAGUAACCUUCCCAUCUUUUGUGUUUUCCGUUUUUCAUAAACGGUUCAAGGUUUAGAAAAUAUGUUGCUCUCUGGAUGUUAUCGGUUAACCGUUUAAAUAACCGGUUCACCGUUAAGUUCUAGUAGCCUUCCCAUCUUUUGUGUUUUUCGUUUUUCAUAAACGGUUCAAGGUUUAGAAAAUAUGUUGCUCUCUGGAUGUUAUCGGUUAACCGUUUAAAGGAAACGGUUUACCGUUUAUUUCCAGAAUCACACUUUAAAACAGAUUUUACAGAGAAUCAUUUUUGAAUUUGAAGGACCCUUUUAUGAAACAAUAAAUGGAAUGAUUAUUAAGGCUUUCAUUUAUUAAGGAAUAGCUCCAACAUUUUUAUCAAAAAUCAUUUAAAGUUUGUUAUCAUCAAAAUCAAUAUUAUUAACAUAUUCAUAUUAACAAAUUAUUCCCGUUCAAAGCCCAACCCCAAUUUCAUGAACCUAAAUAAUAAACCAAACAAAAGAGAAUAUUCUCUCAAUUUAUCUAGAAUUAUCUUGGGUAAUAAUAUCCUGAAUAAUUGGCGCUGUGGCAGUUUUAAAAAUUUGGUGAUUGUUAAGAAAUUAAUGACAAUAAGUUUAGGAUGUCGUUACUUGUUAGGACCUGCAUUUAAAAUCUUAAAUAUUCGUAAUUAAUUAUAAAGAUCUUGGUUCACAUGCAAGCUACAACAAUUAGCCAACAAAUAUAUGGUCUUUUUGACAAAACUAUGCAAAAAGAAAGAGAAUAUAAUCAAUGAAACUGAUUUGGACAAUACCACACGAUUUUAUUUUUAUUGACAAACCAACCUAAAUAACAUAUUAACGUAAAUAACGCAUCCACAUAUAAUUGUUUUAUUUAAUUAUUAAGAAAGAUGAAGUACAUGGACAUUGGAAACUAAAAAAUAUAAUCUCUUAUAUAUCAAGAGAUUUUAGAGAUUAAACUGAACCAAACUAGCACUCGCAUGAUUAGUUGACAGAUAAUAACAAUACCCAUCCUUUUAUUAACUAUAAUAUAAAAAAGUAAUACUUUAGGUAUGUAUGUAUUUAUUAACCAGUGUGGUCGGGAUUUCUUCUAUAUUGAGAGACAACAAUAAGAUUAAGAUUGUCAAAUGUCACUUCCAUAUCAUCAGCAAUACCAUAUACAGGUACUGGAGUACUCUCUGACCGCUCACUCUUACAUGAAAGUUUAAUAUUAGAAAAUGAAUUCAUAAAUGCAUAUAUUAAAAUAUGAAUUGUAAAUGAUAUCUAUUCAGCUGAAAUUGGCUUGAAACCUGCGCAAGGAGGAGUUUCUAUGUUCUUAUCUCUGCUUUGACUGAUACAUAUAGAUUCAAGAAGCCGACGUUGCCAACGUGUGGGCAAUUGUGACCUAGCAAAACAUCUAAUAGUUAGUUAAAUUCCACCUGCGACACGUGGGAGCAUGGGUCCACAAAACAAAUAAUUGGAACUAAUUAGAACAGAAAUCGAUUCGGUAACCCGCCGCCGCAUGCACUUUCUAAAAGUUUUAAAUUUAUGAAUUGAAACUACCGACGCCUUUUUAUGUUUGGUUAAUUAUACAUAUAGUUCGAGCUGAGGGAUACAUACAGUAGUAGAGUCUUUAAAAUGGUACAAUACCUAAUCAACGUUGAUAUAUACUAAGUUACAGGGGCCAUCGAUGACAUACGUAGAUAAUUUUCUGUAAUUGUUGCUUGAUUCCCAUAUAUAUAUAUAUAGUUCUUUUCUAAAGGAUGUUAUUAAAUUAUAAAAAACGCAUAUUUCAAUACACUAAAAAUUAUAUAUUUUUUUAUUUAUUAGUAUAUUGAAAUUUAUGUUUUUAUUUUUUACUGACAUCCCUAACAUCCUCACUUUUACCCUCAUUAGAGAAUUACAAUAGUGGUAUAUCUAGGACAGCUAUUUGAGAGUUUGAUUAUUUGAGCAAGUAAUUUUAAUUUUUGUUGACUGGAUUUAGAGUAGUAUGUUAUUAGAGUCUUUCCAUUUGUAUUUUAGGUAGAAUUUUACUUCUAUGUUUGAGUGUACAUUGUCUAGUAUAUUUACUCGGUUAUAAAUUGGGUGGUUAUGUAAUAUGUUUGAAAAUCUUUAAUUAAUAAAAUUUUUAUUUUAUUUUUUUCAUGAAAUUAUUUAUCUAAAUCUCUCUUAUAAAAUCGUUUACAUUAGAGCAUUAAUUAAUCUUAUAACUUUGAUGUAUUAUUUGCCUUGGACUUUUAUUUUGGUCUAUCACUAUAUUAUUUACCUUUGGCUGUCUCACCAUUUUCGUGUAAUAUUAUCUGCAUUGAGUCAUAUUUUUGUAUAGAGUGGUGAUAUUUAUCUCAUCAGUUUUUAUAUUAAUUUCUAUUUUGCCGUUGUAUUAAAUUAUUUGCUUUGGUGAAUUGCUAUAUUGUUUGCCUUGGGCCGUCUCACCAUUUUGGUGUGUAAUCUGCCUUGGGUCAUUCAUUUUUGUAUAGAGUGGUGAUGUGAUCUCAUCAGCUUUUAUAUUAAUUUCUGUUUUGCCAUGGUAUGAAAUUAUUAAAAAGGAUAUUGAAGAGUUUCUUGCCACAAAUCGAACCUGCAUCUCUGUUAAGCAUUACUCUUGCAUUUCCACGGAAAAGGCAGUAAGUCAAUGGCCUAAAUUCAUGGUUCAUUUCAUAUUAUGAAGUUUCUUUCUUCAGGAUGAUUUCGUCUGGAAUUCUCCUAAUUUGCUUCCAAAAAUCCACUUGCCACAUAGCCUUUGCAGCUGGUAGUGGCUUGUAUGCUUGUUGGAUUAGUCAGAAAAAUCAAUUGGCAUUGGUCACAAUUUUUUUAUUCGAGCUGAGGGAUACAUACAGUAGUAGACGUCGUGUACUAUGUAUGUUCUCUUUCUCAUAUAUAUAAAUAUAGUAAGAGAUAUAUAUGGCUUUUAUUUAAUUCUCAAUAUCAUAGGCGGUAAACAUGGACUCUUGGCUUAAAGACAAUAUGAACAUGAAACCAUUUCACGUGGGUGAUCAAUUAUAUAACUUUCAUCCUUCUUACGGAAGUCAGAAGAGGUGUGUACCUACCACAUCAACCGUGUCAAGCGAAGAUAUUGGACAUUUAAUAAUGAAAAAAUUAGGAAUUUUCAUGGACACACCAGUAGGUUCCGUAAAUAUAUAGAAUCAAUUGAUUCUAGGUACCUUACAAUGUGACUUUUUUUUUUUUUUGUCCCUGAAGAUCCGGACUAUUUUUGAGGAUACUGGCCGUUGAGGCUUUGUUUGUAAUUGUGCAAGAAAAUGGAAAAGAAUGGGCUAAAGCGCAAAAAGUAAAGCUAACAGUUGUUUAAUUUAAUUUUUUAAGAUUGUUUUGAUGUGGAAUUUGAUUUGGGAACUUUUUUGUAAUUACAAGAAACAGCCACACAGGGUGACAAUUAUGGCAUUCUUUCGUCAAUUGGAUAUUAAUAGUACAAUGAGGAUGGCUAAAUGCAUAAUCACCCUAUUAAUCUUGCAGUCCAAAGCAAAAGCAAAAUAGCAUUACAAACAGUAGAACUCUCAGAUUGAUUCACUGUAUCUAAACGAUAGGUCAUCUCAUUACUAAACUAUCUGACGUAACUGAUUCAGAAAUUUAAUUUAGAGAGGGCUUGGUACAAAUAAAAUAAUUCACGAGGCGCGUUCGAUGGUGCAAGUGAUCGGCGGCAACAACAAGCAAGUAAGGUAAUGAUGAUGUAUAUGUUGGAAAUAUGAAUUCAUAUUGUUUAUUAAAAGUUCAAAACAUGAAUAAUAGUUGUUGCUACUGUUCACUUCACUGUUUAUUAAUACUAUUAAUCAUACUGUUCACUUAGCAACAAUUGUAAAUUUGUCAAGGCGUGUUCGAACUGUCCUUAAAACAAAUUUCAGCUCUUCUAGAAAGAUUUCUCGAUGCAAAAAGGAUAUAAAUAAAAUGGAUUGAGCUCCAUGAUACAAUGAUAUUGUUGCCAGGUUGCACUCCAAGUACAAUAGUUUAGAAAAGAAAAAUUAAUGAAGAAACUAUGAGAUAGAAGGAGAGGAUAUAGUGGCUGUGCCUUGAAGACUUUGUAUUUUAAAAUACCAAUAAAACUCGAAGAAUAAACUUAAAUAAUUUGGAUCAAGAUUGCACUUUAAGAUGAAACACUAAUUAGUGGCCUUUAUGUAUAACUUAAUAAUUUGAUAAAUAACUUCGCACUAGCAAAGCCAAGAGUUUCAUUUAAACCCCUAAGAUUCAAAUAUUCUUUCCCCCUUUACUACUGGCAAAAUUUGGCAAUCGAUAUUUCGGAAGACAUCACACAUGUCAAAAAAAAAAAAAAAUAGCUAGUCCCAUCAAAAUCACCAAAUGCAAUCCAAUAACAUGCUCCACUUAAGUAUAGACUUUCAUGAGAAUCGACGGAAAAAAUAAAUAAUAAUAACUUCAUUUAGUUAAGCAAAUAACAAUUUGUGAUUGUUCGUUAAUCUUAUUAAUAAUCUAAUUCUUAGUUUCUUACUAUUGUUCUUUUACUUGAUUAUAUUGUCGAAUCUUUCUGAAAAAGAUUGUUUUUGUAAUUGACAUGUUUAAAGUUUAAACAAAAAAAAAAAAGAACUAAAUCCAAAUCAAAUAUAAAUACAAAUCCAGGUUCUAAAAAAAUCAAGUACAAAUACAAAAUCUAAAUUCUAAAACUUAAAGUUUCAAAGCGAACAUCAAGGAAUCAACAUCCCACGAAGCAACACGAACGGCGAAGGCGAGCUAGUUCAACCUGUAUCGGGGCUGGUUACUGGUCGCGAUAGCAGCUAGUGAUGAUGAACAUUGAACACAGCCACGAUCACGAUUAGCGAAGGUGGCGUUCAACUCGUAUCACAACUUGUUACUGGUUGUGACAGAGAAGAAGAAAUGAUGGCUGAUGAUGAUGAUGAGAUUAACACAACCGCAAAGAUAGUGAAGCGAUGACGACGAUGAUUUAAUUUGAUGAAGAAAAGACCUGAAAAGAGACAGACAGGAAAUGUUUGGCCUUGGCAGCCGCAGCUAUGAAUGCAAGUAGGGCACUUGGGCUUUUUUUGUAUUUUUCUAAUUGUAUUAUAUAAUCUAAAAAAAUUAAUAUUAAAAUAAAAGCUUCCGGGUCUAGAUUCUGUAUCUAUGGGUUAACAUAAACCCAGACCCGGACCUGGAUACGUCUGGGUUCAUUAAAUUGCAUCCGAAUUCCAUAUAAAAUUUGCUCCAGUAUGGGUUGAAGCCAGCCUAUUCUCUGGGUUCAUCUAGGUUUGGGCGGGGAUCGGAUUAAAUUGGCAUCGCUUUUAUGUCCAAAUUAUCAAUAAGAUCCUUUGGUGUUAGUAAAUUCCUUUAUCACGUAAAUGGUUUCAAUUUUGAACAUAUUAGUCCUAUUCCAAUUUUCAACCGUUCCCAAUUUUAUAACUCCAUUUAUUAAUAACAUUGUCUUAAAAGUUCAUCAUUGCACGGCACUAGAAUGAUUAUAAGGUUUAAUAUUUUUGAAUUAUGAAGCUCGUUCUCAGUAAGACAAGGCUAUUUGCACUCUAAAACUUAGUCUAAACAAUCUGUCACCUUGGAUACUCAUGUACUAAAUUUAAAAAGAUUAAGUUUUAUUUUCUUCACACUUUAAAAUACCUAAAAAGACCUUAUUGAAACUCGCUAAAUUAAUUUACUCAAAACACCAAUCAAACUAUUUAGCACAUCCAAAAUGAAUUAGUAAUAAUUUAGAAUACACUGCAAUGGAAUCAAAGUAUGUUCUAAAGAAAUUUUUUUAACAUAAGUUUUAUUUAUUAGCUUUUGUUUAUUAAAGAAUAUGUUCAGCAUUGGUUUUUAAACCCCAAACUUUUAACCCAACAAUUGGAAAAAAUGGUUAUUUGGCCCAAAAAGGGAAAAAAAGAAAGAAAGAAAGAAAGAAAGAAAGCAAGAAAGAAGAAAAGAACACAAAGAAGAAGGAGAAGACUGCAAAAAAUAUUUUUAAAAAACUAAAAAGCAUAAAUAUGUUCAAAAUAUAUUAAAAGUAUUCAUUUGCUCCUAGCUCCUAGUUUAACUAAAUAUUGUUUAAGAGAUUGGAAAUAAAAUUUCUAGGGCUUAUGCCAAAAGAAUUAUAUAUUCAAUAACAAGUGUGCUAUAUGAGUAUUUAGAGUAAUUAUAUAAUGUUAAUUUAUAAGAAAGAGUCCUUAUUAGUAAUUCAUAUGAUGUGUAUUUUUGUAAUAGAAUAAUUUAUUAAAAUAAAAAUGUGCAGAAUAUUUUUUGUAUUGUAAAUAUGUAAAUAUUCUCACCCUUCUCAAUAUAUUGACUUGAGUGAUAAUUUUAAAUUGCAUCAGAAUGAGCUAAAAGAAGAGGAAUUGUCGAAAUUCAGCUUAUGGCAAUUGAACAAUUAAUGGUUAAGAAAUACAGUAAAUCAAUAAUACUAAAACAUAAACAUAAUAAUUAAAGACUACCAUUAAAAUCUUUUUAGGAAUUUAUCUUGCAAACCAUCUAUUAGACGUCAAAAAUAUAAUUAGCCACCAAAAAUUUAAGAUAAUAGCUCUGCACUGUUGAGUGUUAGAAAAUGUAUAUUUAUAAAGGAGAAAAUCGUCAUUUUACACUUCCAAGUUUUACUAACACUUAUACUUUUAUGUAUUUUAGUCUCUUGUAAUUUAAUUAUGUGUAUUUGAUUUUAAUUAUGUAUUUUAUGCAUUUUAGGAGUUUCAUGGUCAUUUCACAAUGAACGAGAGCGGCAAAACGACAAAACGGACAUCACUUUUGAUGAAACUUAUUUUAAGCAGAUAGUGGGAAGUCUCAUGUACCUCACCACCACUAGACUUGAUAUGAUGUUCAUUGUGAGUUUAAUUAGUCGUUACAUGUCUAAGCCUAUAGAGCUACAUCUGCAAGUACCUGAAAUAGCUCUUAGGUACUUGAAUGGCACAAUAAACUAUGAGAUACUUUACAAGAAGGGUGGAGCUGAAGAGCUUCUUGCAUUCACUGACAGUGAUUACGUCAGGGAUGUCGAGGAUAGGAGAAGCACCUCAGGAUAUGUUUUUUUAAUGAAUUCUGGAGUUGUGUCCUGAUUGUCAAGGAAGCAACCACUAGUCACUUUUAGAGAUGGCCAACAGGCCGUGCCGUGCCGGCCCAGACCCAUCCAAGGAAGCCCACACGUGCUGGUGCUCGUGUUGUGCCUAAUUUUUGUUGCUUAGGCCUGGCUCAGCACCACUGAUACCGUGCCCACACGUGUCGUGCCGUGCCGUGCCCAGGAAAAAAAGCCCACUAAGUUUUUUUCAUUUUUUAUUUUUUUAAAAGCGUAUGCCAAGUUGUUGUCUUAUUUUUUUUAAGCCUAUGUACUUUUUUGGAUCCAUGUGCCUUUAUUCAAAUUUAAUAGAAUCAAAAAUUCAAAACUCAAGUCUAUAUUCAAUAAUAAUAAAUUAAUAAUAAUAAGAGAAUGUAAUAUUAGUUACUAAAUUUGACGUUGUGGUAUUAGAAUUCUUUUUUAGUACCUAACAACAACAAUAAUAAUUUUUUUAAGGGUUAACUUAAUUGUUAAUUUAGAAUUAUGUACAAUCAUAUAUCAUAGUUUAUAAUAAUAUUAAUACAUAUUUAUAAAAUCAUGAUAUCAAUUAUUUAAUUAAUAAAUUAUAAACAUAAAUCAAUUAUAAUUUUUUUGAAACUAAGAAUUAAAUAAAUUUAAAAAACUUGAGCUAAUAAAAUAUAUUAAAAGAUUCAAUUUCAAGUUAUUUAUAAAAUCAUAAAAUUUUAAGUUUACUUUCAUUAAAAAAUGAAACGUACUUAUUGCGUGCUUUUUCGCGUACCGUGUUUUUAAGGCCCAUGUGCUUAAAAUUCUAAGCCCGGCCCAACCCACGUGCGUGCUGUGCCAUAUCGUGUGCUCUACGGAAACGUGCUCAUGCCAUACCAUAUUGUACGGACACGUACCGUGCCUCGUGCCAUCCAGCCCAUUAGCCACGUCUAGUCACAUUAUCAAUCACUGAGGCUGAAUUUGCGGCAGCUGUAGCCUAUGCUUGUCAGGCUGUUUGGAUGAGAAGAAUACUACAGUAGGAUUAUUUGCUGGAAUAAAUCCCUAACUUUUAGGGUGUUAGUUGCAUUGUUUGACAUUUUCUUUGUUACUUGUACCACAAUGCUUUAGUUGUGCAUUAGUGGGCUAUUAUUUCUCUUUUUCUGUUACUUUGUAAAGCUAUUUAAGCCAAGUUCAUCUAUUCAAUAAAGUAAGCAAUUUUCAAAUUGUUUAGAGUUCUUGAUUUGCAAUUUCUUCUGCGAUCAUUAAUUUCCUACGCCAGCAACUAGCUGUUAUUUGGCAGUUUUAGUUAUGGGUUUGGAAGAUAUAGCUUUUGGAACUAAUUUUUUUAAAAUUGAUUUUGGAACGUCAGUUUUGUUUACGUUUCACGACUCACACGUGUUGUGGAGGUAAAGUUAAAUUAAAUUUUGUAUUUUUCUUUUGUUGAAUUGAAAUUGUUAAUUUUAAUUUUCUAAUCAACAAAUGAUUUUAAUUUUUUUUGGAAUUACCAUUGUUAAUUAUAGAAAUGUUUAUUCAUGAUGAAAAUUUUCAUCUCAGACUCAUUAUGGUAUAAUUGUACUGGUCUCUACACCCAAUCUAUGUUAGGUAAUAGUCGUUUUUUGUACUCUCAUUAAUGAGAUAAUUUGACAACACUAAUGAUUUGAAUAAUACAUAAAGUGUCGCAUCAUUUGAGAUAAUUUUUAACCAUAUAUAUUGUUAUUCUAUAAAAAAAAAAGUGUUGGAAAAAUAGGAUAAUGAGUUGCUAUUUAAAAACAUAAUUUUGAGUGGUAUACACUUAGUGUGAGUAGAAAGUCAAUAAUAAUUCGAAAUCUCCUCCAUGAGUACUCCAAAAUGAUGUAUUUGUAUACUGAAUAUGAUGUUGGUUAAAUAGGAAAUUGAUCCUCAAAAUAAAGCAAGAGUUACAGAGAUUGUAAUGGCUAGUUAAAUUCAAAAUUAACUAUGCAAUCCAUUCCAAGAAUUUAUUAUUUGUAACUGCUAAUUAAAUGUAGAAUUUAUUAUGAGAUUAUAAUGGUCAAUUAAAUUUAGAUUUUGAUAUAAAAUUAAAUCCAAAAUUUAAUAUAUGAUUAAUGAGGCAGCGAUUACAUUUUGAAUUUAAUUUAAAGAUUUAAUAAGCAGCGCUUUUAAUGGAUAUUAAAACCAACGGUUAAAAGUGUGUUUAAUAAGAUAUUAAAUUGCAUCUGAAGAAAACUUAAAGCAAUCAAAUUUGUCACCAAAAUGCCGUGAUAUAAUUCUAUAAAUUGGCAUAUUCUUCUACCGCAUUUGUAGAGACACGAGAUAGUGUAAGUGGUGGAAAAUAAUGAGAAUACAAGUGAAGAUAGAUUGAAGAGUAGGAAUAGAUGAUCUGCAAUUCAUUCUUUGUCAUAUAUCCAUUUUGAUAGAGUUUUAAACACAAUUGAAAUUCGCUGCGAAAUAACCUAUUGCCGCACCAAAGCUAUCCAUCACCAUUGUAUCCUGAAAACAGAUGCCAUUCGAAUCCUAAGACACCCAAAGUAGGAAGCAAAGCUUUUUAAACAAACUAUGCUAUCACAUAAGCCUCCAUUUGCAUUCUAUUCUUUGGUUUUACUUUAUGUUAUUAUUUCAUUGUAGUAAUUAUUAUUUCUGCACUUAUUAUUCUAUAAAGUCACAAUUUAUGAUUUGUAAUUUUAGAAUCUGUUCAUCCUAUAUCAGUUGUAUAUAAUGUGUUUUUCUCUUGCAAAAAUUUGAUGAAAUCUUAAUCCAUUUUGAUUUCUAAAAAGGGGAGAAAAAAAAUAAAAUAGAUUAGUAAUGCGUCAGCUUUCCAACGGCUCAUUUGUGACUUUUUUUAUUUUUAGUCUUUUAAUCACUAACCCUCUCAUGAACACUAGAUAGCUAUCAUGUUCAUGCAAUACAAGUCACUUUCAAGAAGCCUUGCUAUUGAAAUGGUAGACAUGCAACACUCAAAAUCUCAUGCUCAAGAGCAUGGCGGUUCGAGUCCUCUUCAAGGCAUAAUAUUGAGAAUGCUCGUUGAAUGAGCAAUUCAAUAAGAGAUCUCGGAUUGAACUAAUAUAUUGAUUCAAAUUUGAGUGACUAAUUAAAUAAAACUGCUUGAAAACUACACCUGCAUAAGUCCACGUGGGUUCUCAAGUUCUAUGUUAACUAUUAUUCUUCUCGGCAAGUAUCAAUUCUUCUAUUGCAGAUGCCAUUGUUGCAGAAUAGAAGUCAGUUGAAGCUCUUAAUAUUAUGAUUGAAGUUUAUGCAAGUGCAGAUUGCAGACAGCAGAUAUCGACUUGAAGCCUCAUGUAUGGAAAUAAAGAUUGGUUUUCAACCAAAUAUGACGACUGGGACAAUGUCGGGUGGUUAAGGAAGAUGCAAUGGUCGUCUCAAAAAAUUGGGUUUCAUUGGCCAGAUAGGACUGCGAUGUCAACUUUUUUUUUUCUUUAAUAUGAUUAAGAAUGAAAGAGUAAUUUUGACACAUUGACUUGGGCUUGUGAUUGUUAAUAAAUUUAUUACUUCUUUUCAUUAAUUUGACCUGCAUAACAAUUAAUUGAGUGAUUUUUAUUUUUCAAGAUACUUGCUACCCUCCCGAGUUCGAAUCUUCGGUUGAAAAUUUUGAUUUAAACUUAGUCUUCAUCUCUCAUUUAUAAAUAAUAAAUUAAUUAAUUAAUACAUAAAUAAAUAAAACCUACGUGAAUGUAGAAAUGAAUCAGAUGAAAAGUAAAUAUUGUAUAAAUACCCGCAUAAUGUGGUUCAGCUGCUUUGAAUAUUAUGCCAAGAAUAUGCAAAUCUGUUGGUUAGUGUUGACUUUGAACUACCUGAAGUACACAAGGGACUUUAACAUAGACUUAAUAACCAGAGGAAUUUCUGGCAAUUUAAGAAAAAAAGGGAACUAAGAUUCAUUUGAUUAUUCUUCCUCCCUGAACCUUAACAAAGAAAUUAAUUACAAAAAUAGUUUUUUGAAGUCUUUAAAAGUAAACCUUUCAGGAUCUCUUCAGAGAGCCGAAGAAAUGAAACAUGAGAAAACUUUGAAGUGCAAAGUAAUUUGGAGCUUACACAUCUUGAAACUCUUAAUCGGUGAAGCAACUGUGAUGUAACCUAACAGAAUGAUUAGAAUUUUCUGACUAUAUAUGUUAACCCAUCCAUCAUAUUAUCUAUAUGUGUAUUCAGCACAAACCUUUUAAUCUUGUAAAAACUCAAAAUGGAGAACUGUUUUUCGUUCAAUACUUGCAGCCUUUAGAAGCUCAUCAUGUCCUUCACAAGUCCCAUUGUCCAGUGUCGCAAGAGUUUGUUAAAAUCAUGAAUCAGUAUUGUGAAUUGGGUUAGUUAUAUUCUAUUAAGUUCGUUGCUAUUUCUCAAAAAAAAAAAAAAAAGAAAGUUCGUUGCUGAGGUGGGUUGAUGAGCUGGCGUUUGUGGGACCCUUAGUGGUUAAGUUGUUACAACAGUCCUACAAGUUUUUGGAAUUAAAUAUAAAAGAAAGCAAUGCUGGCCGGUGCAGCACCUAACGAAAAGAUCUUGACUAGCUUUGAGAUAGAUUUUGUUAAUUCUUCAUUGAAGGGAUUUAUUCUCUGUGAUCUCAAGAAUUGUAGUAAUCAAUAUCUUAAUAAAAGCUUAUUAUCAGCCAUGGAUAUAGGUACUAUGGUACCAAACCACGUAAUAUUACAAUGUUCUUUUUCUCUGCUUUUUUAGUUUCUUUGUCAUCUUUGUUCUUUGUUCUUUGAUCUAGUGUCAUUAAUUCUUUGCGCCAUUAAUUGGACUGGUUAAUUGGCUAGUCUGAUUAAGAGCUGAAAGAGAAGAAAAGGCCUUGAUUCAUAACAAAUUGGUGUCAGAGCCUUGGAGCUCUUUGCUCUUGAUCUUCAAAUGGCAAAGUAUCAGAUUUGAUCUCAAAAAAUUCAAUGGUGAAAAUAAUUUCUACUUGUGGAGUCUCACAAUGCGUGCAAUUCUAUUUCAAGAAGGGCUUGAUAGUGCUCUUGAUGAUGAUGAAUAUCCAAAGGAUAAGAAAGAGAAUGAAGAAGGUUCAUCAAGUUCCGGAGGAGACAUGGGGUCCAUUAACAAUAAGGCUCACAACAACAUCAUCUUACAUCUUUCAAGUGAAGUCCUGAGAGAAGUGGGAAAAGAAGAGACUGCUUCUGGUCUAUGAGCAAAACUUGAAGAGCUAUUCUUGAAGAAAUCUUUGGCCAAGAGCCUCUGUAUGAAGAUGAAGAUGUACACAUUUUCAAUAAAGGAGGGGACAACUAUGAAAGAUCAUUUGGAUGAGUUCAACAAGCUGAUAUUGGAUCUUAAGAAUGUUAACAUUGUUCUUGAAAAUGAGGAUAAAAUUCUUAUCUUGCUAAGCUCACUUCUAGAUUCAUAUAAGCAUUUUAUGGGUACUUUGCUGUAUGGAAGACAAUCACUCACUUUGAAGAAUGUGAAAAAUGCAUUGGAAUCUAAAGAUUUAAAGAAAAGAACAGAAAUAAGGGAUUAAAAUCUUAGAGAGGGCCAUAGUUGUCAGAUUCAGAUUAGAGAAGAAAGCCAAUAAAGAGAAAAAGAAUAAUAAUCAGAGGGAUAAAGUUGAUAACAAGAAGAAAAAAAAUGCUACUUAUAUCAUAAAGAAAGACAUUAUAUUAAGGAUUGCUUUGAGAAGAAAAAGCUUAAGAGGCUGUAAAAGGAACCAAAUGGGAAGGCUGCCAUUGUAUUUGAAGAUGAGGGAGAUUCAGAAGGAGCAGAUGUCCUUAUUACACUGAAAAAUAACUUACUGGUGAGUGGAUACUGGACAAUGUAUGUUUUUUUUUUUCAUAUGUGCCUAAAUAGAGAUUUGUUCAAGACCUUUGAAAGCAUUGAUGGGGGCAAAGUCUUGCUUGGAAACAAUCUUUCUUGUAAGGUUGCUGGAAUUAGAACCAUUAGUAUCAAGAUGUUUGAUGGGGUAACUAAGGAUCUAAAACCAGUGAGAUUGAAAACUUUUCUAUAUUUCUCUAUAUCGUAAAAGGUAACACAAAUUCCUCUUAUAGAAGAGAAUACAUAAAAUUGGGAAACUGACAAUAAAUUAGCUAUCUAGUUGUACUAACUAUUUCAUAAUUUACACCAUUGACCUAUUCUUAUUUACAGCUAACAAUCCUCUCUAACUACAAAUAUUUCUUUCCUUUUCUACACUCCCCCUCAAGCUGGUUUGAAGCUAUCCUCCAUAGCCAGCUUGCCAAUUAGCUCGUUGAAUUUCCGAGUAGGAAGCCCCUUAGUAAGUACAUCUGCAACUUGCUGAGUAGUGGGAAUGUAAGGCAUACAUAUUAACCAUUUCUCAAGUUUUUCCUUGAUGAAAUGACAUCUUUAUUGUCACAAUACACUUUCAUAGGUAGUGAAUUAGAAACUUUCAAUUCUUCUAAGAGUCUUUUAAUCCACAACACCUCACAAAUCCCGAAAGCAGUUGAUCUAAACUCAGCUUCUAUGCUGCUUCUUGCCACCACAUUCUGUUUCUUACUUCGCCAUGUAAAAAGAUUGCCACCAAUAAACGUGCAAUAGCCAGAAGUUGAUCGUUUAUCAACAACACUUCCAAUCCAAUCCGCAUCAAUAUAGACUUCAACUUGCAAGUGCCUACGAUUAUUUAAUAACAAACCGCAUCCAGAAGUCCCCUUCAAAUACCUGAGAAUUCUAUAGACUGCAUUGAAGUGUUCUUGUCUAGGGGAAUGCAUAAACUGGCUAACCAUGCUCACUACAAACGCUAUAUCUAGACGAGUAUGCGAUAAGUAAAUCAGUAUUCCAACAAGUCUUUGGUAUUGUUCUAUGUCCAAGACUUCUUCAGGUUUAAGAGGCUAUAAUUUAAGGUUGAGCUCAAUAAGUGUUUCUGCUGGUUUACACUCUAGCAAGCCCAUUUCAUUAAGCAAAUCAAGGACAUAUUUACGUUGAUUCACAAAUAUACCUUCUUUGGAUCUAGCAAACUCCAUUCUGAGAAAGUAUUUCAAUGUCCCUAAAUCCUUGAUCUCAAAGUCAGCUGCAAGUCUCUUCUUCAAUUUUUCUAGUUCUUCACUGUUAUGAUAUGUCAUGACUAUAUCAUCCAUAUAAACAAUUAGUAUAGCAACUCUACCUUCUCUACCAUGUUUAUAGAACAUAGUAUGAUCAGCUAGGCUUUGACAAUACCCACAAUUCUUUACAUAUUUCCCAAAUCUCUCAAACCAAGCUCUAGGGGACGCUUGAGGCCAUACAACAACGUUUUUAGUCUAUAGACUUUCAUUGAUCCCAAAUUCUUCUCAAAACUAGGUGGUAGACUUAUAACAAUCUCUUCCUUAAGAUCACCAUUCAAAAAGACAUUUUUUUUACAUCCAAUUGGUGUAGUGGCUAGUUCAGAUUUACAGCCAAAGAUAAUAGAAUUCUAAUUGAGUUUAUCUUGGCUACCGGAGCAAAGGUCUCCUGACAAUCAAUCUCAUAGGUUUGAGUGAAUCCCUUAGCUACUAAUCUUGCCUUAUACAUUUCUAUGCUACUAUUCGCUUUACACUUGACAGUAAAGACCUAUUUGCAAGCUACAGUCUUCUUCUCUUUAGGCAAAUCGACUAAUCUCUCAAGUACCAUUUCUCCUAAGAACAUUCAUCUCUUUUAUCACUGCCAAUUUCCAAUUUGGAUUACCAAGAGCUUCCUGAAUGUUUCUUGGGAUAAAAAAGUGUGAGAUUUUUUAGGUAAAUGCCCUAUCAGUAUGAGAAAGUUUGUCAUAAGAAAGAUAUUGAGCAAUGGGAUAUCUAGGAUUCUUAGUGAGAUUUCGGAUUCCUUUUCUAAUGGCAACAUGAAUAUUAAGGUUUGAUGAUUCUUUGCUAGGGAAAAGCAUGGGAAUUGAAGAUGAGUUAGGAUUGAAAAUACAUGUGAUAUUUGUAGGUCCAAUCCCCAAGGGUUGUGAUUGAUCGUUACCAAGAGUAACUGGCAGCCUUUGAGUUUUUUUUAUGAUGUUUUCUUUGAGUAUAAACCAAAAGCUCAGUUGUUAGAAUCAUUUUGAUACGACAGUAGUAGUGAUUCUCCCCCUAUUUCAGAUACAAUAAUGUUUGGCAUUAUAUUACCAGAACUUCCCUCAUUGUUCUCAGUGUUUUUAUCAUCACGUUGUUCUUGACUUUGAAGGCCAGAAAUGGUAGGAUGAGAGGAAUGAGGUAUAGUAGUCAAAAUUAUUUUUGGUAAAGAGUUAGAAGAUAUAUCCCAAAACGUUUCUUCCAUUACCUCAUACUCCCCCUAAAUAGAAUUUUUUUGAAAGUAGGAUUUUUUUUUUCAAAAACCGAGAUAUCUAUACUCACAUAAAAUUUCCUUGUUUGGGGAUUAUAGCACUCAUAUCCCUUUUAUUGGAGGCAUGCCCUAUGAACACAUAUUUUUCUGCCCUUGGAUCAAGUUUGUACUGAGUGUUAUUAGGUAUACGAACAAAGAUAGUAUAGCAAAAAACUUUAGACGUAAAUCUGAGUACAUUCUAGAUAGGGGAAAGCAUUUUUUAAAACAUUCUAGAGGUGUACUAUAUUUUAAAACACAUGUAGGCAUCCUAUUAAUUAAAUAAGUUGAUUUUAAAACAGCUUCUCCCCAAGAUAUUUUGGAAUAUUCAUCGAAAACAUUAUAACACGUGUUACUUCAAAUAAAUGUUUAUUUUUUCUUUCAGUAGUCCCAUUUUGCUGAGGCAUAUCUACACACGUGGACUGGUGAUAAAUACAUUUUUCUUUAAAAUUUUUUCCAAAAUACCUUUAUAGUACUCGGUUCCAUUAUCAUUGUGAAGAACCCUAAUUUUCUUUUGAAAUUGAGUUUCAACCAUUGUGUAAAAGUCUUUAAAAUUUUUUCCAACUUCAGAUUUUUCACUCAUUAAGUAAACCCAACAUAGACGGGUGUGAUAAUCUAUAUUAAGUAAACCCAACAUAGACGGGUGUGAUCAUCUAUGAAUGUGACAAGCCAUUUUUUCUUUGAAAUAGUAAUAACUCUUGAAGGUCCCCAAACAUCACUACGUAUUAAAUAAAAUGGUUUUGAAGGAAUAUAAGGUUUUGGCAAAUAAGUAGUACGAUGAAUCUUAGAUAAGCAACAACUUUCACAGUAAAAUGAUGAAAAAUCCAAACCCUUAAAUAAAGUAGAAAACAAAUGUUUAAGAUAUUGAAAGCUAGAAUGUCCCAAUUUUAAAUGCCAAAGCAUUAUUUGUUCAUAAACAGAGUUAGAACUAACACUACUAAAGCCCUAAGAAAUCAUCAUCAAAGUAGUAAAGGCCACCAAUCAACUUAGCACUGCCAAUCUUCUUCCUCGAGGUUUGGUCCUGAAAUUCAUAGUAAGAAUCACAAAAAAUCACUCGGCAAUUAGAAUCUUUAGUUAUUUUACUCAUGGUUAAAAGAUUACAAGCUAACUUGGGAACACGAAGAAUAGAAUUAAGGUUUAAUUUUUUGGAUAAUUUAAUCAAACCUUUCCCUACUAUUGGUAACAAAGUACUAUCUGCAAUUCUUAUUUUGUCAAGACCAAAAGAUGGUGAGUAAGUGCAAAACAAAUUUGAAAGGUUGGUCAUAUGAUCAUAAGCUCUUGAAUUUAUAAUCCAAGGAGCAUAAUUUGACAUGAAGAAAGAGCAUUGGGUGUGCUACCUAUUUGUGCAAGAGAAACAGUAGGAAUACUACUUGGUGAGUAAUUGGGUUUUAGCAACUGCAGAAGGUAAUCCAUUUGCUCCUUGGUGAAAGGGCCUGUCUCGGCUUUAUUUGCAGUAGAAAUCAACCAGGUAUUUUUAUCACCAGGCUUGCUGCUCUUUUAAUUUGCUAGUUUUUCUUGGAUUUUCCAGCAUGUUUCUCAAGUAUGACGUGGUUUGUUGCAAUAGUCACACCAUACCCGUAGAUUCUCUUCAGUUUUAUGCUGAAAUCUAGCUGUUUUGUUAAAAACAACCAAUGCACUAAGAAGGGCAGAACUUUCAGUAGGCUCGUCAGUUGUCUUCUUUCCUAGCAUUACAUGUCUACGACUUUCUUCUCUUCGAACCUCAAUAAACACCUCGCCAAUUAGAGAAAGUGGCUUCCUGCCAAUGAUCCACCCCUGAACCUUAUCGAACUCAACGUUGACUCCUAUAAGAAACUUGUAAAUACGAGAAGCCUCAACAAUAUUGUUCUAAUAUUUGGCAUCUUCUGUGAAUUUCCAUUCAUAAUCGUUGAACAUAUCUAAAUCUUGCCGAACAGAUUAAGACUACCUUAAAUAAUUUUCACCAUUAAGGAAAAUAAUGGUAAUUUGAAUUAGAUAAGUAUCAGUAUUGGGAGUUUGGGUUUGUGUUGGAGAAUUGGUUGAAGCAGAUAUAAUCGAUUGAUUAUGAUGGCUCUGAUACCAUGAAAACUUUUCUGUAUUUCUCUAUAUCGUAAAAUGUUACACAAAUUCCUCUUAUAGAGGAGAAUACAUAAAAUUAGGAAACUGAAAAAAAAAUUAGCUAUCUAACUGUACUAGCUAUUUCCUAAUUUACACAAUUGACUUAUUCUUAUUUACAACUAACAAUCCUCUCUAAUUACAAAUAUUUCUUCUCUUUUCUAUAGAGAUAUAUGCCAGACCUUACAAGAAAUCUCAUAUAUCAAUGGAUGAUUGAUCAACUGGGCUGUAGCAUUAAGGUAGAAUAUGGUCAAAUACAAGUUAUAAAUAAGGGUGCUGUUAUUAUGAAGGGAAUUAAAAGGAAUGGUUUGUGUGUUCUGGUUGGGUCAUUACCUCAGUUAGGGGUAAAUGCUAGUGUAAGUAGUGACAAAACCAAACUUUGGCAUAUGAAGAUAGGACAUAUAAGUGAAAAAGGUUUGAAAGAACUAAGAAAGCAAGAGUUAUUUGGUCAUAAUCAAAUUUCCUCACUAGAGACAAAAGUUCAAGAGAAGAAGACAUGAAACAAAUAGACAUUGGAUUAUGUUUAUUCAGGUUCCAUCUCAUGGUGGAGCUAGGUACUUUAUUACCUUCAUGGAUGACUUCUCAAGGAAUCUUUGGGUUUAUGUGUUGAAACAUUAAAGUGAAGCCCAAAAAAAAUUCAAGGAAUGGACAGCCCUAAUGAAGAACUAAAUUGGAAGAAAAGUGAAGAGAUAAAGAACAGACAAUGGCCUGGAGUACUGCAACAGUGAGUUUGAUGAGUUUUGUAAGAAGCAUGGCAUUAUGAGGCAUAAGACAGUAAAACAUACACCACAGCAAAAUGACCUUGUUGAAAGAAUGAACAAAACCUUAAUUGAGAAAGUCAGAUGAUAUUAUUUAGUUUUAAUCUCUUUAACCAUUUUUGGGCUGAAGCAAAUUGCUGCAUAUCUUAUCAACAAAAAUCCCCCAUCAGCUUUGGAGUUUAAAACUCCACAAGAAGUCUAGUCUGGCAAACCACUUGAUCUAAGUAACCUAAGAAUCUUUUGUUGCCCAGCUUAUGCACAUAUAAGUUUGGGAAAGCUAAAACCAAGGGCUGUUAAAGGUUAUUUUAUAGGAUAUUCUGAAGGAAUUAAAGGAUAUAAGAUUUAAAGUAUUGAUGGGAAGCCUAUUAGAACCUUUAUUAGUAUAGAUGUUGUGUUUAAUGAGGAGGUAUUGAUACAGACAAAAGUUAAAAUAGAGAUCUUUACUAAUUUUAAAGGAAAUUCACAUAUGAUGGUGGAGUCAAUAGAUACUCAGAGAUCCAGAGAAGAGAGAGAAUAAAGAGUGCACAAACAUUCAGAAUUAGAAGGAUAUCAUCUUGUAAGAAAUAGAGAAAGAAGAGUUACUGUAAGGCCUAAAAGAUAUGGUAUUGUUGUUUUAAUCUCAUAUGCAUUUAUGGUUAUUGAUGAUGUAAGUGGUUGAGAACUUAUCAGCUACAAAAAGGCCGUGAGUAGUAAGGAGAAGUCAAAAUGGCUUGUAGCAAUAAAAGAAAAAAUUGCCUCUUUCAAGAAAAAUAAUACGUAGAUCCUAGUUGACAAACUUUUAAACAAGAAACUGGCUAGCUAUAAAUGGGUUUUCAAGCUCAGAAAGUGAUCAUGGGCAACCUAAAUAUAAGGCUAGACUUGUAGCAAAAAGGUUUACACAAAGGGGAGGAAGCAUUUUCACCAUUAGUUAAACAUAGCUCUAUAAGGGUUUUAUUGGCUAUCACUGCAUUCUUAUAUCUAGAAUUAGAUCAAAUGGAUGUCAAAAUAACCUUUUUGCAUGGUAACUUAGAUGAAGAAAUUCUAAUGGACUAAUCAGAAGGAUUCAUUAAAGAAGGAACUAAAGAUAUGGUUUGCUUAUUACAUGGCUCGAAAUAAUCCUUAAGACUAUGGUAUUUAAGGUUCGAUGAAUUUAUGAUCACUCACGGAUACUUUAGAAGUCAAUAUGAUAGUUAUGUGUACUGCAAACUUUGCCUUUUAGAGGUACUAUAUAUCUUCUUUUAUAUGUUGGUGACAUGCUUAUUGCAUGAAAACAAAGAGAAGAAAUAGAGAGGCUUAAAGAUGAACUAAGUUCUGAGUUUAAGAUAAAGAACUUAAGCCCUACAACAAGGAUUUUAGGAAUGCAGAUCAUAAGAGAAAGAAGUGAAAAAACUUUGUUCCUUUUCACAUGCUGAUUAUGUCAGAAAGGUGCUUAACAGAUUUGGUAUGCUUAGUUCUAAACUUGUUACUAUACCUUCUUGCACAUUUCAAACUGUCUAAACAACAAGAACCAACUGAAGGAGCAGAUGUUGAGCACAUGAUGAAAAUACCUUAUUCUAGUGUAAUGGGGAGCAUCGUGUAUGCUAUGGUUAGUCUAGAUCCGAUGUUUGCAUAUGGAAUAAGAGUUUUCAGCAAGUUUAUAAGAAAUCCAGGGAAAAAACAUUGAGAGGUUGUUAAGUGGAUACUUAGAUACCUUAAUGGUACAACUAAUAAUGGUAUUUUAUUUGGAGGAAUUAAUAAUACACAAGUAAAAUCUUAGGCUAUGUGGACUUAGAUUUUGCUGGCAACUUGGAAAAGAAUGCCAGUUACUGGAUUUGUCUUCACAUUGUAUGGAGGUGCAAUGAGUUGGAAAGAAUCACUGUAAUCAGUUGUUGCUUUAUCUAGAACUGAAGUUGAAUAUGUUGCACUCAUAGAGGCUACGAAGGAAACAAAAUGGCUCAGAGGCUUGGCAUCAGAAUUAGGAUUGAGGCAAGAGUCGAUUUCCAUUAGUUGUCAUAGUUCUACUGCAAUACAAUUGAGCAAAAAUCCAAAAGAACAUGAAAGAACAAAGCAUAUUGAUGUUAGGCUACAUUUUAUCAGAGAAGAAAUUGGUUUUGGUGUGGUGAAUAUUAUCAGAGAAGAAAUUGGUUCUGGUGUGGUGAAUAUUAUCAAAAUCCCCUUAGUAAUCAAUCCUACUGAUAAUCUAACAAAACUUUUGCUUGUAGUCAAGUUCAUGGGCUCUUUGAACUUGAUUAGGGUUGUUAGCUUGUAAGUCAAGCUAUGUGUUGCUGAUACAGAGUUUGGGUGAAGCUUGAAAAUAAUAUAAAUGAAGAGGAGAUUUGUGAAUUGGGUUAGUUAUAUUCUAUUAAGUUAGUUGCUGAGGUGGCUUGAUGAGCUGCUGUGUGGGACCCUUGUAGUUAAGUUGUUACACGGUCCUACAAGCUUCUGGAAUUAAAUAUAGAAGAAAGCAAUGCUGGCUGGUGCAACACCCGGAGAAAAGAUCUUGACUAGCUUUGAGAUAGAUUUUGUUAAUUCUUCAUUGAAGGGAUUUGUUCUUGUGAUCUCAAGAAUUGUUCUAAUCAAUAUCUUAAUAAAAACUUCAGGCCCAAAGGGGUAAUAUCAGCCGUGGAUGUGAAUACUUUUGUAGCAAACCACGUAAUAUGGCAGUGUUCUUUUUCUCUGCUUUCUUAGUUUCAUUGCCGUAUUUAUUCUUUGUUCUUUGAUCUAGUGUCAUUAAUUCUUUGUGCCAUUAAUUAGAUUGGUUAAUUGGCUAGUCUGAUAAAGAAUCGAAAGAGAAGAAAAUGCCUUGAUUUCAUAACAAGUAUUCUGUCCUUAAAGGCUUUAAGUCAAUUAUUUUCUUAAACAAUUUAAGAGAAACUUUAAUUGCUUCAGUCUUCACUCUUCAACGUAUAUGAGUCUCUAUGAUAAGAGUUUUCUCCAAAUUCAAAUCCAACUUUAGCACCCAAAUUUUUGGCCUAAAGGGAAAAAAAAAAAUUAAAGGCUUUACGUACUGGAUACUGAGGUACACACUUCACAUAUUAAUGUAAAAACUAAAAAGUUAACAUAUAUAUCAAAGGCUUUAUGAACUGGAUAAGAGUCUUGACAUUUUUAUGUAAAAAUUAACAUAUCAAAGGCCUUAUGAACUGGAUAAGAGUCGAUCAUUUACCCCCAUUGGGGACUGAUACAAAGUUAUUCCAGUUGGCGCACAAUGUCUUGCAAAGCAAGCAAACGUUCCCCUCACUAGAUGUAAUUGAACAAACAAUAAUCACAAUUUUUUUUUUUUGGAAAAGUAAUUAAUUCAUUGAUUAGUACCAAAAAAUCAUUGAAAUUUAAUCAAAUUAUACGGAGUUGCAUACCAUUUUUGCUCUUUGUUAAGAAUUGAUAGUCUCUUAAUAAGAUUAUAAUUGAAAGAAUUAGAAAUGGAAUGAGGAAGAUCUUUGGGUGAUGAUAAUGUAAACCACAAGUUUUUAAUAGGGGACACUAAAACUUUUUUUUUAAUAUAAUACCCUUUAUAAAUAGCAACUAAAAAAUUGACCUUAAAAAUUUUAAUAAAUAAAAUAUAAUUUAAAUAGUUUAAUUUUUCUAAUAGACUAAUAAUAUUAGAAUAUUUUUAAUAUAAAAAUAAUUUUAAAACUAUAAAUGAUUAUAUUUAUUUUAAUAAUGUAUUUAUAUUUAUUCUAGAAUUUUUUAAUAAAUAUCUAGGUUAAAUAAAUUUUUCUAAUAGACUAAUAACACAAUGCUCGCAACAUGGUAAGUUUACCGAUUUGAGCCCUGGAAGCAAUUUUCGCUCAGAGAGAAUUUUCAAAUCUUGUUUUGACAUAUGACCGAGUUUGAGGUGCCACAUCAUCGUUGAUUCUUCUCCAUUUGACGCAACGCACGCAUCAGUUUCCUAUAGUGUUUCUCUUUCAAGCACGAACAGAUUAGAACCGAUCUUUUCUACCUUCAUCAAUAUAAGCGCACCUUUAACAAUCUUCAUAAUCCCACUUUCAACAUGGGUUUUACACCCAUGACAAUAUAUUGUCCCAAAGACAAAAGAUUUUUCUUCAGGCCUUUGACAUGUCGUACCUCUUCAAUUGUAUGAACCGUACCAUCAAAUAUUUUUAUUUUGAUAGUACCAAUACCAGCGAUCUCCAAGGCAUGAUCAUCUCCCAUGUAUACAGAUCCUCCUGAGGUUUAUAUGUGUGAAACCAUUCUCUUUGAGAGGUCAUGUGCCAGGUAGCUCCUGAGUCUAUGAGCCAAAUGUCAGAUAGCCAUUUUCUGCCUUAUGAAAUAGUUGUUGCCUCACUGUAGAGAAUUUCGCCAUCAUCUGAGGUACUUGCCAUACACCCUUGAGCAUUUGAUGACUCGGAUUUAUUGUCUCCACUCUGCUUGUUUUUCCAACACUCUUUCUUGAAAUGCCCUUUCUUGCCACAAUUGUAGCAUUUGACAUUUUUCUUACUUCUUGAUUUUGAUCUACCAUAAUUGUGACUCCUACUGGGGCCACAUUCUAUUGAUUUCUCUCUCGUUAUUGAUAGUGCUUCUGCUUGCUGCGAACUUACUUGUUUGUCUUCCUUACUUUUUCGCCUACUCUCCUCAUUUAAUACGGAGGCUGCAACAUCAUCGAAAACUAGAUUGUCCGCUGGGUUGUUGUUUGUCAGGUUGAUGAUGAGUUGAUCGUAUGAAUCUGGUAGACUUUGAAGUAUAAGCUCUGCAUGUUCAUUUUCCUCUAUUUUAUGACCCAACGUUGUAAGUUGUGAAAAUAGAGUCUUUAAGGUGUUGAUGUGGUCGGUCACCGAUGUACAUUCUGCCAUUUGAAGAGUAUAGAGUCUCAUUUUUAAGAAGAUCUUGUUGUGCAGUGAUUUGGUCUUGUACAAUUUUGUGAGAGUAUCUCAUAUUUCCUUUGCUGUCUUUUUCUCUGCCACAUUGGAUAAUACUUCAUCCUCAAGUGCCAAGUAUAGAUCAGAAAUGGUGUUACCGUCUAUCUCGUUCUACUUGUCAUCAAUUAACUCUAUAGGCUUUUCUCCAAUUGCUGUCAAGCAAUUAUUUUUCCUCAAUACAACUUUUAUCUUCAUUUUCCACAACGAAAAUUUAUUUCCGUUGAAUUUCUCAAUUUCGUAUUUUACCGCCAUCGCUUUUCACCAAAAGCUAACUUUGCUAAUAUUGACUCCCACCGCUUCACGUGAACAGUAACCGUAUAAGUGAAUAGUAACCAUAUAAGUGAUAGCCGUAUACGUGAACAAUACUUUUAUGUGAACAGUACCAUGACUCCAAAAAAAAAUACAACAAGUAGCUCUAAUACCACUGUUAGGAAAUUAAUGGGUGAAACAAGGCCACAACUAAAAUGAAAUUGGAAGAAAAUUUAUAAGUAUUGUAAUACUUUGUCUCACUACCCAAAACCUUCUCACUCAAUAUACUCACAAGAGCUUUAUAAUUUUAACCUCUUAAAAUCACUCAAGAUCUUAGCUUUUUCUCUCACCAAAAUUGGAUGCCUAAAACAAAAUGGAGAGCUCCCUUUAUAUAGCCAAAAUUGGCUAUUAAAAAAAUUAUUAUUAUUUUGUCCGCCUUUGAUUUCUUCAUUCUUCUAUUUUCUUCUUUCUUCUUUCUACUUCGGUGGUGCCAAACCCUUCAACAUUUGCUGCUUCCAAAUUCUAUUUUUCUUUCCUUGGGCAGCACCUCCUUGGACUUCAAUUUGGGCAGCUUAUACAGCUUCUAGAUCUUCAAAAUAUGCUACUUCUUGAAGCCUUUUCGUGACACAUUGCCUAGUAGAUUUACUCAAUCACAAAUUGGGUGGUUACAUAAUAUGUUUGAAAACCUUUAAUUAAUAAAAUUCUUAUCUAUUUUCUUUCGUAAUACGAUUUACCUAAGUCUCUCUUAUGAAAUCAUUUGCAUUAAAGCGUAAAUAAUCUCAUUACUUUGGGGUAUUAUUUGUCUUGGACUUCUUCUUUGAUCUAUCACUAUAUUACUUACCUUGGGCUGUCUCACUAUUCUCGUGUAAUAUUAUCUGCCUUGAGUCAUUCAUUUUUGUAUUGAGUGGUGAUAUUAUCUCAUCAGUUUUUAUAUUAAUUUCUAUUUUGCCGUUGUAUGAAAUUACUUAUUUUUUUGAAUUACUAUAUUAUUUGCCUUGGGCCGCCUCACCAUUUUGUUGCAUAAUCUGCCUUGGGUCAUUCAUUUUUGUAUUGAAUGGAGAUACUAAAGAAAUGUGUUUUUAUUUCUUGAAAUAAAACAUUAUACACUGAGAGUUAUUUAUAGAUGCAGAUGCUAUAUUUUUUCAAAGAUUACAUAUGUGAAUACGGAAGGAAAUGUGUCAAUCCGUUCGGCGCGGAUCGUGUCUUUGAAAAAUGCAGAUUAUCCCUUUGACAAGUGCGGAUUAUGUCUUUGAAAACUUUCUCCAAUGCCAUUUUAUUCAACACUCCCCCUCAAGCUGGUGCAUAGAUGUCUUGCAUACCCAGCUUGUCUAGGAAUUUUGUAAAUGCCCUGCUUGAAAUGGCCUUCGUUAAAAUAUCUACAAGUUGAUCUUCUGAUCGAAUUUUCGGCAGUUCUAAGAUUUUUUCAUCUAAUUUCUCCUUGAUGAAAAAUCUAUCUACCUCGACAUGUUUUGUUCGAUCGUGUUGAACUGUGUUAUGAGCAAUAUCUCGUGCAGCUUUGUUGUCACAGUAUAGUUGUAUUGGUUGUUAUAAUGGAUAACCCAAAUCGUUUAAGAUAAAGCUUAUCCAUAGCCCUUCACAUACCCCAAGGGCCAUGCCUCGAUAUUCUGUUUCAGCGCUCGAACGGGCAACGACAUGUUGUUUCUUGCUUCUCCAUGUGACAAGGUUGCCUCCCACAAAGGUAAAGUAUCAUGAAGUAGAGCAUCUAUCACUAACUGACCCGGCCCAAUCUGCAUCAGUAUAAACUUCUAUGUUGUUGUAAUCUUCAUUUUUUGAAAAUAGGAUUCCUUUCCCUGGAUUUGUCUUCAGGUACCUCAGGAUCGGCAUUACUGCUUUCAUGUGUUGUUCUUCGGGAUUAUGCAUAAAUUGACUUACAAUACUCAAUGCAUAAGCAAGAUUUGGCCUUGUGUGGGACAAGUACAUCAAUCUUCCAAUCAGUCUUUGAUAUCUUCCUUUGUUUACUGGAACUUGGUCUGAGGUAAUACAAAACUUCAGUCCUUCUUCUAUUGGGGUGUCAAUAGGCUGACAAGCUGUUAUUCCUGUUUCGUGCAAUAGAUCUAAGGCAUAUUUCCUUUGAGAUAAAAAGAUUCCUCCCUUAGAUCGAGAAACCUCAAUUCCAAGAAAGUAUUUUAAGGCUCCUAAAUCCUUCAUCUCAAACUCUCUCGACAAGUACUUCUGAAGAGCCUCUCUUUCUUCCUCGUCGUUGCCUGUAACUACCAUAUCAUCUACAUAGACAAUAAGGGCAGUGAUUUUCCCUUGUCGUUUUUUAAUAAACAAGGUAUGAUAUGAAUUGCUUUGGUUAUGCCCAAAAAGAACCAUAACCUUUGUGAAUUUCCCGAACCAUGCUCUUGGGGAUUGCUUCAACCCGUACAAUGAUUUCUUCAAUUUGCAUACUUUCUGAUUGAGUCGUUCUGAUCCACUGCAUCCUGGUGGCAGAUCCAUAUAUAUUUCUUCAGACAGGUCUCCAUGGAGGAAAGCAUUCUUUACAUCGAACUGUUGCACUGGCCAAUCCAAGUUGACUGCUAAUGAUAACAAGAUACGAAUAGUAUUAUUUUUUGCUACCGAUGCAAACGUAUCGGUAUAAUCUAUCCCGUAGGUUUGGGUGUAACCCUUAGCUACAAGUCUUGCUUUGUAUCGUUCAAUAGAGCCAUCUGCUUUGUACUUUAUAGUGUAGAUCCAUCGGCAACCCACUAGUUUCUUUCCUGGUGGAAGAUCAACUAGUUCCCAUAUUUGAUUUUUUUGAAGAGAUCUCAUUUCGUCAUUCAUAGCCACUUUCCACUUUGGGUCUUUUAAGGCUUCCUGCACACUGUUAGGAAUAGAUACAAUAGAUAAUUGAUUCACAAAUGACUGAUUUGCUUCUGACAAGCGAUGGUUAGACACAAAAUGACUCAUAGGGUAUUUGACUCUACUAGAGAGGUUGGGCUCAUAUGUGGGUUUAGCGAUACCUCUAUUUUGACGUUGGGGAAGAAUUCUUCUGAUUGGACUUGUGGUAGGAACAUCCUCUGCAGACGAUUGGUUAGGUAUUUCUUCAUGUGACUCAUUCUCGAUUGCAGUUGUGUCUAAGUUAUUGUGCUCCCCAAAUGUGUCUUUACUUAUCUUAGCCUGAGAAUCAUCACCAUUUUCUUUUCCAGUAUCUUGAAGGUUUACUACCUCAAUGGAAGAUUGACCUUCUUCAGGUGGAAGAUACGUAAGAGUAUGAUUUUCCUCUUCAUUAUACUCCCCCUGAAAUUCAGGCUCUGACAAGUAGUACAUGAUAUCUUCAUGAAAGACGACAUCCAUGGUGAUGUAUAUUUUUCUUGAUGGUGGAUGAUAGCAUCGGUAUCCCUUUUGAUGUAAGGCAUACCCUACAAACACACAACGUAGUGCUCAAGGAGAUAAUUUGUAUUGUUGCAGCAAAUGUACGAAGGCAACACAGCCAAACACAUGUGGGGGUGAAUUUGGCACAUUUGGUGACAUAAUUGUAUCAUUCAGAACCUGGAAAGGAGUCUGGAAUCCAAGGGAGCUUGAAGGUGUUCGAUUGAUUAAGUAUACUGCGGAUGCCAGUGCUUCUCCCCAAUAAGAUAGUGGCAUGUGGGCUUGGAUUAAUGAUGCUCGAACAACUUCUAGUAAAUGUCUAUUUUUUCGUUCAGCAACGCCAUUUUGUUAGGGUGUCCCCACACAAGUGGUUUGAUGGACAAUUCCUCAUGAUUUCAUAAAUUGUUGAAUUGCUGUGCUUAUAUACUCGCCUCCAUUAUCAGUAUGUAGAACUCGAAUUUGUGUCUGAAAUUGAGUCGUCGCCAUCUUAUGAAAUCUUUGAAAUAAAGAGUUUACUUCGUCUUUCGAUUUCAUCAGAAAAAUCCAUGUCAUUCUGCUACAAUCAUCAAUAAAUGUAAGAAACCAACGAGCACCUCCAAUUGUAGAAACUUUAGAUGGCCCCCAUACAUAAGAAUAUACUACCAUGAAAGGAACUGGAUUCUUAUUUAAGGACAAUGGAAAAGUAGUUCGAUGGCUUUUUGAAAGUUCACAAACAUCACAUUUAAAGUUACAAACAUCAAGUUUCAGAAACAAACUAGGAAAUAAUUUUUUUAAGUAACCAAAUGACACAUGCCCUAAAUGUCUAUGCCAUAACCAAAUUUCUGAUUUCCCUUUUUUUAUGGUAUUAUCUGCGACUAGUGUGGGGCUUAGCUUUCCAGUGUUUGUUGAUGACAUCUCCAAGUAGUACAAGUUGCCUCGUCUAAUACCAUAACCAAUCGUUUGCUUCGUUUGGAUGUCCUUAAACACACAAUGAUCAGGCCAAAAAAUUACAACUGUUAGAGUGCAAUUUAAGCACUAGUUUUGCAUUGUUUACUUCCCUUAAUAUCGAUGUUUUGCACUUAAUAAUAGUGAUUUACUUGUGUUUUACUUUUGUAGGUGCAAUUCUAUUGAUUGGUGACAAAAUUAAGCUACAAGAUUAUAUUUAAUGAUGAUUGUUCUCUUGGAGAAAUUAUGAGCGUCAGAAGAACUUUAUUGAUAAGGCGUGGGCACAUGCUGUCAACUACGAACCUGCAGUUUUUAGUUUAAACGUGUUUUGUAUUUUUGGUUAUUUUUGUAAUUACGAAUUUAAUAUUUCAGAUAUUAGUAUUUUAUUUUAAAUAGAAUUCUAGAGGAGAAGAGAGGGAGAGUAUUUAAGGGAGGAAUCUAUUGUGAUAAGGGAGAUGUAUGUUUUAUUAUUGUCAACGAAACCCCCAUUUUAUGUUUUACGUUUUAAAAGGAUUUAAAUAAUUACCGAUCUCUGUGGACACGACCUUGCUCAAUCACUAUACACAAUUUAUUUAGAGUAUGUAUUUAUUUUUGCUGGCUUCGACAACCAUCAAAUUUUGGUGCCGUUGCCGGGGAUUGGUGUGAUUUAUUUAAUCCUUUUUACGUUUUACUUGGUGUAUGGUUCGUUCUUCUCGUACAGGUACACUUUCGUUUGAUCCUGAAAUUGAGAAGACAGCUCGCCAGCUGAGACAGCAGACGAAGUGAGCUAAGCAACGAUCCUCGUCGCCUUUGCUUUCUGAAACAGAUACGGUGCCUGAUUUAGUUGAAUCAUCUAGCGAUUCGGAAGAACAAGUGAUGGAUAGAGCUGCACUUGUAGAAAGAACUCUUAGAGAGUUAGCUGAACCAGACUUGAAUCAGCAACCACUCUGCAUUCAAUAUGUAGACUUGGAGGUAAAUUUUGAAUUAAAGUCUGGUCUUAUUCAUUUAUUACCCAAGUUUCAUGGUUUUGUAGGUGAAGAUCCUCAUAAACAUCUCAAGGAGUUUCAUGUUGUGUGUUCAAGUAUGAGGCCACAAGGCGUGACUGAAGAGCAGAUUAAGCUGCGUGCUUUUCCGUUCUCUGUAGAUGGGCUAGCUAAAGACUGGUUGUACUACUUGCCUCCUGGAUCGAUUACAACGUGGAAUGGUUUGAAGAAGCAGUUCCUCGAGAAGUACUUUCCUGCUUCAAGAGCUGCCAAUAUCAGAAAAGAUAUUUGUGGGAUCAGACAACUUCCUAGGGAGACUUUGUAUGAGUAUUGGGAGCGAUUCAAACAAUUGUGUGCCAGCUGUCCUCAGCAUCAGAUUUCUGAUCAACUUCUUAUUCAAUAUUUUUACGAAGGACUGUCAUUAAUGGAUAAGAGUAUGAUAGAUGCUGCUAGUGGAGGUGUGUUGGUGAACAAGACCCCUACUCAAGCAAGGGAGUUGAUCUCAAAUAUGGCUGCCAAUGCACAACAAUUUGGCAGCAGGCAAGAUGCCACUUCAAGAACGGUGAAUGAGGUAAAUAUUUCUUCUGUUGAACAACGUUUAGAUAAACUUACUUCUCUUGUGGAAAAGUUUGUUGUAGGUAAUGUGCAACAGGUAAAGACUUAUGGCAUUUGUUCCAAUAUGGGUCAUUCAACUGAUAUGUGUCCUACACUUCAAGAAGAACCCAUUGAAUAAGCCAAUGUAGUUAGAGGAUUUCCAAGCAUGCCUCAGAUGAGGUAUAAUCCUUAUGCACAAACAUACAAUCCGGGAUGAAAGGAUCAUCCCAACUUAAGCUAUGGAGUUAGGCCGUCAGGAUUCCUACAACAGUAUCCACCAAGACAACCAGCACUUCCACAGUUAAACUCCAAGUCAGGUAUAUCUCUUGAAGAAAUUGUUAAAUCACUUGCGACUAUCACUCAACAAUUUCAACAGGCAGCUACAGCAAGCAUUCAGAAUUUGGAGAAUCAAAUGAGUCAAUUGGCGACUACAGUGAGCUGUCUGAAGUCUCAAGUAUUAGGGAGGUUGCCUUCACAAUCUGAAGUGAAUCCAAAGCAAAACAUUAGUGCUGUCAUCCUUAGAAGUGGGAAGGAGUUAUAAGAGCCUAGUAAGAAAGUGACAAAGCAUGUAGAAGAUGAGCUUGAGAAGAAUGAAUUGAUGCCUAAAUCUCAAGAUGCGCAACCUACCAGAGCGAAACCCCUACCUAUUAUGAUACCUCCUCCUUUUCCAAGCCAGUUUGCAAAACCCAAGAAAGAAGAACAAGAGAAAGACAUCCUUGAGACAUUUCGCAAGGUUGAGGUAAAUAUUCCUUUAUUAGAUGCUAUAAAACAAAUACCUCGAUAUGCUAAAGUCCUUAAGGAACUGUGCACCUCCAAGAGAAAAUUAAGAGGAGAUGGAAAAGUUCACAUGAGGGAGAAUGUUUCAGCAGUUCUCUAAAAGAAACUACCUCCUAAGUGCAAGGAUCUAGGUAUGUUUACUAUCCCUUGUAAAAUUGGUAGUGUUAGAGUUGAAAAGACUAUGUUAGAUCUAGGAGCUUCUAUUAAUGUCAUGCCUCGUUCCAUUUAUUCAUCUUUGAAUGUUGGUCCAUUAAAAGAAACUGGCGUGAUCAUUCGACUAGCUGAUAGGUCUAAUGCAUAUCCUGAUGGGAUAUUAGAAGAUGUCUUAGUACAAGUUAAUGAGUUGGUUUUUCCUGCUGAUUUUUAUGUACUUGAUAUGGAAGAGGAUAACUCCUCUAAUUAUGUCCCAAUUUUGCUAGGAAGACCUUUUCUUAAGACUGUUAGGACUAAAAUGGAUGUACAUAAAGGGACUCUCACUAUGGAGUUUGAUGGAGAGGUUAUAGAAUUCAAUAUGAAUGAUGCCAUGAAAUAUCCUAGUGAGGAACAUUCGGUAUUUUCUGUGGAUGUUAUUAACCUUAUAGUGCAGGAAGUUUUUUACAAGGAAAAGACGAAGACAUUUCAUGAUAGAAUGAUUUUGAGAAAGGAGUUCUCUAUUGGUCAAAAAGUUCUUCUUUUUCAUUCUAAGCUUAAACUUUUUCCGGGUAAAUUACGUUCUUGUUAGGUUGGACCUUUAAUUGUUACUAAUAUUUUUCCUCAUGGUGCAGUUGAGAUUCGGAGUCCGACCUCUGACAAAGUUUUUAAGGUUAAUGGUCAUCGCUUAAAACCUUUUUAUGAAGGUUUUUCAGUGAAUAUUGUGGAGGAUGUGGCUCUCGAGAGUCCCAAUUAUGGAGAUUGAUGCAUAAAUGUGUCUAGCCAAAGACAUAAAACAAAUGCAUUUUUUGGGAGGCAACCCAAAUGAUUUAUUUAUUUUGGUUUUUGUUAUAUCUUCUUUUAAUUUUGAUUCAGAUUUUUUUUAAAAAAAAAAUUAAUGUGUUUGCUUAUUUUGGUCAGAAGAAAAUUUUUAAUAAGGCGUGCCCACGUGCUUAUUAGAAAUGUACUUCUGAAAUUUUUAGUGUCUCAAAGUGAUUCAUCACUAAAAAGAAAAAAGAAAAAAAAGAGUUUUUUCCCAUAUUUUCUUUCUUAUAUAUAUAUUUUUUAUUUAUUUAUAAAAAAAUGACAAAAAAAGUUUUUUUCCUUCUUUUCUUUCUUAUAUAUAUAUAUAUAUAUAUUUAUUUAUUUAUUAAAAAAAACACAAAAAAACAAAAAUCACAAAUCACUGUUCACAAAUCCCUAAUUCAAAAAAAUUCACUGUUGAUUAUCGUUUUCCCGCAGCAACCCUUAGCUCCAGCGUGCAGAACCAGCAGCAGCCGCAUCAGUCCCACCUGCAACGCAACCAGCCUACGCCAUGUAUUUCAGCCGGGUAAAUCGAAAUCCGUGAGUGCAAUUAUUGUAACAAUGCCGAAGAGGAAAGCAUCAACUUCCAAGUCAUCUAAAAAGACACCCAUCGCAAAGAAAUCCAAGAUUGCCGCUCCCACUACGAUUCCAUGGAACACAAUUUCAUAUUCACGCCAAGCCGUGAGACAAAGAUCGAAACAUGGAAAAGGCAUGAGUGUUUUGCCACUUGCGGAAUCCAAUCUCGGAGGAUGCCUCGCAUUCGCGACUCAACAAGAGAAAGAGAGGUACAAAGAUAUUUCCAUGCGCAAAAUACUUCCAGCUAAGUAUAUUCAUUACCCGACUCUUGAAAAAUUGAAUGUUAAGGAUAAUUUUGAUUCUUUGAUAGAUAAGAUUGGGUUGCGUAAGUUUGUUAAUGUUGAUUGUUUGGGUUAUAUUGAGUUGAUUAGGGAGUUUUAUGUUACUUUUCAAUUUAAUAUGCCGAAUGAUUUUACUUUGCAUACCCUGGAUGUCAUAAAGUUUAGGUUAAUGGGACAAAAUUUUUCACACUCUAUCACCGAUUUUAACCUAGCUUUAGGAUUCAUUGAUGAUGAUUAUUCUUCUAGUGAUGUAUAUUUAGGAACAACUUGUGACUUUAGCGAAAAUUUUGAGCCUUAUGAUCUUUGGCGUAAUUUAUCUGUUGAUCACAAUACCUAUGACCCGAGUAAAUCAAAGAGUUAUUUCUUACGUGAUCCUGUUUUGAAAUGUGUGCAUCGAUUCUUAGCAUAUAAUUUUGUAGGCAAGAAAGAUCACUCAGGAGUUUUCUCUAAAACUGAAUUUUAUUUUAUCUGGUGCAUGUUAAAUGAUGUGAGGCCUAAUUUAGGUUUUUGGUUAGCGGAUCAAUUUCAAAGUGUGCUUAAAUGGUAUAGGACUUUAUUUCUUGGUCCAUACAUUACUCUGUUAGCUAUAAACCUAUGUGCGCUUGAUCCUGACAAUAAUGAUUUGCAUUCUGCUUGCAAAAAGGAAUUUUUGGAUAUGUCUGUGUUUGAAAGAACAGGUGUGGUCGAAUUCAAGGAGGGAGAUUUCAGUUUACUGAACCAGGACCCACUCAACCUCCAAAGAAGCUUUAUCCUAGGAGUGGUGCUACCUCUGAUAACGAGUUUGACGACGACACUGCUGCCCCGCCAACUAUUCCUUCUACAUCCGCACCACCUUUGAGCAUUCAGUUAGAGAAAAUGGAGCACAAGCUGAACAUGAUGGAGCAGAAUUUGGCCGCAUACUUCGAGAGUGUGAGAUUUAUCCCACCAUUUCCGCCAAGCCCAUAAACGUUAUGUGGAUCAAAGCUCACAAUUCAGGGAAGUUUUUGCCUUUAAUCUUUUAUCCUUACGCUUUAAUUUUUAUGUGAGCUUUGAUUAUCUUACAUUGGGGACAAUGUAAGUUCUUGGUGUGGGGGAGGGAUUUUUGUAUUAUUGAUGUCUGGAAAUAUUAUUUUCACUCUACUCAUCUAUUUUCACUUUACUCAUCCUUAAAUAAUUUUGGAGUUAGUAUGCUUCAUAUAUUAUUAAUUUUCUUUUCCUUUCUCUCUCACUACUCUUUUCCCAUCUAUCUCAAAUUAUUUACAUCUAUUUUUUUUUCUAUCAUACUCUUUCAUCACUCACAUUUUAUCUUUCAUUUUUUUUACUACAUACAUCUUUCUCGCUUAUUAUCCUUUUUACCUUUCCUUUUAUAUCUCACUCAUACCUUCUUCUCAUUCUACACCACUAUUGAUGGUUGAUUCAUUUGAAGAGUGUACAUGAUUUGAUGGCAAAUUUACCAACUUUGUGAGGAUUUAAGCCUAUGAGCAACCACUUUGCUCUAAUUAUUUUUGUUAUGUGAAUAUCAAUCUUAGUUUGUAUAUUCUAGAACUUGCUUUGUUAUGCAUGUUGAAGCCACAUUACGGGAUUUUAUGCAUUAAAAUGAUAAGGGCAAACCAUUUACCAUUUUUAUAUUCUUGCAUUUUGUUUUUUCUCUACCCGAAGACAUUUAUUUGCUACCUUUGUUUGAGCCUUAACCAUUACCCAUCUAAUUCUCUCCGUCUACUUAACCAUUUUUCUUCUUUUUGAGCCUCAAUUUAAGGAGAUUUUUGGACUCAUUGUGUGGAUAUAUUUUGUUGCUUUUUCUACCUUGUAUUAAAGUUUCUCAAUUAGAUCAACAAGCAUUAUGCUUGAAUUAAAUUGUGCAAGGUUUGUUUCUUUUGUUUGAUUCAAAAAAAAAAAAAAACAACAACAAAAAAAAGGAAAAAGAAAAAAAAGAGAAAAAGAAAAAUCGAAAAAAAAAUUGAAAAAAAAGUUUACAUUCCUCAGUGACUUGAGUAGAAAUAAGCAUUUUGAUAUCAUAAGUUCAUUCAAUGAGUUCAUUAUUCUCAUUUUGAUCUCUUUUUCUUUCAUAGACCUUUCUUUUUCAUUUAACCUAUUUAACCCCAUUACAACCCUUUUAAGACCCUUAGAUUUUUGCAUUUUAUUAAUGUUUUGUGGAUUGAGAUGUGAUAUAUGAGCAAGCUUAUGGUAAUAGCAUUCUUUGAUUUGAUUUGAGUGAAUAAAUGACACCCUAAACACUUUGAGUGCAUGGAGUGAAGUCAAUGAGAGGGCUAUUAAAUCUUGUUGCACUUGAAUUUUGAAUGGAUCUUCUUGGUGGUUGAAUGUUCUUAUUCUAUCUUAUGAGAUUCUAUGCUUUAAAAUCCUUAUCUCUCGAAUGUUGAUCGACUUAAUUUUUUAGUUUAAACGUGUUUUGUAUUUUUGGUUAUUUUUGUAAUUACGAAUUUAAUAUUUCAGAUAUUAGUAUUUUAUUUUAAAUAGAAUUCUAGAGGAGAAGAGAGUGAGAGUAUUUAAGGGAGGAAUCUAUUGUGAAAAGGGAGAUUGGAGAAAAAGAAAGAAACCCUAGAUCUAAAUUUUUCUCUUCUCUCUAUGAAGAACUAAACCUAUUUUUUUGGUUGAAGGUUAAUGAAGCUUUGAUUCAUCACUACUGUGAGAUCUUUCUUAUGCUUUAAUUGUUUUAUUGCUUUUUUGGGUAUUUGUUUAUUCUCUGAAUUAUUUUCAUGAUUAUGUUUGUUAAUUAAGUAAUUGGCCACUAUUUAAUUAUCAACUUAAUCUAUUGUCAAUUAAAGGAUUCAUCGUAUGAAGAUUUUAAUGUUUGUGACAAAUAACAUAGCAGAGAGUUGUGUUAUGAGAAUAAACAAUCUAAUUUAAAUUAAACAUCGUAUGUGUUGAUUAUGAUUUGAGUCUCUCUGGUUUUUCAGGCUGUCAAUUGAUUAAAUCAUAUGAUCGUAUCUAGGGUUGUCUAUUGAUUAGGGAAAUAACCAACGGUCGUACCUUAGUUAUCGACUAGUUAAGGAGAAAUUGGCUAUUAGAGGGUCUCAGUAGUUAUAACCAGUCUAUUCAUAAGUAGCAAUAAUUUAUAUUUGAAUCAAUGAUCAGUAGCCGAAUUAAGCUGAGUUAAUUCCUUCAACCAGAGCUUUCUCCAAUUUGAAUUACAACUUUAAUUUGCAUUCUUGUUAUUUUAAUUUGAUUUUUUAUUAUUGUCAACGAAACCCCCAUUUUAUGUUUUACGUUUUAAAAAGAUUUAAAUAAUUACCGAUCUUUGUGGACACGACCCUGCUCAAUCACUAUACACAAUUUAUUUAGAGUAGGUAUUUAUUUUUGCUGGCUUCGACAACCAUCAACAACACAUGAUAAGUAAGUGGUUAAUUGAGACACAAAUAAAAGAUUAUAAUCUAAAGAUUGAACAAUUAACACUGAUUCUAAAUUUAAUUCAUCUGUGAGUCGUAAAGAUCCUUCCCCAAUAACUGAGGUUGUGGUUCCAUUUGCAGUGGAAAUAUGUUUUUGUGAAGAUGGUUUCAAUUGAGAAACUUGUCGAGAAUCAAAAGUCAUAUGAUCAAUUGCCCCAGAAUCAAUUAUCCAUGUACUAUUAAUAACAGGUGUAAGAGUUUUAAGGGCCUUACCUGGACUGACAGAGGUUGCGAUUUGCACUGAAGAAUCUUUUCUAAGAUCUGUAGUGGAUGUGGAUUCAGCUACUGCAGUUUUUGAUCCCUGCUUGGUGUUCUUCUUUCGAGUAUCCCACCAGUCAGGAUAUCCAAUGAUUUCAAAACAUUGUUCUUUUGUAUGACCAUUCUUCCUACAAUGAGUGCAAUGGAGUGAUGACUUGUCAACAAGCUUCCUUUGAGGCUGUUGUCGUGCUAUCAUAGCAGACGUUUAUGAGUCGACCUUCUUGUUUAGUUUGUUUUGCCAUACAUCUUAUCUCCGGAUAAGAGAAUAACAUUCUUCUAAGUCUGGGAUAAUAUCUUUUCAUAGAAUUUCUCUACGAACUUGGUCAAAUUCUUCAUCUAGCCCAGCAAGAAAAAUGUGCACUCUCAAUCUUUCAACAGACCUUCUGUAUAUUACAACAUCUUCUGGAUCUUUCAUGACCACUUUAUCUCGAUGAUCAAGUUCUCGAAAUAUUUCGAUCAAUUCUCCGUAGAAUUUAGAGAGUGGUUGUCCAUUUUGCUUGGUAGAGAACGCCUUCUGGUUUAGAGUGAAAACUUGUAAUUCAUCGCUUCCAUCAUAGAAGGCUUUUGAUAAUGCAUCCCAAAUUUCGUAGGCUGUAGGAAUUCGUAAAUAUCACUUCAUGAUCUCCGGAGACAUGAGUAACCAUCGUUUUACUUUUUGGUUCUCACUAUACCAUUUCUCAUAUUCUUUUGAAGAUUCCUCAUAUAGCUUUGUGUUGCUACGAAUACAUGAGAGUUUUUCUCUUUCUGCGAGAUGCAUCUCCAUUAUUUGAGACCAAACAUCGUAGUUUGUCUCAGUGAGGAUAAUUCCAGCAUUAAAUAUUCCAUCAGAUUGAACAGAUUGAAUGACUAUUGUGCAAAUUUAUUGAACUCGCAAGUGCACGAAUUUAUUGUAGUAUAGAUCAAUGGUGAUGAGUGUCGAUCCCACGAGGAGGUGGAUUUUAAUUAUAUGUAGAAUUAAUUUUGUAUGAGGGUGGUUGGAUUUGUGGUGAAAAUGAUUUGGAUUAUCCUAAAAUUCGAAUUAAAAUGGCAAGAAUAAAUUGAAGUGAAAAUCUAUUAAAUUGACGUACUUGGGUAUCUGGAUCCGUAUCAACAUGCACCAUGGGCUAAAUAUUCCUUAUUAAUGCCAAUUGAAUCAUGAGGGUGGAAUCCACACCUCAUGAACCACACUCUAAUCAAUAUGGUGCUAAGGGCUUAUCAUGCCAAAUAAUAAUAACCUUGUACUAAGGAGCCGGUGUAACCAAUGCGGUAUCUAGACAAGAUUAUUAUUAUUUGUCGACGAAAAGUCAAAUCAUCCACAAAAAUUAGAGGGGAAAAGAAAAUAAAUUUACCAAAUAAAGCCCAUGACACAUGUUGAGACUUCACCUUCAACCCAAGCUUGAAAGAAAAUUAGCUACUUAUAAUUGAACUAGGGGCAAAAUGAAAAUUUAUUAAAAUACGUAGAAAAUACAAGAUGGAGAAGAAAUUACAGAAAAUGGAUCCCAAAAAUGGAUUCAGAGAUAUCAAAUUAGGGGGGGGGGGGAGGCCCCUUUUUUAUAGAUACAUUGAGUAAAUCGUGGCCAUCGGAUUAAAAACAGUUUGGACGCUCAGGAUUUUGCCACGUCAUCAGUCAACAGUACGCGGUUUGACCACGUGGGUGAACAGUAACACGGUUUGACCCGGGUUGAACAAUGAUGCGGUUUGGUUGAAAAUAAUCCUGUGUAAUGCAUGUACCGUACGCGACAUUUUUGGUCCACUGAUAUGCUGCCACGUCAUCGAUCAACAGUGCAUAAGAAUUUUAGUCCAACAGGAUUGUGACACCUCAUCAGUCAAUGCCACAUCAUCGGUCAAUGCAACGUCAUCAAUCCGUCUAUGUGAACAGUGUCGUGAACAGUAACGUAGACAGUAUCAUAUAAGUGAAUAGUACCAUACAUGUGAACAGUGCCAUUUUUCCUUUUAUGCUCCUCCUAAGGUUUUCGACCGUCCUGAGUUCAAAAGUGAUGUCCGUUUUGCCAUCUGAUCUCUCGUUCAUUGUGAAAUGACUAUAAUGCCCCUAAAAUACAUAAAAUACUUAAUUAAAAUAAAACACACAUAAUUAAAUGACAAGAAGUUUAAAUACAUAAAAGUAAGGGUGUUAGUAAAACUUAAAGUGUAAAAUGACGAUUUUCUCCUUUAUAACUAUACAUUUUCUAACACUCAACAAUGACAACAGGAGCAGAUUCAGUUGGAGUUUUCUCCAUUUUUUGUUGUUUUUUUUUUCUCUUUUUCCUUUUUUUUCUCUUUUUUUUUCCUUUUUUUUUUGGCGCCUAGAUUGAAAUAAGGGAAAAUAACCUUUUUAGAUCAAAGAACGACAAGUCAUUUGGCCUCUGCUUGACGAAACGACAUGUCGGUUCUGAUGGAAUAUAAACGACAUGUCGUUUGACGACUGCUGCACUUCUGGAGAUUGAACGUGACGUCGUUUUAUCUCUAAUUUACAACCGACAUGUCUGUUGUAAUGUAAUAAAAAAUGACACGUCAUUGUAUUACCAGCUGCACUCUUGAGAUAAAAAUAAAAUGUCGGUUGAUGUCUUCUUCAACCUCUCGAGCGCGUGAAUAUGACAGAGGCGCAUGGUUGACUGGCCGUGGCUUCCGGUGGCACGUGGGAGCGCGUGGAAAUGUGUUUAAAUGCCAAAGUUUUACAGUUUUCUUACUGGAAACUGAGAAAUAUGAUGGUAUUCUUGGUUUUUUAGGAACACACUCUUGGAAAAUUAAUGGGAUUGCUGAUAAAUUUGUAAACUCAAGUUUUUUACGUAUGGGUGGCUUGUUUCUUGAUCGGCAUGGAUUUCGGUAAUGGUAGGAAUGGGUUUAAGGAAGAAAAUGGUGGGAAAAAAAUGGUUGUGGGAGGAAUUUGGUUUCCUCUGUUUUUAUUACGAACAGAGCUGCGAAACUUGAAGAAACUUGAAGAAACUUGAGCGUAUUCAUGGCUCUGAUACCAUGAAGAAACAUGUUUUUAUUUCUUGAAAUAAAACAUUAUACACUGAGAGUUAUUUAUAGAUGCAGAUGCUACAUUUUUUCAAAGAUUACAUAUGUGAAUAUGGAAGGAAAUGUGUCAAUCCGUUCGGCGUGGAUCGUGUCUUUGACAAAUGCAGAUUAUCCCUUUGACAAGUGCGGAUUAUGUCUUUGAAAACUUUCUCCAAUGCCAUUUUAUUCAACAAAUACGAUCUCAUCAGCUAUUAUAUUAAUUUCUAUUUUGCCAUUGCAUGAAAUUAUGAAAAAAGGAUAUUGAAGAGUUUCUUGCCACAAAUUGAACCUGCAUCUCUGUAAGCAUUACUCUUGCAUUUUCGCGGAAAAGGGAGUAAGUGAAUGGCCUAAAUUCAUGGUUCAUUUCAUAUUAUGGAGUUUCUUUCUUCAGGAUGAUUUCGGCUGGAAUUCUCAUAAUUUGCGUCCAAAAAUCCACUAUUGAUAGGCUUAGUGCUUGCCAUUUUGCCUUUACAGCUGGUAGUGGUUGUAUGCUUGUUGGAUUAGUCAAAAAAAUCAAUUGGCAUUGGUCACAAAUUUUUUAUUCAAUUUUUUAUUCGAGCUGAGGGAUACAUACAGUAGUAGACGUCGUGUUCUAUGUUCUCUUUCCCAUAUAUAUAACUAUAGUAAGAGAUAUAUAUGGCUUUUAUAUAAUUCUCAAUAUCAUAGGCGGUAAACAUGGACUCUUGGCUAAAAGACAAUAUGAACAUGAAACCAUUUCACGUGGGUGAUCAAUUAAUAACUUUCAUUUUUUUUACUUCUUAUAGAAGUCAGAAGAGAGUGUACCUGCGACCAGUGGCGGUGCCAAAAAUUAUUUUUAGCGCGGGCUACGUUCACAUAAUAGUUUAAUUCAAGAAAGUAAUCAAUAAAUAACAUAUAUCAAAAUAAAAUUUCAUUAAAAUAUUUAAUUCAACACACUUAUAAUUGUCUUCGACGAGGUUUCAUAUGUUGAAAACGUUGAAGAAUAACUUCAUUGUCAAGACUACAAAAUAUAUCAUUUUUUAUGAAUACAACAAGGUUAUCAUUCAACCAUUGAUCUCUCAUCCGAUUUCGCAGACGGUUUUUCACAAAAUUCAUAGCCGAAAAUGCCCUUUCUAUUGUAACUACGGCAACUGGUAAAAUCAAUGCUAAUGUCACCAAUAAAUAAACUAAUGAAUAUAAUUGAUCCUUUUUAGUCUCAACCAAUUUUCUUGCUAGCUCACCAAUCCCUUUCAAUCUGAAAAUUUGUUGUUAGAACCGACAUCCAUAAUAUAAACAUCAAAUUGAGUUUCAAGUGCCACAAGAUCCAUUAGAGAAAAAUCAUUUGGAUAAAACUCAGCAAGGUGAAGUAGUUUCUAUUUAUCAAAAGCUGCAAAUGAGUCAUUGGGGCAUAGACAUGCCACACAAAGAAGUAGGGGUGGGCAUCGGAUCGGAUUCGGAUUUGAAGGCAAAUCCGAUUGGAUGAAGUCUGUGCGAUCUGAUCGGAUUUGGUUCGGAUCGGAUCGAAUUCGGAUCAAUCCGAAUCAUCCGAUCGGAUCUGCACUAUAAACUAAAAAAAAGAAAAUUAAAUAAAUAAGCGAAAGUACUAAAAAAAUAAGUUUAACUCAUGUUCGGAUUCGGACUUCGGACUUCGGAUCACUAGUGCAGUCAGUCAGUCACCACUCACCAGUUCACACUUCACAUUGUUCAUCUCACUCUUAGAUCUUACGUCUCAGUCACAGACUCACAGUACCAACUCAAACUGACAUUAACAAAAGACACAGGACUCAGCGAGCACGAGCAGCAGAGCAAAAGCAAAAUGCCAAAUCCAGCUUCAUCUCGUCAUCCGUCUUGAACCCAUUAACGAGUAACGACCACGCCAAAACUCAGCUGCCGCCGGCCCGCUGACACCAAUCGACUGGAAGCUAGCCGAUUUCAACUGAAACCCAGGCGAACGAAACCAAAUUAAUCGACCUAAACCCAGCUGAAACCCAGCUGACAGCUGCCUCUUCAACCACCGAACUGAUCACGUCCAGCGCCGGCCAGUUGCCACGCCAAACGCCGAUAAUCCACUUCCACUAUUCCCAAGCACCUAGCAACUUUAUUCAUGGUAAGCAAUUAAACCAGACCCAUGACAAUUGAAAGUUAACACAACUCAGAAUUUCAUGCUUCUUUUCGACUUUUAGGGUUUUUUUAGUUGUAUUACUGCUUGGAAAAUGAAAAACCGAAAAUGCCACCAAAUGGUUUGGGCCAAACCCGAGAGCAAGCGGCUAGCUCCCAAACCCGAGAGCAAGACAUGAAUUGUUCUGUUUUUUCCUUUUAUUUUUUCUAAUGUAUGAUUAUUCAUUUGUAAUAUUAGUUGAGAAAGACAUGAAUAUGUAUUGAUGUAAAAUUCAAAUUUAUUAAUUAUUAAAUAAUCAUCAUUAUUUAAUGCAUGAUUAUUCAUUUAUAACAUUAGUUUAUUAAUUAUUAAUAAACUAAGGAACAAUAUCAAUUCUUUAAAAUUAAAAAUUCAACUUCAUACCGUACAUUGUGGUAGUAGAAUUAUUUUAUGAUAAGUUAAUGUCAUUAAUUGCUUUAUUUCCAAAUAAUAAUUUGAUGAAUGAAUUUGUAUAGCUAGUAAGCUAGGCUGAAGAGAUUAUAUAUAGUCAAAAGUUAUAUUUAUUUUUUAGUUGAAAAUUCAUAAACGAAAGUUACAGAACAAUGAUGAUUGAUAUGAUUUUUUUAUUUUCAGAUGACUGGACAUUCAAAAUCAAAUUCCAAUGAUGAAGAUGAAGUUGAAAGUGUACAAGUACCCACAGAAAAGACAAAUACAAAGCGGAAGAAUCCAACUCAGAGACGACCAAUAAAGAAAAGAUCUGAGACAUGGAAUCAUUACACUGUACUUGAGGACAAUCAAUAUAAAGCAAAGUGCAACUAUUGUGGCAAGAUAUAUCAGUGCCAUCCUAGGUUUGAUGGGAUUAGCAAUAUGGGAACUCAUUUAAAAGUAUGUGAAGCAUACUUGAACGUGAAGCGAGAGCAAGAUGAAAGACUACAAAAAUUGGCAGCCGAGAGUGGUGAAGGAAAUGCAAGUAAUAUGGUUUUGGCUAAAGGAUGGAGUCAAGAAGCUUGUAGAAGGACAGUUAGUAAAAUGAUUAUCUUGGGCAAGUUGCCGCUUAAUUUUGUUGACAACAAAGGGUUUAUGCAUUUUUGCAAUGUAGUUGUUCCUCAGUUUAUUAUGCCAUCUUGGAGAACUAUUAGUAGAGAUGUUAUGGAUAUGUUCUUGGAAGAAAAGGGAAUUUUGAAGAGUUUGAUAUGCAAGAAUAAGCAUAGAGUGUCUCUUACAACUGACAUAUGGACUUCAGUUCAGAACAUGAGUUAUAUGGUAAUCACAGCUCACUUUAUUGAUAGUGAUUGGUGUUUACAUAGGAAGAUUAUUAGUUUUAGCGUGAUUGAAGACCAUAAAGGGAAGUCCAUUGGCAAAAAGAUUUAGUCUUGUUUGCUUGAAUGGGGAAUAGAGAGGGUGUGUGCAAUAACUGUUGAUAAUGCGUCGGGCAAUGAUGUUGUUAUUGAUUAUGUGAAGAACCAAAUGCUUAUGUGGAAGAAUGUUGAUGCACUUGUGUUGCGGGGUGAUUACAUGCAUGUGCGUUGUUGUGCACAUAUCUUAAAUUUGAUUGUCACUAGGGGGUUAAAAGAGUUGCAUGCCUCAGUUGCCGGUAUUCGGAAUGCUGUGAAGUAUGUUAGAUCAUCCACUUCGAGAUUAAAAGCAUUUAAACAGUGUGUAGAUCAUGUGAAAGGCCCUAAUGGAACUGUGGUUUUGGAUUGUAUCACUAGGUGGAAUUCCACCUAUUUGAUGUUGAUGACUGCUUUGAAAUUUGGGGAGGCAUUUGAGAGGAUGGCAGAAGUGGAUAAACCGUAUGAAGCAUACUUUAGAGAGGAAGAAAACGAGAAAAAAAAGGGUAGGGCCACCUGAGCUUGAAGAUUGGGAACAUGCCGAAAGAAUUGUGAGGUUUUUAAAGAUCUUUAUGAUGCUACAUUGACUUUUUCAGCCUCUUUGAGUGUCACUUCUAAUCUUUGUUGCGAUACAAUUGGCUUAAUCGAGAAUCCAUUGAGUGCAUUAGAAAAAAGCAAAGAUGUUUAUGUGCAUUUGAUGGCUUCUAGUAUGAGGGAAAAAUAUGACAAAUAUUAGGAGUGCACAGAGAAAAUCAACAAAAUCAACAAAAUCUUGAUUAUUGCCUCAAUACUUUAUCCGCAUUGCAAAAUGGAUUUUACUAAACAUAUUUUUAGUAUGAUAUUUUCCGAUGAUAGUGCAAAGAUUGAAGAAAUGGUCGCGGUGAUGAAAGGCUUGUUAAAUUCACUUUUUGAUGCAUAUAGUGGAUGGAACUCCUCACCACCAUUGUCUAGUGAGAGUUUUCGUAGUGGCAGUGCCAGUGGUGGCGGUGGCGGUUCUAGUUCUUCUCCGCACCUUAUAGAUGACACGGAUCGGCAACAAGGGUACAUAAUGGAACAUGGUGAUGAUACUUUACGAGUUGCUCGCCCUUUUCUUGGAUAUGCUAAGAAAGUUUUAAUUCAAAACGAGGGCAAGCUUAUGACGACCGAGGUGGAAAGAUACUUACUUAACCCGAUUGAAGAUCCUAGUAAUGAUAAACUAAAUUUUUUAUUAUGGUGGAAGGUGAACAGGUCGAAGUAUCCGAUAUUGCAGAAAAUAGCAAGGGAUAUCCUUGCAAUUUCGGUAUCCACUGUGGCUUCGGAGUCCGCCUUCAGCACUGGGGGUCGUAUCAUGACGAAUAUAGGAGUUCUUUAACUCCCACUAUGAUUGAAGCAUUGAUUUGCACUGAAAAUUUGUUGCAGUCUAAACUUUUUUGCCACUCCUAUCUACGACCUUAAUCAAGAGUUGAAAGAUCAUAUAUAUCAAAUGGAGUUACAAGAGGGUAACUUUUUUAUAUUACAUUUUAUAUAGAAUACCUUUUAAAUUUAUUAUAACACAUUUUUUAUAUUACUCGUGCACUAAUUAUAAGUUAUUAUGUUUUUUUUUUCAUUUUAAAGAGUAUGUACAAUCACAAGCUUCAACAAUUACAAGUUACAACGAUGGGUGCUAGUAUUCGUCAUGAUAUUUGAAUAGGUAAGGUAACUCUUAAAUUUAAUAAAUCUUUUGGUUUCAAGGUAUUAUAUUUAUAAUUGUUUUACUUUUGGUUUUAAGUCAAUUGUAACAUGAUAAUUGUUUGUGAUCUUAUGUUAGGAAAAUUGAAGUUGGUAGUUGGAAAGCAAAAGUUAAGGAUUCAUCAAAGUGUGUUGUGAGUUUAAUUUGAUAUUAUUGUACUUUUGGUUUGAGGAACUUGUAGUCUAUCUAAAUGUUUUGGGAUGAUAAUUUUUAUUUUGGUUUAUUUUAUUGUUGGAUGAUAUAAUGAUAAUAUUUAUUUUGUGAUUUUGUGUUGUUUAUUUAUUUGGAGACUUGGAGUAAUGUUUAAUUGUUUAUUUUGUGUUGUUUGUUGGGAGACUUGGAGUAAUGUUUAUUUUGUGUUGUUUACUUGGAGACUUAGAGUUGGAGCAAAGUUUAUUUUGUGUUGUUUAUUUAGAGGCUUGGAGCAAUGUUUAUUUUAUGUUGCUUAUUUGGAGGCUUGGACUUGGAGUAAUGUUUAUGCACCUAACUUGUAAGAGCAUUAGUGCAUUACUAAUUAAAUGAAAUGGGAGUGCUUGUUUUCUUGGUAUAUGUCAAUGCCAUAUUGUCAAGGAGACAAUACAAUAUAGAUUGUCAUUUGUUAGCUUGUUUUCAUUUUCUUUUUUUUUUUAAUGGUUAGUAAGUUUUCAUUACUUAUAGAUUUCAUAAUUUUUUUGUGAGAAUUGUGAAAAAGGUCCAAAUCCGAUUUCAAUCCGAAUUAAUCCGAAUCCAAAAUAUAAUCCGAAUCCGAAAAUUAAUCCAAAAUCCAAACUCAUCCGAUCCAAUCCGAAUCCGAAUUCAAUCCAAAUUUUCAUCCGAUCUAAAUCCGAUCCGAAUAAUUCGGAUCGGAUGAAAAUUCGGAUUGAAUUCGGAUGAAUUUUUUUUCAAUCCGAAUUAUCCGAAAUCCGAUCGAAUUCAUCCGAAUCCGAAAUUGCCCACCCCUACAAAGAAGCAACUCAGUAUUCGUCUUAUUGAAACGAUUGCUUAAUUCUUUAAGUUGCAUGUCCAAAAUUGCAUAAAAUAAUUCAACACGAAAACAAUGCAAAUUUGUGAUCUUUUGAGCCUUGCGUUGUGAUCUUUCUUGAGUUCGAAACAAAUCAUCCAUAUUCGGAACAUCAAUAUCAUGCUUUACACAAUAAGAAAAAGUUUCACCAAAUAAAGAGUCUCAUCCAUUUUCUCCAGUCUUUUGCAAGUUUCUCUUAUACACUUCAAUUAAUUUCAUAGCAUUCACAAUGUCUUGAUCCUUUUUUUGUAAUGCUUGUGAUAACUCAUGUGCAAAUCCAAGAAUAUUUUUCAUUAACAGCAGGCUAAACACAAAAUCAAAUGAUUGCAUUGACUUCAAUAACAUUCUAGCUUGAAAUCUUUGUUCAGAAUUUCCCUCAUUUGAAAUUAUCUCAAGCAUGUCAAUAAUAGAUGGAAACAUGGUGAUUAUACUCAAUAACGUACCAUAAUGUGAGCCCCAACGUGUAUCAGCAGAUCGCUUUAAAGUAACCUCUUGAUUUAAACCUCGUCCACUUGAAAGUUCACCAUCAUCAAGUGUUUUAAUAACUGCUUGAGCAUGUUUCUCUUGAAGAAUAUCACGACGUUUUGUUGAAGCACCAACAACAUUAACUAACAUUGUAAGAGAAUUAAUUAUGAGAAUUUAAAGAGAAACUGAAAACAAUUCCCAUGUCAAAAUGUAAAAACAAAUACAAAAAUACAAAAUAUUAAUUUAAUAAACUAACUACCCGAUUAAAUCCUCAACCACUAAGUUACUAAUCCAUCAUAGCAUCACGCCAUCACCAAUGGCAUUGUUAUUCUAUUAUUUAUAAUGAGUAAAGUUAAAAGCAUUGCCACUUUAUCAAGAAGCAUCGCCACUUUAUCAAGAAACAUGCCACAAUUAUUCUAUUCAAAAAGUAUAAACAAAUUCAAGAAUUGUAAUAUUAAAUUAUAAAGUGACAAAGAUGUUUAAUUAUUAAAAUAAUUUAGCCACUCGGCCUUUGGCCGAGUGGUCAGGGCAGCAAUUCGAACCCCCACAAAAGCAUUGUGGGGGUAUUUCCUUCCUCAAUUAAAAAUUGAGUGAAGGUAGUCUUCUUUUUUACCCAUGAGUGAGGAGUGGACAUCCCUCGAAUAUUUGUGAGGGUUAAAAUCUGGGCAGAGCUCCAUUAGUAUUGAUGUAAGUUGGUCCCAGUAAUAGUCUGAUUUGUAAAUAUCAGUUAUACUCUCAUGUAAUAUGAGUUGUAAUAUGAGCAAUAGUCUCAUGUAAUCAAAAAAAAAAUUAUCAAAAUAAUUUAAUCAAUUCUUAAUAAUUAAUCUAAAAGCUGCAAAGGUAUGACAGUAGUACCUGAAAAAAUGCAAAGAUGCAGACCAUGCGGUGGUGCAGGGCUCCGAGUGCCAACUGCAAGUUGUAGCAUAUAUGGCAUGAAAGCAAAGAGGUGUGAUGGCAUGAGAGUUUGACAGAGAUAGACGACAGGCUGAUCACUGAUGGUAGCCGAUGGAGUUUUUCUUUGGCAAAGGAUCGAUGGUGGUGGUUAGGGAUUUGAUUUUGAGUUUUUUUUUUUAAUUUCUAAUCGUUGUUUUAAAUAUUAGUCUUUUAGUUAUUUCAAAAAAAAAUUCAGGGACUUUAUUGUAAAUUCACUAAAAAAAGAUAAAUUUAAUUGUUUUUAAAAUUCUAGGGGGGCCUUCAGCCCCCAGCUCUCAAGUGGCGCCGCCUCUGCCUGCAACGUCAAUCGUAUCAAGCAAAGAUAUAGGACAUUUAAUAAUGAAAAAAUUAGGAAUUUUCAUGGACACACCAGUCGGUUCCGUAAAUAUAUAGAAUCAACUGAUUCUAGGUACCUUACAAUGUGAUUUUUUUCCCCUUGAAGAUAAGGACUAUUUUUUAGGAUACUGGCCGUUGAGGCUUUGUUUGUAUUUUUGCAAGAAAAUGGAAAAGGGUGGGCUAAAUCGCAAAAAAUAAAGCUAAUAGCUGCUAAAUUGAAUUUUUUAAGAGUGUUUUAAUGUGGAAUUUGAUUUGGGAACUUUUUUGUAGUUACAAGAAACAGCCACACCGGGUAACAAUUAGGGCAUUCUUUCAUAAAUUGGAUAUCAAUAGUAUCGAGUACGAAUGAGGAUGGUUAAAUGCCUAAUCACCCUAUUAAUCUUACAGUCGACAAAAAGCAAAAGCAAAAGCAAAAGCAAUAGCAUUACAAAUAGUAUAACUAUCAAAUUGAUUCACUAUGUCUAAACGACAAGUCAUCUAAAUAAUUUGUCAUCUAAUUACUAAAUUAUUUGACGCAACGACUGAUUUAGAAUUUUAAUUUAGAGGGGGCUUGGUACAAAUACUGUGAUUCACAGUAGCGCGUUCGAUGGUGCGAGUGAUCAACAACAACGACAGACAAGUGAGGCAAUGAUGAUGUAUAUGUUGGAAAUAUGAAUUCAUAUUGUUUUUUGAAAGUACACAAUAUGAAUAGUAGCUGUUGGUACUGUUACUUCACUAUUUACUAAUACUAUUGAUCUUACUGUUCACUCAACAACAAUCGUAAAUUUGUCAAGGUGUGUUCGAAGUGUCCUUAAGACUAAUUUUUGCUUCUCUAGAAAGAUUUUCCGAUACAAAAAAUAUAUAUAUAUAAAACGAAUUGAUCCCUAGGAUAUAAUGACAUUAUUGUGAGCUUGCACUCCAAGCACAAUAGUUUAGAAUAACAAAAGAAAAAUUAAUGAAAAAAAUAUAAGAUAGAAGAAUAGGUUACAAUGGUUGUGCCUUGAAGAUUUUGUAUUUUGAAAUACCAAUAAAACUCUAAGAAUAAGCUUAAAUAAUUUGAUCAAAAUUGCACUUUAAGAUGAAACACUAAUUAAUGGCCUUUCAAGACUUGAAUUGGGUUAAAUAGUUUAUGUACGAAAAUUGAAUUAUUGACAUCCCUAUCUCCUUUUAUAUAUUGUUGGUAAUAAAUCUAAUAACUUUAUGUGGUUGUGAUUCUUAAUGUAGUUUUUUUUAAUCGUUAGCUGUGUACGUGUCAUUAUUAGCAAUGUGUCAUUUUCAUUACUGUGUCAUUGUUGGCAGUGUGUCAUUUUCAUUACUGUGUCAUUUGUAGUAUUUAGAAUCAUUGGCCAAUAAUUUUGUAACAAGACCAACAUAUAGGGGUAAAUGACAAAUUCACGAGUGGGGGACAUACACCUGUUUAUAAUAUUGUAAAUGCAUUUUUUCAUGAGUUUACAGUGUUCAAAAGUAUUUUCUUCAUUCUAAGUGUGGACAUGCCAAUUUUGCAUAAUAGUCAUAUCCCAGAACAAAAGUCACAUUAAAAUUUUAUUCAUUUAUUCAGGUUUUUUUCCUGCAUUAACGAAUUCAUUGUGUAGGAUUUCAUUUUUAUGUAAACCAAUUCAGUUACGAGAAUCAACUACUAAUUUUUUUCCCGUUAAUUGGCUACGUUUACGUUAAUUAACUGAUAAAUAACUUUGCAUUAGCAAAGCCAAGAGAUUAAUUUAAACCCCUAAGAUUCAAAUAUUCUUUCACUAGUACUACUGGACAAAUUUGGCAAUCGAUAUUUCGGAAGACAUCAUCACACGUGUCAAACAAAAGUUAAAAAAAUAGCCAGUCCCAUUAAAAUCACCAAAUGCAAUCCAAUAACAUGCUCCAUUAUGUAUUGACUUUCAUGAGAAUUAGCAGGAAAAAAAAAAGUUCAUUUAGUUAAGCAAAUAGCAACCUUUGAUUGUUCUUUAACAUUACUAAAAAUCUAAUUCUUACUUUACUUGAUUGUAUUGUCGAAUCUUUCUGAAAAGGUAGAAGAUAAAUCCCAUUUAUUGGAAUUGUAUGUAGGACGUGUUUUGUUCAAAAUCAGUAAUUUGACAGUUAAGAAAUGAACAGAAAGUUGUUGAAGGUAGUGCAUGACGUCUCAUGCGCUUUAAAUUUCAAAAAUUUAUAUCUUUUUGACAUGGAAACUACUCAGCAAGGAAAUGGUGGCUCAACAACAUUAUAUAUAUAGAGCUCUCUAGGUGAAUUGAAGAUGAGAAUGAGGGAUUGCAUAAGCUACAAGAAUGAACGGUCAUUUGUAAAGUACAGCGAAUAGGGUCCAUUAGAUCAAAUCAAGUAGAGUAGAAGAAAAUGAAUACACUUAUGCUACAAUCAGUUUCAAUUUCUUUCAUCUGGUAACCGUCUAUAAACAAGAUACAAGCUCUAAGCCACCAAUGGGCUAUAAACAGAGCUUCAUUCAAGAGAGUUAAAGGUAUCCCAAGUUCUGAAAAUUGAGAGCAUGUACAAGUGAGCUUUUACAGAGAUUUUUCAGAGAAUGUUUUCUUAACUAUUCUAGAGGGAUUUAUAUUGGGUGUAUUUAGGUUAUCGGAUUUUGAGAAUUGUUCCCAUUCAAAGCCCAACCCCAAUUCAUGAGCCUAAAUAAUAAACCAAACAAAAGAGAAUAUUCUCUCAAUUUAUCUAGAAUUACUUUGCUAAAAAUAUCAUGAAUCAUUGGCGUUGUGGCAGUUUUAAAAUUUGGUGAUUCCUAAGAAAUUAAUGGUAAUAAGUUUAGAAUGUCGUUAUUUGUUAGGACCUGCAUUUAAAAUCUUAAAUAUUCGUAAUUAAUUAUAAAGAUCUCGGUUCACCUGCAAGCUACAACAAUUAGCUAACUGAUAUAUGGUAUUUUUUACAAAACUAUUCAAAAAGAAAGGGUAUAAUUAAUCAAACUGAUUUGGACAAUACCACACGAUUUUUUUUUUAUUGACAAACCAACAUAAACAACAUAUUAACGUAAAUAACGCAUUCACAUAUAAUUGUUUUAUUUAGUUAUUAAGAAAGACGAAGUACAUGGACGGUGGACACUAAGAAAUAUAAUCUCUUGUAUAUCAAGAGAUUUUAGAGGUUGAAAUGAACUAAACUGACCCUCACACAAUUAAUUGACAGUAAUUGACAGGUAAGAACAGUACCCAUCCUUUUAUUAACCAUAAUGGAAAAGAGUAAUACUGCGUGCGUGCGUGCGCUUAUUAACCAGUGUGGUCGGGAUUUCUUCCAUAUUGAGGGACAGCAAUAAGAUCAAGAUUGUCAACUGUCCCGUCCUUAUCAUCAGCAAUACCAUAUACAGGUACUGGAGUACCCUCCAACCAUUCAUUCUUACCUGAAAGUUUAACAUUAGAAAAUGGAUUCAUAAAUGCUUAUAUUAAUAUAUGAAUUGUAAAUGAUAUCCAUUCAGCUGAAAUUGGCUAAAAAACCUGCGCAAGGAAAAGGAGUUUCCAUAUUCUUCAAAUCAGAAAAGAUCUCCAGGUGAAGCGUAAUCAAAACUCAAAAAUAAGUAGAGCUUGAGCGUGUUCUUAGUUCUGGUUUGAUCUGAUAUAUAUAGAUUCAAGAAGCCGAUGUUGCCGAGGUGUGGGUGAUUGUGACGUAGCAAAACAUAUAAUAGUUAUUUAAGAUUAACGGCCAUGGCUAAACUGCACGUCGAAACGUGUUAGCAUGGUUCCAUAAAAUAAUAGUUAUUUAAGAUUAACGGCCAUGACUAAACUGCACGUCGAAACGUGUUAGCAUGGUUCCAUAAAAUAAUAGUUAUUUAAGAUUAACGGCCAUGGCUAAACUGCACGUCGAAACGUGUUAGCAUGGUUCCAUAAAAUAAUAGUUAUUUAAGAUUAACGGCCAUGGCUAAACUGCACGUCGAAACGUGUUAGCAUGGGUCCAUAAAAUAAAUAAUUUUAUCUAAUUAGGAGAGAAAUCGAUUCAGUAAUAAGCUGCUGCUUGCACUUCCUAGAAAUUUUAAAUUUAUGAAUUGAAAUUACUCACGCCUUUUCUUGUGUAGUUAAUUAUGCAUACAGUUCAAGCUGAGGGAUACUGAUGUGAAGUGUAGGGACAUGGAUAUAUACUAUCGUUUACAUUAUUUUACAGCCUUGAUGUAUUAUUUUAUUUGGCAAUCAUAUAGUCAUUGUCUGCACUACACUUUGUCUUCCCUACACUUGUCUCCACUUGAGUAUUCUUGAGUGGUAGCUGAGUCACAAGUCACCUUCUCAUGUCCGCUGGGCUUGCCUGUCGUGCUUGAUUUACUUUGUUCUAACACCCCGGCUCAAUCUCAGUUUUCUUAGCAUACUCUUAGGUCAUGUUUGGUUUGUAAAAAAUGAAGGAGAGGAAAAGAGUGGAAUGGAGAGGAAGAGAAAAGAAAGGAAUGGAGAAAAGUAGUAGUGAAAUCACAUUUUGUUGUUUGGUUUGAUAUAAAAUUUAAUAAGGAAAUGAAUUAUAAUUUUUUUCUUUAGACUAAUUUACAAUUUACCUCAAAUAUUUAAUUAUUUAUACUAGUAAUAAUAUAUAUAUAUAUAUAUAUAUAUAUAUAUAUAUAUAUAUAUAUAUAUAUAUAUAUAAAUAAAAUGACGGUCCGGUGGCCGGCGGUGAAGGUCCGGCUACUUUUCGGCGAACGUCCGGCAUCUUUUCGGCGAACGUCUGGCAGGAUUCCGGCGAAGUUCGGUGGGAUUCCUGCGAGGUCCGGCGGCUUUCCGGCAACGUCCGGCGACUUUCCGGCGGUGAUCCAUUUAUGAUAUUAAAUCAAUAAAAUAAAAUUAUAAAUACUAAUUAUUAAUGAUAUUAAACAAAUUAAAAAGUUGAAAGGUAAUUUUAGAAACUUUAGUUUCUAACAUAAGAGGAAUUUAAAUUCUUCACUACUUGGUGUGGAAUUCAAAUUUUACAUUAUGAUGGAUAUUAAAUUUUAAUAGAAAUUAAAUUCUUAUAUAUUUUGUCAAACCAAACAAUGAAAAUGAAAAGAGAAUUUAAAUUACUUUUCUCUUCUCCAUUCUCUCCUCCCAACCAAACACCACCUUAAUUUAUUUGUAUGAAAUUCAAAUAGCUCAUGUCCCAAUGCCUUUGUCAUAAUGUCUGCCACUUGCCUUUUACUCAGCACAUAUUUAAGAAUUAUUUCUCUUUUCCCGAUUUUUCAGUGUAAAUAAAUUAAGCCAAUAUCUUGAGAAUCCAAGCGAUACAUACAGUAGAAUUUGAAAUGGUGCAAGACCUAAUCAAGUUUGAUAUAUACUAAGUUACAGAGGCCAUUGAUGACAUACGUAGGAAAUUAUCUAUAAUUGUUGCUUGACUCCCACGUAUGUGUGUAUAUAUAGUUCUUUUCAAGUGAGGGCAUCCUCAUUUUGUUAAAGUGAGGAUGCCCUCACUAGAAAAUUACAGUAGUGAUAUCGCUGUUGGAUUUUUUAAUCUAGUAUUGUUGGAUCCUUAAUCCAAUACUGAGUUUUUAUGUGAAAAAUUUAUAUAUUACAGACCGUCAUAUAAGAUUAAGUACAAUUAAAAGUGAACUAUUUAGGUUUUCGGUGUUAUGGACUUUAAUGUGUCUAAUAGGGUGUGAGCUUUAAUGUGUAGAGAUUCAAUGAUAUUUUAAUUUUAUGAUGGACAUAAUUAGAAAUAUCCAGUGACAAUAAGAAAAUGUUGUCUAUAUAAGUGGUUAUGGUUCCAAAAUCACACGUAUGUUUCUAUUCUAUAUUGACAUCUCAUCAUCAGAGAGAGAGAGAGCGCAUAGAGAAUUAAAGGACUUUCUAUUCUCUUUUUAAGUGAGGAUACGCUCACUAGAAAAUUACAAUAGUGAUAUCGCUAAAACAACUAUUUUAGAGUUUGAUUAUUUGAACAAGUAAUUUUAAUUAUGGUUGGCUAGAAUUAGAGUAGUAUGUUAUUAGUCUUUCUAUUUAUAUUUAGGUAGAAUUCUAUUUCUAUGUUUGAGUGUACAUUGCCUGGUAGAUUUACUCAAUUACAAAUCACGUGGUUACAUAAUAUGUUUGAAAACCUCUACUUAACAAAAUUCUUAUUUUAUUUUCUUUCGUAAUAUGAUUUACCUAAGUCUCUCUUAUAAAAUCAUUUGCAUUAAAGCAUCAAUUAAUCUCAUUACUAUGAUGUAUUAUUUGUCUUGGACUUCUUAUUUUGGUCUAUCACUAUAUUACUUACCUUGAGCUGUCUCACUAUUUUCGCAUAAUAUUAUCUGCCUUGAGUCAUUCAUUUUUGUAUAGAGUGGUUAUAUUAUCUCAUCAGUUUUUAUAUUAAUUUCUAUUUUGCCGCUGUAUGAAAUUACUUGUUUUGGUGAAUUACUAUAUUAUUUCCCUUGGGCCGCCUCACCAUUUUGUUGCAUAAUCUGCCCUGGGUCAUUCAUUUUUGUAUAGAGUGGAGAUAUGAUCUCAUCAGCUUUUAUAUUAAUUUCUGUUUUGCCAUUGUAUGAAAUUAUGAAAAAUGGAUAUUGAAGAGUUUCUUGCCACAAAUUGAACCUGCAUCUCUGGUAAGCAUUACUCAUGCACUUUCGCGAAAAAGGCAGUAAGUGAAUGACCUAAACUCAUGGUUCAUUUCAUAUUAUGGAGUUUCUUAAUUUCUUCAGGAUUAUUUCGCCUGGAAUUCUCCUAAUUUGCUUCCAAAAAUCCACUGCUGAUAGGGUUGGUGCUUGCCACAUUGCCUUUGCGGCUGGUAGUGGCUUGUAUGCUUGUUGGAUUAGUCAGAAAAUCCAAUUGGCAUUGGUCACAAAUUUGUUUAUUCAAAUUUUUAUUCGAGCUGAGGGAUACAUAUAGUAGUAGACUUCAUAUACUAUGGGUGCGUUUUUGGGAUUGAGGUUGGGUAGCUGUGACUUUUAAGUUACAGCACUAAAGUGUUUGGUAAACACUAGCUGUUGUACCUUUUAAACUAUAUUAAUAUGAUUUUUUAUUUGUAUAAUGAAAAAUUUAUUAUAUCUUUAAUAAUUUGUCAUAAUUAUUAUUUAAAAUUUAUAUUUACUAUAUAUUAUUAACUUUUGUUUGAUAGUUACUGUUUUUUUUUCCAUAACAACUGUAGUUUUUAAGUUACAGCACCUCAAUUCCAAACAGAACCUAUGUUGUCUUUCUCAUAUAUAUAAAAUAUAGUAAGAGAUAUAUAUUGCUUUCAUAUAAUUCUCAAUAUCAUAGGCGGUAAACCUGGACUCUUGGCCUAAAGACAAUAUGAGCAUGAAACCAUUUCGCGUGGGUGAUCAGUUAAGCCACCAAUGGGCUAUAAACAGAGCUUCAUUCAAGAGAGUUAAAGGUAUCCCAAGUUCUGAAAAUUGAGAGCAUGUGCAAGUGAACUUUUGCAGAGAAUUUUGAGAGUGUUUUCUUAACUAUUCUAGCGGGUAUUAUAUUGGGUGUAUUUAGGUUAUCGAGUUUUGAGAAUUAUUCCCGUUCAAAGCCCAACCCCAAUUUCAUGAACCUAAAUAAUAAACCAAACAAAAGAGAAUAUUCUCUCAAUUUAUCUAGAAUUAUCUUGGGUAAUAAUAUCCUGAAUAAUUGGCGCUGUGGCAGUUUUAAAAAUUUGGUGAUUGUUAAGAAAUUAAUGACAAUAAGUUUAGGAUGUCGUUACUUGUUAGGACCUGCAUUUAAAAUCUUAAAUAUUCGUAAUUAAUUAUAAAGAUCUUGGUUCACAUGCAAGCUACAACAAUUAGCCAACAAAUAUAUAGUCUUUUUGACAAAACUAUGCAAAAAGAAAGAGAAUAUAAUCAAUGAAACUGAUUUGGACAAUACCACACGAUUUUAUUUUUAUUGACAAACCAACCUAAAUAACAUAUUAACGUAAAUAACGCAUCCACAUAUAAUAGUUUUAUUUAAUUAUUAAGAAAGAUGAAGUACAUGGACAUUGGACACUAAAACAAUUAUAAUCUCUUAUAUAUCAAGAGAUUUUAGAGAUUAAACUGAACCAAACUGACACUCGCAUGAUUAGUUGACAGAUAAUAACAAUACCCAUCCUUUUAUUAACUAUAAUAUAAAAAAGUAAUACUGUGGCUAUGUAUGUAUUAUUAACCAGUGUGGUCGGGAUUUCUUCUAAAAAGAGAGACAACAAUAAGAUUAAGAUUGUCAAAUGUCACUUCCAUAUCAUCAGCAAUACCAUAUACAGGUACUGGAGUACUCUCUGACCGCUCACUCUUACAUAAAAGUUUAAUAUUAGAAAAUGAAUUCAUAAAUGCAUAUAUUAAAAUAUGAAUUGUAAAUGAUAUCUAUUCAGCUGAGAUUGGCUUGAAACCUGCGCAAGGAGGAGUUUCUAUGUUCUUAUUUCUGCUUUGAUCUGAUACAUAUAGAUUCAAGAAGCCGACGUUGCCAACGUGUGGGCGAUUGUGACCUAGCAAAACAUCUAAUAGUUAGUUAAAUUCCACCUGCGACACGUGGGAGCAUGGGUCCACAAAACAAAUAAUUGGAACUAAUUAGAACAGAAAUCGAUUCGGUAACCCGCCGCCGCAUGCACUUUCUAAAAGUUUUAAAUUUAUGAAUUGAAACUACUGACGCCUUUUUAUGUUUGGUUAAUUAUACAUAUAGUUCGAGCUGAGGGAUACAUACAGUAGUAGAGUCUUUAAAAUGGUACAAUACCUAAUCAACGUUGAUAUAUACUAAGUUACAGGGGCCAUCGAUGACAUACGUAGAUAAUUUUCUGUAAUUGUUGCUUGAUUCCCAUAUAUAUAUAUAUAUAGAGUUCUUUUCUAAAGGAUGUUAUUAAAUUAUAAAAAACGCAUAUUUCAAUACACUAAAAAUUAUAUAUUUUUUAUCUAUUAGUAUAUUGAAAUUUGUGUUUUUAUUUUUUACUGACAUCCCUAACAUCCUCACUUUUACCCUCAUUAGAGAAUUACAAUAGUGGUAUAUCUAGGACAGCUAUUUUAGAGUUUGAUUAUUUGAGCAAGUAAUUUUAAUUUUUGUUGACUAGAUUUAGAGUAGUAUGUUAUUAGAGUCUUUCCAUUUGUAUUUUAGGUAGAAUUUUACUUCUAUGUUUGAGUGUACAUUGUCUAGUAUAUUUACUCGGUUAUAAAUUGGGUGGUUAUGUAAUAUGUUUGAAAAUCUUUAAUUAAUUAAAUUUUUAUUUUAUUUUUUUCAUGAAAUUAUUUAUCUAAAUCUCUCUUAUAAAAUCGUUUACAUUAGAGCAUUAAUUAAUCUUAUAACUUUGAUGUAUUAUUUGCCUUGGACUUUUAUUUUGGUCUAUCACUAUAUUAUUUACCUUUGGCUGUCUCACCAUUUUCGUGUAAUAUUAUCUGCAUUGAGUCAUAUUUUUGUAUAGAGUGGUGAUAUUUAUCUCAUCAGUUUUUAUAUUAAUUUCUAUUUUGCCGUUGUAUUAAAUUAUUUGCUUUGGUGAAUUGCUAUAUUGUUUGCCUUGGGCCGUCUCACCAUUUUGGUGUGUAAUCUGCCUUGGGUCAUUCAUUUUUGUAUAGAGUGGUGAUGUGAUCUCAUCAGCUUUUAUAUUAAUUUCUGUUUUGCCAUGGUAUGAAAUUAUUAAAAAGGAUAUUGAAGAGUUUCUUGCCACAAAUCGAACCUGCAUCUCUGUUAAGCAUUACUCUUGCAUUUCCACGGAAAAGGCAGUAAGUCAAUGGCCUAAAUUCAUGGUUCAUUUCAUAUUAUGAAGUUUCUUUCUUCAGGAUGAUUUCGUCUGGAAUUCUCCUAAUUUGCUUCCAAAAAUCCACUUGCCACAUAGCCUUUGCAGCUGGUAGUGGCUUGUAUGCUUGUUGGAUUAGUCAGAAAAUCAAUUGGCAUUGGUCACAAUUUUUUUAUUCGAGCUGAGGGAUACAUACAGUAGUAGACGUCGUGUACUAUGUUCUCUUUCUCAUAUAUAUAAAUAUAGUAAGAGAUAUAUAUGGCUUUUAUUUAAUUCUCAAUAUCAUAGGCGGUAAACAUGGACUCUUGGCUUAAAGACAAUAUGAACAUGAAACCAUUUCACGUGGGUGAUCAAUUAUAUAACUUUCAUCCUUCUUACGGAAGUCAGAAGAGGUGUGUACCUACCACAUCAACCGUGUCAAGCGAAGAUAUUGGACAUUUAAUAAUGAAAAAAUUAGGAAUUUUCAUGGACACACCAGUAGGUUCCGUAAAUAUAUAGAAUCAAUUGAUUCUAGGUACCUUACAAUGUGACCUUUUUCUUUUUUUUGUCCCUGAAGAUCCGGACUAUUUUUGAGGAUACUGGCCGUUGAGGCUUUGUUUGUAAUUGUGCAAGAAAAUGGAAAAGAAUGGGCUAAAGCGCAAAAAGUAAAGCUAACAGUUGUUUAAUUUAAUUUUUUAAGAUUGUUUUGAUGUGGAAUUUGAUUUGGGAACUUUUUUGUAAUUACAAGAAACAGCCACACAGGGUGACAAUUAUGGCAUUCUUUCGUCAAUUGGAUAUUAAUAGUACAAUGAGGAUGGCUAAAUGCAUAAUCACCCUAUUACUCUUGCAGUCCAAAGCAAAAGCAAUAGCAUUACAAACAGUCGAACUCUCAGAUUGAUUCACUGUAUCUAAACGAUAGGUCAUCUGAUUACUAAACUAUCUGACGUAACUGAUUCCGAAAUUUAAUUUAGAGAGGAUUUGGUACAAAUAAAAUGAUUCACGAGGCGCGUUCGAUGGUGCAAGUGAUCGGCGGCAACAACAAGCAAGUAAGGUAAUGAUGAUGUAUAUGUUGGAAAUAUGAAUUCAUAUUGUUUAUUAAAAGUUCAAAACAUGAAUAAUAGUUGUUGGUACUGUUUACUUCACUGUUUAUUAAUACUAUUAAUCAUACUGUUCACUUAGCAACAAUUGUAAAUUUGUCAAGGCGUGUUCGAACUGUCCUUAAAACAAAUUUCAGCUCUUCUAGAAAGAUUUCUCGAUGCAAAAAGGAUAUAAAUAAAAUGGAUUGAGCUCCAUGAUACAAUGAUAUUGUUGCCAGGUUGCACUCCAAGUACAAUAGUUUAGAAAAGAAAAAUUAAUGAAGAAACUAUGAGAUAGAAGGAGAGGAUAUAGUGGCUGUGCCUUGAAGACUUUGUAUUUUAAAAUACCAAUAAAACUCGAAGAAUAAACUUAAAUAAUUUUGAUCAAGAUUGCACUUUAAGAUGAAACACUAAUUAGUGGCCUUUAUGUAUAACUUAAUAAUUUGAUAAAUAACUUCGCACUAGCAAAGCCAAGAGUUUCAUUUAAACCCCUAAGAUUCAAAUAUUCUUUCACCCUUUACUACUGGCAAAAUUUGGCAAUCGAUAUUUCGGAAGACAUCACACAUGUCAAAAAAAAAAAGGAAAAAAAAAUAGCUAGUCCCAUCAAAAUCACCAAAUGCAAUCCAAUAACAUGCUCCACUUAAGUAUAGACUUUCAUGAGAAUCGACGGAAAAAAAAAUAAUAAUAAGUUCAUUUAGUUAAGCAAAUAACAGUUUGUGAUUGUUCUUUAACCUUAUUAAUAAUCUAAUUCUUAGUUUCUUACUAUUGUUCUUUUACUUGAUUAUGUUAUCCCCUAAAUCUUCAUAACAUCCAGAUUAAAUUACUGAGAAAUACAAAAGCGGAAGCGUACCUGAAUCCAUGGUGAUUCGUAGUGGUUCUUGAGUGUAGGAGAUGGACUUCCAAUCUUCUCUUUCUCUUGAGUUUAGAAUUCUCUUUGAGAGGAUUAGAGAAUUGCAAAGGAUUAAAGAGAUUGGGGACCAUAACCCUUUUUAUAUAAAUACUGUGACAACAGUCACGUUAUUUAUGAUAAUAAUUAUCACUUCAGCCCCUCAUUAAAGUGAUGAUUAAAUUCUGGUAUCUAUGCAUUUAAUCCACAACAAUUAUACCCUUAGCCAUUUAAUUAACUUCAAAUAGAUCACUUAAUUCUUGGCUUAUUAAAUAAUAGCACACACAUUUUAUUUAUUUCAUGUGUGGCCCCAAAUAUAUUAGAUUAAUAUAAAAUUGAUCUAACAAUCUCCCACUGGGCCAUAAAUGAAAACUGAAAUGUGUUUAACUUGAUGAGCUCAUAAAAUUGCUAUUAUGUCCUUAGAGUAUAUCUAAACAAUCUAGUUCAUUAACCACAUCGGUAUAGGAUCAUAGCGGCCUUUGUUACAUUAAUCGUAACUCAACCAUCCAUGGUCACAUAUAUCAAUAUAGUUACAUGACAUAGAUCAAUUGUGGAUGCAUAGCAUGGAAAUUACAUGCAAUGUGAUCUAAACAUGUCUAUUCCCAACUGGUCCUAAUUUACUUUAUUGAGAUCUAAACUUAAGUUAGUCUAACAGAGUGUAAGGAACUGAAAUACUUUAUUUCUGCAGAAAAUAAUCCGAAUAAUAUAAUCAAAAUAUAAAAGUCACACUUAGUAAUUAUACAAACUCCCAUUAAAUCUGAAUAUCCUCAAGUAAAAUCACACCCAUACGAGCAAUGUGUUCAUGAAAGACUUUAGGUGGUAAUCCUUUAGUGAGCGGAUCCGCUAUCAUGGAGUUUGUCCCAAUGUGCUCUAUAGAUAUUUGUCCACUCUGCACUCUUUCCUUCACAACAAGGAACUUGAUGUCAAUAUGUUUUGACUUUGUAGAGCUCCUGUUGUUGUUGGAAUAUAAAACUGCUGACUUAUUGUCACAAAAUAUCUUGAGCGGUCUUUCUACACCCUCUAGAAUGCGCAGCCCAGUGACAAAAUUACGCAGCCAUAUUCCUUGAUUGGAUGCCUCAUAACAUGCUACAAACUCUGCUGCCAUAGUCGAUGAAGCUACAAGUGUCUGCUUGGCAGAUCUCCAAGAAAUUGCUCCACCACCCAACAUGUAAAUAUAGCCUGAUGUGGAUCUUCUGCUGUCUUGGCAUCCAGCAAAAUCAGAGUCAGAAUACCCAAUGAUCUCUAACUAAUCCGACCUCCUAUAUGUGAGCAUGUACUCCUUUGUUCUCUGUAAGUACCUCAUAACCCGUUUGGUUGCUUUCCAAUGAUCUAUCCCGAGAUUGCUCAAAUAUCUGCCCAACAUGCCAACUAUGAACGCAAUAUCUGGACGCGUACAUACUUGAGCAUACAUAAGACUCCCUAUAGCUGAAGAAUAAGGAAUCUUCUCCAUUUCCUGGAUUUCAAGAUUGGUCUUAGGGCAUUGACUAAGGCUGAAUUUAUCUCCUUUGGCGACAGGGGUGUCACCAGGUUUACUGUUUUGCAUGCCAAACCUCUUCAAAACUUUAUCGAUAUAGUUCCUUUGUGACAAUCCUAGAAUACCCCGAGAACGAUCCCGAUGUAUCUCGAUUCCUAAAACAAAGGAGGCAUCACCAAGAUCUUUCAUCUCAAAAUGUUUUGAUAGAAAACUCUUGGUGUCGUGCAGUAUGCCUAUAUCAUUUGUGGCAAGCAAUAUGUCAUCAACAUAUAAAACCAGGAAUAUAUGUUUACUCCCACUGAACUUGUGAUACACACAUUCAUCAAUAACAUUAGUCUCAAAAUCAUAUGAGAUAAUUAUUUGAUGAAACUUAAAGUACCAUUGACGAGAAGCUUGUUUGAGCCCAUAGAUGGAUUUGGUUAGCUUACAAACCAUUUUCUUUGGGUCUCCCAAUACAAAGUUUUCUGGUUGUACCAUAUAAAUUGUUUCCUCAAUGUCACCAUUAAGGAAAGCAGUCUUAACAUCCAUAUGAUGUAACUCAAGAUCAAAAUGUGUAACAAGUGCCAUAAUUGUCCUGAAAGAGUCUUUCGUAGAAACCGGAGAGAAAGUCUAUUUAUAGUUAAUUCCUUCCUUUUGAGUAAAGCCUUUAGCUACAAGACGUGCUUUAUACCUUUCCACAUUACCAUUUGAAUCCUUUUUGGUUUUAAAUAUCCAUUUACAACCAAUGGGCUUCGCACCGGAAGGUAAUGAGAUAAGUUCCCAAACUUUAUUGUCUUGCAUUGACUUGUACUCUUCAUUCAUGGCUUCGAUCCAUUUAUGAGAAUUGGAGCUUUGCAUGGCUUGAUGAAAGUUAAUUGGGUCAUCUUCCAUCACUCCAGUUUCAUCCUAAUGUUCCUGAAGAAAUACUAUAUAAUCAUCCGGAAUAACAUUUCUCCUUUCUCUUGUGGAUCGUCUUAAUUGCGCAGGCUCUUGAGAUUGUUGAGUUUGUUCCUUAGGAACAAUCAUCUCAUGUUGAUUCUGGGGUUGAACAACAUUGUCAGAUGGUUGAGGAUCUGAAUUUACUUCAUGAUCAAUGACAGGUAUUAAAACUUGUACAUUGUCAAAAGCAACAGUGGAUCCCUCUUCCUCUUCAAAGACAAUGUUUCUUACUGGAUUUCUCCCCCCAAACUCAACAUCCUCAAAGAAUGUAGCAGUUCCCGUCUCAAAAAUUAACCUUGUACUGGGAUCAUAAAACUUAAAACCCUUUGAUCGCUCUGCAUAGCCAAAAAAGUAGCUGCUUACAGUUUUGGAAUCCAAUUUCCUUUCAUGAGGUCUAUAAGGCCUCGCUUCAGCUGGACAUCCCCAAAUAUGUAAAUGGUUGAGACUAGGCUUUCGACCCGUCCAAAGCUUAUAAGGUGUUUUAGCAACCGCUUGAGUUGGCACUCGAUUUAGUAUAUAAGCUGCUAUUUUUAGUGCUUCACCCCAGAGUGAUUCUGGUAAAGUAGAAUGACUGAUCGUACUCCUUACCAUAUCCUUAAGAGUGCGGUUUCGUCUCUCAGAUACACCAUUCAUGCUAGGCGAUCCUGGCAUAGUAUAUUAAGGGACAAUUCCACAUUCCUAUAGGUAUUUAGCAAACGGUCCUGGACGUUGUUCUCCUGAACCAUCAUAUCUACCGUAGUAUUCACCACCAUGGUCAGACCUGACAUUUUAAUCCUUUUGUUGAGUUGUAACUCAACUUCGGCUUUAAAUGUUUUGAACACAUCCAAAGACUGUGAUUUUUCAUGAAUCAGGAAUAUAUAGCCAUAUCUUGAAUAGUCGUCUAUGAAUGUAAGGAAAUAUUGUUGACCAUUCCAAGUAGCUGUAGGGAAUGGUCCACAGAUAUCUGUAUGAAUUAAUUCUAAGACGGCUGAUGUUCUGUAGGCUCCUAAUUUCUUACUUUUGGUUUGUUUUCCCUUGAUACACUCAAUACAAACAUCAAGGUCUGUAAAAUCAAGAGAUCUUAAAAUCUCAUCAGACACUAAUCGCUCAAGUCUAGCUUUAGAGAUGUGACCUAAGCGUUUGUGCCAUAAUGAGGCCGAAUUUUCUUUCUCUAAUUUAUGCUUUAUACCUCUGGAACUAAAAUGCAGGUUUUCAUUAUAACUUGAAACAAUGUGUAGCAAAUAUAGAUUGUCAUAAGCAUUAAGCAAACCAGUUCCAAUAACAUUAGAAUUGAUAGAUAAACUAAAUUGUCUGUUUACAAAUGAACAAGAAUAACCUGAUUUGUCCAAAACAGAAACUGAAAUCAAAUUCCGUCUAAAAGACGGAACAACAAAAGUAUCUAACAAAUCCAAAUAACAACCAGUUUUCAUAAGUAAUCUAAAAUGCCCAAUUGCUUCAACUUCUACCGUCUUACCAUCUCCUACAUAAAUGCAUCUUUCAGCAUCACUUGGCGGCCGGUAGCUCAGGCAACCCUGCAGUGAAACACAAAUGUGAGUAGUAGCACCCGAAUCUAUCCACCAUGUGUUUCUUGGUACUGAAGCGAAAUUAGUUUCAGAACAAACCAAAGUAAGAAAUGUACCUCUCUUUACGCGACAUGCGUAAUAUUUUUGACAUUCCUUCUUCACAUGUCCAGGCUUGCCGCAGAAGAAACAACCAUGCUCGGCCUUUGGUUUCUUUGGCUCUGGACCCUUACAAGCAACAACGUCACCCUUUUUCUUUCUUUUGCCCCUAUCUUUAGAAGUGCUUACGAUAUGUGCAUAUUCGGAUUUCUCUUGCUUUAGUAUCUCUUCUUCUUACACACAAAAGGAAAUCAGUUCAUUGAGAUUCCACUUCUCUUUCUGACAGUUGUAACUGACUUUGAACUGAUUAAAUUGUGUUGGGAGAGAGAUAAGGACCAAAUGCACAACCAAAUCAUCAGAUAGGUCGAGCCCUAAUACCUUAAGCUUAGAAGCAAGAUGAGACAUCUCCAUGAUGUACUCCCGAACGUUUCCCUUGCCUUUAUACUUCAUUGAAAUCAAGCUUGCUAAAUGCGUACUUGUUUCAGCCUUAUCGUUUUUUGUAAAACGUUUAUGAAUUUCGGUAAGAAACUCACUAGCACUUGUAACCUCAUCAGUUAUAGCACUCCUAAAUACUUCUGGAACACCGCGCUUCAUGAUCAUAAGACUCAUCAUGUUAGAUCGAUCCCACUUCUCAUAGUACAACACUUCCUCAGAUGUACUAUCAUCAGUGAGUUCGUCCGGCUUAGGGUGUCUGAAUGAUAAGUCUAGAUCCAUGCAGCCUAAGAGAAUCAUCAUAUUCUCUUUCCAGUCCUUAAAAUUAGUCCCAUUUAGAACCGGGACACUAUUCAUAUUUGCAGAUAUAGAAGUCGCAGAUAGAAAAGCUAAAUAGAGAACAAAAAAAUAAAAUAUAAAUAAUGCUCACAUUAAACAACUCAAUUAAUAAUCUUUAAAAAUUUAAAAACAAAUUAUAACAUUUCAAGAUACCUAGCACAACAUUAGUAACAAGUCUUUGGACUAUAAUACUAACUGUAAAUGGUACUCUUGUUGCAAUGAUCAAAUUUUGACAAUAAAUUAUGUCAAGUAAUGAACCAAUCUUUGGAUUAGUACAUUACUCACAUUAAGUUAUCUUAAUAAUCGUCACAAAUUUACCAUCACAAGUGUGUGUGCAAUUAGGCCAAAUAUUAACCUUCCUUUGGGUCGAUUAACAUCCGCAGGAAUUACACAAACACAAACAUCUAACACCCCAAAUAAACUAAUCUACACAGGAGAUAUCACUUUGGUGACUUCCUGCUUUAAUUAGCAUAUCAUCAGUGUUAGACCAAUAAUCAUUUUAAUUUAAAGAUUAUAAAACCAUAACCGAAAUAAUUAAUAAAACCGAAACCGAAACGUGGUCUAACCAUAACAAUUACAAAAUUCCAAGCAAAAUGAUAUUAAUAACUCAAUAAUCUAAUCAUGGAUGGGGCUUUGAUACCACUUGUUAUCCCCUAAAUCUUCAUAACAUCCAGAUUAAAUUACUGAGAAAUACGAAAGCGGAAGCGUACCUGAAUCCAUGGUGAUUCGUAGUGGUUCUUGAGUGUAGGAGAUGGACUUCCAAUCUUCUCUUUCUCUUGAGUUUAGAAUUCUCUUUGAGAUGAUUAGAGAAUUGCAAAGGAUUAGAGAGAUUGGGGACCAUAACCCCUUUUAUAUAAAUAUCGUGACUAUUGGUUUUCUUUUAGAAAACCCAACAGUCACGUUAUUUAUGAUAAUAAUUAUCACUUCAGCCCCUCAUUAAAGUGAUGAUUAAAUUCUGGUAUCUAUGCAUUUAAUCCACAACAAUUAUACCCUUAGCCAUUUAAUUAACUUCAAAUAGAUCACUUAAUUCUUGGCUUAUUAAAUAAUAGCACGCACAUUUUAUUUAUUUCAUGUGUGGCCCCAAAUAUAUUAGAUUAAUAUAAAAUUGAUCUAACAGAUUAUAUUGUCGACUCUUUCUGAAAAAGAUUGUUUUUGUAAUUGAACUGUUUAAAGUUUAAACAUAAAAAAAAAAAGAACUAAAUCCAAAUCAAAUAUAAAUACAAAUCCAGGUUCUAAAAAAAUCAAGUACAAAUACAGAAUCUAAAUUCUAAAACUUAAAGUUUCCAAGCGAACAUCAAGGAAUCAACAUCCCACGAAGCAACACGAACGGCGAAGGCGAGCUAGUUCAACCUGUAUCGGGGCUGGUUACUGGUCGCGAUAGCAGCUAGUGAUGAUGAACAUUGAACACAGCCACGAUCACGAUUAGCGAAGGUGGCGUUCAACUCGUAUCACAACUUGUUACUGGUUGUGACAGAGAAGAAGAAAUGAUGGCUGAUGAUGAUGAUGAGAUUAACACAACCGCAAAGAUAGUGAAGUGAUGACGACGAUGAUUUAAUUUGAUGAAGAAAACACCUGAAAAGAGACAGACAGGAAAUGUUUGGCCUUGGCAGCCGCAGCUAUGAAUGCAAGUAGGGCACUUGGGCUUUUUUUUGUGUUUUUCUAUUUGUAUUUAUAAUCUAAAAAAAUUAAUAUUAAAAUAAAAGCUUCCGGGUCUAGAUUCUGUAUCUAUGGGUUAACAUAAACCCAGACACGGACCUGGAUACGUCUGGGUUCAAUAAAUUGCAUCCGAAUUCCAUAUAAAAUUUGCUCCAGUAUGGGUUGAAGCCAGCCUAUUCUCUGGGUUCAUCUAGGUUUGGGCGGGGAUCGGAUUAAAUUGGCAUCGCUUUUAUGUCCAAAUUAUCAAUAAGAUCCUUUGCUGUUAGUAAAUUCCUUUAUCAAAUGGUUUCAAUUUUGAACAUAUUAGUCCUAUUCCAAUUUUCAACCGUUCCCAAUUUUAUAACUCCAUUUAUUAGUAACAUUGUCUUAAAAGUUCAUCAUUGCACGGCACUAGAAUGAUUAUAAGGUUUAAUAUUUUUGAAUUAUGCAGCUCGUUCUCAGUAAGACAAGGCUAUUUGCACUCUAAAACUUAGUCUAAACAAUCUAUCACCUUGGAUACUCAUGUACUAAAUUUAAAAAGAUUAAGUUUUAUUUUCUUCACACUUUAAAAUACCUAAAAAGACCUUACUGAAACUCGCUAAAUUAAUUUACUCAAAACACCAAUCAAACUAUUUAGCACAUCCAAAAUGAAUUAGUAAUAAUUUAGAAUACACUGCAAUGGAAUCAAAGUACGUUCUAAAGAAAUUUUUUUAAAAUAAGUUUUAUUUAUUAGCUUUUGUUUAUUAAAGAAUAUGUUCAGCAUUGGUUUUUAAACCCCAAACUUUUAACCCAACAAUUGGAAAAAAUGGUUAUUUGGCCCAAAAAGGGAAAAAAAAUAAAGAAAGAAAGAAAGAAAGAAAGCAAGCAAGAAAGAAGAAAAGAACACAAAGAAGAAGGAGAAGACUGCAAUCCCUAACUUUUAGGGUGUUAGUUGCAUUGUUUGACAUUUUCUUUGUUACUUGUACCACAAUGCUUUAGUUGUGCAUUAGUGGGCUAUUAUUUCUCUUUUUCUGUUACUUUGUAAAGCUAUUUAAGCCAAGUUCAUCUAUUCAAUAAAGUAAGCAAUUUUCAAAUUGUUUAGAGUUCUUGAUUUGCAAUUUCUUCUGCGAUCAUUAAUUUCCUACGCCAGCAACUAGCUGUUAUUUGGCAGUUUUAGUUAUGGGUUUGGAAGAUAUAGCUUUUGGAACUAAUUUUUUGAAAAUUGAUUUUGGAACGUCAGUUUUGUUUACGUUUCACGACUCACACGUGUUGUGGAGGUAAAGUUAAAUUAAAUUUUGUAUUUUUCUUUUGUUGAAUUGAAAUUGUUAAUUUUAAUUUUCUAAUCAACAAAUGAUUUUAAUUUUUUUUGGAAUUACCAUUGUUAAUUAUAGAAAUGUUUAUUCAUGAUGAAAAUUUUCAUCUCAGACUCAUUAUGGUAUAAUUGUACUGGUCUCUGCACCCAAUCUAUGUUAGGUAAUAGUCGUUUUUUGUACUCUCAUUAAUGAGAUAAUUUGACAAAACUAAUGAUUUGAAUAAUACAUAAAGUGUCGCAUCAUUUGAGAUAAUUUGUAACCAUAUGUAUUGUUAUUCUAUAAAAAAAAAGUGUUGGAAAAAUAGGAUAAUGAGUUGCCAUUUAAAAACAUAAUUUUGAGUGGUAUACACUUAGUGUGAGUAGAAAGUCAAUAAUAAUUCGAAAUCUCCUCCAUGAGUACUCCAAAAUGAUGUAUUUGUAUACUGAAUAUGAUGUUGGUUAAAUAGGAAAUUGAUCCUCAAAAUAAAGCAAGAGUUACAGAGAUUGUAAUGGCUAGUUAAAUUCAAAAUUAACUAUGCAAUCCAUUCCAGAAUUUAUUAUUUGUAACUGCUAAUUAAAUGUAGAAUUUAUUAUGAGAUUAUAAUGGUCAAUUAAAUUUAUAUUUUGAUAUAAAAUUAAAUCCAAAAUUUAAUUUAUGAUUAAUGAGGCAGCGAUUACAUUUUGAAUUUAAUUUAAAGAUUUAAUAAGCAGUGCUUUUAAUGGAUAUUAAAACCAACGGUUAAAAGUGUGUUUAAUAAGAUAUUAAAUUGCAUCUGAAGAAAACUUAAAGCAAUCAAAUUUGUCACCAAAAUGCCGUGAUAUAAUUCUAUAAAUUGGCAUAUUCUUCUACCGCAUUUGUAGAGACACGAGAUAGUGUAAGUGGUGGAAAAUAAUGAGAAUACAAGUGAAGAUAGAUUGAAGAGUAGGAAUAGAUAAUCUGCAAUUCCUCCUUUGUCAUAUAUCCAUUUUGAUAGAGUUUUAAACACAAUUAAAAUUCUCUGCGAAAUAACCUAUUGCCGCACCAAAGCUAUCCAUCACCAUUGUAUCCUGAAAACAGAUGCCAUUCGAAUCCUAAGACACCCAAAGUAGGAAGCAAAGCUUUUUAAACAAACUAUGCUAUCACAUAAGCCUCCAUUUGCAUUCUAUUCUUUGGUUUUACUUUAUGUUUUUAUUUCAUUGUAGUAAUUAUUGUUUCUGCACUUAUUAUUCUAUAAAGUCACAAUUUAUGAUUUGUAAUUUUAGAAUCUGUUCAUCCUAUAUCAGUUGUAUAUUAUGUGUUUUUCUCUUGCAAAAAUUUGAUGAAAUCUUAAUCCAUUUUGAUUUUAAAAAAGGGGAGAAAAAAAAUAAAAUAGAUUAGUACUGCAUCAGCUUUCCAACGGCUCAUUUGUGACUUUUUUAUUUUUAAUCUUUUAAUCACUAACCUCUCUCAUGAACACUAGAUAGCUAUCAUGUUCAUGCAAUACAGUUCACUUUCAAGAAGCCUUGCUAUUGAAAUGGUAGACAUGCGAAACUCAAAAUCUCAUGCUCAAGAGCAUGGCGGUUCGAGUCCUCUUCAAGGCAUAAUAUUGAGAAUGCUCAUUGAAUGAGCAAUUCAAUAAGAGAUCUGGGAUCGAACUAAUAUAUUGAUUCAAGAGUGACUAAUUAAAUAAAACUUCUUGAAAACCACACCUGCACAAGUCCACGUGGGUUCUCAAGUUCUAUGUUAACUAUUAUUCUUCUCGGCAAGUAUCAUUCUUCUAUUGGAGAUGCCAUUGUUGCAGAAUAGAAGUCAGUUGAAGCUGUUAAUAUUAUGAUUGAAGUUUAUGCAAGUGCAGAUUGCAGACAGCAGAUAUCGACUUGAAGCCUCAUGUAAGGAAAUAAAGGUUGGUUUUCAACCAAAUAUGACGACUGGGACAAUGUCGGGUGGUUAAGGAAGAUGCAAUGGUCGUCUCAAAAAAUUGGGUUUCAUUGGCCAGAUAGGACUAAGAUGUCAACUUUUUUUUUUGUUUAAUAUGAUUAACAAUGAAAGAGUAAUUUUGACACAUUGACUUGGACUUGUGAUUGUUAAUAAAUUUAUUACUUCUUUUCAUUAAUUUGACUUGCAUAACAAUUAAUUGAGUGAUUUUUAUUUUUCAAGAUACUGCUACUUGAAGAAAUUGUAUGAAUCAAUAAUUUAUCAAUGAGUAACGUUACAAUUUAUACAAGUUAGACAUACUUGGCUGAUAAGCCAAACACUAUAAGAUAAGUCAUAGCCUAUAAGAUAAAUACAAGCUAAGGUAAAGAGCUAUAAGAUAAGAUUACAAGUUGUUGAAACAGAGAGUAGUUAUCUAUGUACAUGUUUGGCUAAUACUCCCCUGCAAGAUAGGUGUUCCAUCUAGAACUCCUAGCUUGGAACGUGCAGCAAUAUAACGACUGAGAGACAGUGGUUUGGUCAAGGUAUCAGCCAACUUAUUUUCUGAAGGAAUAUGAGAAACACAAAGAAGACCUGCUGCAAUUUUAUGACGAACAAAAUAAAAAUCAAUUUCUACGUGUUUCAUCUUUGAGUGAUAAAUCGGAUUUGAACAUAAGUAUGUCGCUCCAAGAUUAUCACAAUGUAGAACAGGCAUAGAAAAUUUUAUACCAAGUUCAUCCAACAAGUUCCUGAUCCAACAUAUUUAUGAAACAGCAGCAGCUAUUGCUCGAAAUUCUGCCUCUGUAGAUGAGCGAGCAACAGAACGUUGCUUUUUGGAUGACCAUGAAAUUGGAUUACCUCCAAAAUAAAUAACAUAGGCACUAGUAGAACUGCGAUCAUCAAGAUUUCCUCCCCAAUCAGAAUCAGAGUAAGCUAUCAAGGAAUGCGACUGAGAUGAGCGUAGAUGUAAACCAUGAAAAAUUGUCCCUUUCAAAUAUCUAAGUAUUCGCUUAGCAGCUUGCCAAUGAAUUUGUGAAGGUUGUUGCAUGAACUGAGAUAAUUUGUUGACAACAAAACUAAUAUCCGGCCGAGUUAAUGUUAGAUACUGUAAGGCUCCAAUAAGUUGACGAUAUAGAGUGGAAUCGGCUGGUGGUGCCCCAUCAUUUAAUUGAAGUGUGACUGAGGAGGAAAGAGGAGUACCAACUGCUUUAGCAUCACACAUGCCAAAACACUGCAGGAGGUCACGAAUGUAAGAGUGUUGUGACAAGAGAAUUCCAGUGGUUGUUUGAACAAGCUCAACACCUAAAAAAUAGUUUAAAGCCCCAAAUCUUUGAGAGAGAAUUUAACUGAAAGAGCAUCAAUGAAAUGAGAAAUAAAUGCAUUAUGGCUGCCGGUUAUAAUAAUGUCAUCAACGUAGGCAAGAAAGUAGACUCGUACACCAUUUGUGUUAUAAAUAAACAAUGAUGCAUCAGAUCGACAUUGAUGAAAACCAUAAGCAAGCAGGAAAUGAUGUAAAGCUGUAAACCAUGCACGUGGAGCCUGUUUUAAGCCAUAAAUUAAUUUAUUUAACCUGCAGACAAAAUUAGGUUUGUUAGAAUCAACAAAACCAUUGGGUUGUUUCAUGAACACUUCCUCUUGAAGAUGACCAUGGAGAAAAGCAUUAUUAAUAUCCAGUUGCCAUAAGGACCAGCCACAUGCCAAGGCUAGGCAAAUAACCAAUCGAACUAUAGUAGGCUUAAUAACUGGAUUGAAAGUUUCAUGAAAAUCAAUCACAGGACGCCGAUGGAAACCUUUAGCUACUAGACGAGCUUGAAAUCGAUCAAUACUACCAUCGGGUUUCCUUUUAACCCAAAACACUCACUUACUGCCAACAAGGUUCUGAUUAGGUGAUGGAGGUAUAAGGUCCUAUGUGUUAUUGGAGAUAAGGGCAUGAUAUUCAGUAGCAUGGCAGCAAGCCAUUGAGGAUCUUUAAGUGCCUGUGUAAUGGAGGUGGGUUCACAAGAAGUUGGCAAUGGAUGAUUGAAGUGCACCUGUAGAUGGUCUAACGUGGAAGAAAUUUUUUUUUUUGGUUUAUGGAUGUUAUUUUGGGAGCGGGUUGUCAUUGGAUGUGUUCGAACAAGUGGAUUUGAUGAAGAAUGAGGUUUAGAUAAGGUUGAAUGAGGAUUAUUGGGUUCUGGAAUGGUGGGUGGAAUUUCAAUGGAAUUAGGAGAUGAUAAGGACGUGAGGAUCUGGGAACUUAUGGUGGUGGGGCUAGUAUUUGGUGGGUAUGAUGUGUGGAGUCAAGAGAGUUCUCCUGGAAUGAACUUGGAGGUUGUAUAUUUGAAUUAGAAUUUUUUGCAGACAAAGAACAUGAGCCUAAGUGCAAUGUCAUUGCAUUAUCAGAUGAGGCAAGUGACUGAGUAGCACUAGAAUUGGAAGUUGAAACGGUGGGACUAGAUACAUGAAACACAGGAGGAAGCCAAGACGCUAUAGGUAAAGUAGAUAAAGAAGACAAAGUAGAAGUAAUAGAGUUAUAGGGAAAUACAUACUCAACAAAUUUCACAUAUCGUGAAAUAAAAAUUUUCCCAGACUUUGGCUCCAAGCAUUUAUAGGCACUUUGUUGAGAGCAAUAUCCUAGAAAAACACAUGGAAGUGAACGUGGUUCUAAUUUGUUGUGAGUGUAUGGCCGAAGCCAUGGAUAACAAAGACACCCAAAUAUUUUUAGUUUAUUGUAAUUGGGAGUUUCUUUAAACAGUAAUUGGAAAGGACAUUGCAUGCCAGUGGUACGAGAAGGUAGCCUAUUAAUUAAAUAGACAACUGUUUGGAAGGCAAAUGACCAAAAUUUUGGUGGUAAUGAUGCUUGGUGCAAUAGUGUUAUCCCGGUUUCAACAAUGUGUCGGUGUCUACGUUUAGUUGUUCCAUUAUGUUGUGGGGUAUAAGGUGGUGUAUAUAAAUGAGAAAUGCCACACUUAAGAAAAAAAUCUUUGAGUUUAAUAAAUUCCCCACCUCCAUCAGUGUAAACAGAAACAAUAUUGGUCUUAAAAUAAUUUUCAACAUUGUUCUUGAAUUGAACAAAAGUACCAAAGACAUCAAAUUUGAAUCGCAAUGGAUAAAGCCAAAUAUACUUGGUAAAGUGAUCAACAAAAAUCACAUAAUAUUUGUAACCAUCCAACGAUGUAACAGGAGCAGGACCCCACACAUCCGAAUAAACAAGUUCAAGAGGACUACUACUUUUCAAUGUAGACUCUCCAAAAGUGAGGCGAUGACUUUUAUUACAUAAACAAGACUCACAUGUUGGAGGAACUAAAGACCCAGAAAUAGAUAAAUGAAGAAAACACAAAAGAUGAUUUAAAACUUCUGUUGACGGAUGACCAACACGCUGAUGCCAAAUGGAAGAUGAAGGUUUAAUAGUGACACAGGAAAGCGGUGAAGAUGAUUUGCUAAAGAAUAAAUUUGGCCACUCAUACACUCCAUCCUUAUUCUGGCCUUGCAAUAAAAUUGCCCCCGUGGUCAUGUCCUUCACCUGAAAAAAAUCAGGAAAGAAUUCAAUAGAGGUAUUAUUUGAAGCACAAAAUUGAGAUACGAAGAUUAGAUUUUUAUUCAUAGAGGGGACAUAAAGAACAUCAUGCAAAGAAAAUUUGGUAUGAGGGGAAGAUAAAGAUAAAGAUCUAGUGUGAGAAAUACUCAAACCUGUACCAUUUCCAACUAAAACUGAAUCAGAACCUUGGUAGGGAGAAGCAGUAGUUAGAUUUUUAAAAUCCCCCGUGACAUAAUGUGAGGCAGUACUAUCAACAAGCCAAUUUGGGGAAACCAUAUUGGAUGUAAUGGUGUGGUUUAACAUCAGAGUAUUUUUGCGAGAGGAGAAAACUGGACAGUCUUUGGCUGUGUGACGUUUUUGCUCACAAAGCUGACAAAAUCCCUUAUAGCCAGAUCAUUUCUUACGAAAUUGAGCAUUAUUAUUGGUGAAAUUUUGAUAGUUGGAGGCAUUAUGGGGUUGGGAAGAAAAUUGACCAUUAUUAAAUUGGCCAUUUUGAUGUGGCAUAGAAGAGCCACGGUUGCCUUGCUUGUGAUUUGCACCAUGCUUUAUUAUAUUGUCGUUGUGUAGCAUUUGCCGUAAUAGGAGAAAUUGCCAUUGGAUCUGCUCGUUUCAAAGUUGCUUUAAAAUCAACCAACUUGUCAUAUAACUCGUCAAAGGAAAUAACAGUUUCACGUGUUCUUACCCCAACAAUUAUUUCUUUGAAUUCUGCGCCAACUCCAUUAGCAAUAUGAACCACAAUAUCGUCAUUAAUGAUGGGUAUAUCAAUCAAUGAUAAUUCAUCAGUAGUAGAUCUUAGGGAAUUGAGAUAAUCUGCCACAGAUUGUGAUCCACGACGGGGGCGAGCUAGACGCUCUUUUAGCGAAAACACACGGCUACAGCUAGGAUUGGAAUAAAGUCUUGCUAACUUAUCCCACACUUAUUUGGACGUUGUGGAACAAGCAAUCAGUGGAGCAACUCUUUCUGAAGAGGAGGCAAUGAUGGAAUGAAAGAUCAAUUGAUCUUGACGUUUCCAAUGAAGGUAUGCUGGGUUUGGGGUGGAUACAGUUUCACUACUAGAGGCUAAUGUUGGGUCUGGACAUGGAAAUGAUCCAUCUAUGUAUUUGAUAAGAUCAUAACCAAAAGCAAAGGAUAAAAACUGAGCUCGCCAAGUAAAAUAGUUUUAUGGUGUAAGUUUCAAAGGAAGUUGUGCAGCAACAUUAAUAGAGAUAUACCCAGUAGAUUGUUGGGUUGAUUGGGUAGGGGAAAUGGCUGUAGAAGUAGGUGUUGUUUGAUCAGCCAUUAUAACAAAGAAAAAUGUGCUCUUUAGAGACUAGAGCUCUGAUACCAUGAAGAAAUUGUAUGAAUCAAUAAUUUAUCAAUGAGUAACGUUACAAUUUAUACAAGUCAGGCAUACUUGGCUGAUAAGCCAAACACUAUAAGAUAAGUCAUAGCCUAUAAGAUAAAUACAAGCUAAGGUAAAGAGCUAUAAGAUAAGAUUACAAGUUAUUGAAACAGAGAAUAGUUAUCUAUGUACAUGUUUGGCUAAUACUACCCUCCCAAGUUCAAAUCUUCGGUUGAAAAUUUUGAUUUAAACUUAGUCUUCAUCCCUCAUUUAUAAAUAAUAAAUAAAUUAAUUAAUACAUAAAUAAAUAAAACCUACGUGAAUGUAGAAAUGAAUUAGAUGAAAAGUAAAUAUUGUAUAAAUACCCGCACAAUGUGGUUCAGCUGCAUUGAAUAUUAUGCCAAGAAUAUGCAAAUCUGUUGGUUAGUGUUGACUUUGAACUACCUAAAGUACACAAGGGACUUUAACAUAGACUUAAUAACCAGUGGAAUUUCUGGCAAUUUUAGAAAAAAAGGGAACUAAGAUUCAUUUGAUUAUUCUUCCUUCCUGAACCUUAACAAAGAAAUUAAUCACAAAAAUAGUUUUUUGAAGUCUUUAAAAGUAAACCUUUUUGGAUCUCUUCAGAGAGCCGAAGAAAUGAAACAUGAGAAAACUUUGAAGUGCAAAGUAAUUUGGAGCUUACACAUCUUGGCACUCUUAAUCGGUGAAGCAAUUGUGAUGUAACCUAACAGAAUGAUUAGAAUUUUCUGAGUAUAUAUGUUAACCCAUCCAUCAUAUUAUCUAUAUGUGUAUUCAGCACAAACCUUUUAAUCUUGUAUAAACUUAAAAUAGAGAACUGUUUUUCGUUCAAUACUUGCAGCCUUUAGAAGCUCAUCAAGUCCUUCACAAGUCCCAUUGUCCACUGUCGCAAGAGUUUGUUAAAAUCACGAAUCAAUAUUGUGAAUUGGUUUAGUUAUAUUCUAUUAAGUUCGUUGCUAUUUUUCAAAAAAAAAAAAGUUCGUUGCUGAGGUGGCUUGAUGAGCUGGCGUUUGUGGGACCCUUAGUGGUUAAGUUGUUACAACAGUCCUACAAGUUUUUGGAAUUAAAUAUAAAAGAAAGCAAUGAUGGCCGGUGCUGCACCUAAAGACAAGAUCUUGACUAACUUUGAGAUAAAUUUUGUUAAUUCUUCAUUGAAGGGAUUUAUUCUCUGUGAUCUCAAGAAUUGUAAUAAUCAAUAUCUUAAUAAAAGUUUAUUAUCAGCCAUGGAUACAGGUACUAUGGUACCAAACCACGUAAUAUUACAAUGUUCUUUUUCUCUACUUUUUUAGUUUCUUUGUCAUCUAUGUUCUUUGUUCUUUGAUCUAGUGUCAUUAAUUCUUUGUGCCAUUAAUUGGAUUGGUUAAUUGGCUAGUUUGAUUAAGAGCCGAAAGAGAAGAAAAGGCCUUGAUUUAUAGCAAAUUGGUAUCAGAGCCUUGGAGCUCUUUGCUCUUGAUCUUCAAAUGGAAAAGUAUCAGAUUUGAUCUCAAAAAAUUCAAUGGUGAAAAUAAUUUCUACUUGUGGAGUCUCAAAAUGCGCGCAAUUCUAUUUCAAGAAGGGCUUGAUAGUGCUCUUGAUGAUGAUGAAUAUCCAAAGGAUAAGAAAGAGAAUGAAGAAGGUUCAUCAAGUUCCGGAAGAGACAUGGGGUCCAUUAACAAUAAGGCUCACAACAGCAUCAUCUUACAUCUUUCAAGUGAAGUACUGAGAGAAAUGGGAAAAGAAGAGACUACUUCUGGUCUAUGAGCAAAACUUGAAGAGUUAUUCUUGAAGAAAUCUUUGGCUAAGAGGCUCUGUAUAAAGAGGAAGUUGUACACAUUUUCAAUAAAGGAGGGGACAACUAUGAAAGAUCAUUCGGAUGAGUUCAACAAGCUGAUAUUGGAUCUUAAGAAUGUUAACAUUGUUCUUGAAAAUGAGGAUAAAAUUCUUAUCUUGCUAAGCUCACUCCUAUAUUCAUAUAAGCAUUUUGUGGGUACUUUGUUGUAUGGAAGACAAUCACUCACUUUGAAGAAUGUGAAAAAUGCAUUGGAAUCUAAAGAUUUAAAAAAAAGAACAGAAAUAAAGGAUCAAAAUCUUGGAUAGGGCCAUAGUUGUCAGAUUCAAAUUAGAGAAGAAAGCCAAUAAAGAGAAAAAGAAUAAUAAUAAAAGGGAUAAAGUUGAUAACAAGAAGAAACAAAAUGCUACUUAUGUCAUAAAGAAAGACAUUAUAUUAAGGAUUGCUUUGAGAAGAAAAAGCUUAAGAGGCUGUAAAAUGAACCAAAUGGGAAGGUUGCCAUUGUAUUUGAAGAUGAGGGAGAUUUAGAAGGAGCAGAUGUCGUUAUUACACUGAAAAAUAACUUACUAGUGAGUGGAUACUGGACACUGUAUGUUUUUUUUUUUCAUAUGUGCCUAAAUAGAGAUUUGUUCAAGACCUUUGAAAGCAUUGAUGGGGGCAAAGUCUUGCUUGGAAACAAUCUUACUUGUAAGGUUAUUGGAAUUAGAACCAUUAGUAUCAAGAUGUUUGAUGGGGUAACUAAAGAUCUAAAAGCAGUGAGAUUGAAAACUUUUUGUAUUUCUCUAUAUCGUAAAAGGUUACACAGAUUCCUCUUAUAGAGAAGAAUACAUAAAAUCAGGAAACUGACAAUAAAUUAGCUAUCUAGUUGUACUAGCUAUUUCCUAAUUUACACUAUUGACUUAUUCUUAUUUACAGCUAACAAUCCUCUCUAACUACAAAUAUUUUUUUCCUUUUCUACACUCCCCCUGAAGUUGGUUUGAAGAUAUCCUCCAUAGCCAGCUUGCCAAUUAGCUCGUUGAAUUGCCGAGUAGGCAGCCCCUUAGUAAGUACAUCUGCAACUUACUGAGUAGUGGGAAUGUAAGGCAUACAGAUUAACCCUUUCUCAAGUAUUUCCUUGAUGAAAUGUCAUCUUUAUUGUCACAAUACACUUUCAUAGGUAGUGAAUUAGAAACUUUCAAUUCUUUUAAAAGUCUCUUAAUCCACAACACCUCAUAAAUCUCAUAAGUAGUUGAUCUAAACUAAGUUUCUACGCUGCUUCUUGCCACCACAUUUUGCUUUUUACUUCGCCAUGUAAAACGUUUGCCACUAAUAAACGUGCAAUAGCCAGAAGUUGAUAGUUUAUCAACAGCACUUCCAACCCAAUCCGCAUCAGUGUAGGCUUCAACUUGUAAGCGCCCACGAUUCUUGAAUAACAAACCUCUUACAGAAGUCCUCUUCAAAUACCUGAGAAUUCUAUAGACUGCAUUGAAGUGUUCUUGUCUAGGGGAAGGCAUAAAUUGGCUAACUAUGCUCACUGCAAACGCUAUAUCUAGACGAGUAUGCGAUAAGUAAAUCAGUCUUCCAACAAGUCUCUGGUAUUGUUCUAUGUCUAGGACUUCUUCAGGUUUAAGAGGCUAUAAUUUGAGGUUGAGCUCAAUAGGUGUUUCUGUUGGUUUACACUCUAGCAAGCCCGUUUCAUUAAGCAAAUCAAGGACAUAUUUACGUUGAUUAAAAAAUAUACCUUUUUUGGAUCUAGCAAACUUCAUUCUAAAAAAGUAUUUCAAUGUCCCUAAAUCCUUGAUCUCGAAGUCAGCUGCAAGUCUCUUUUUCACAUUUUCUAGUUCUUCAUUGUUAUGAUAUGUCAUGACUAUAUCAUCCAUAUAAACAAUUAGUGUAGCAAUUCUACCUUCUCUACUAUGUUUAUAGAACAUAGUAUGAUUAGCUAGGCUUUGACAAUACCCACAAUUCUUUACAGAUUUCCUAAAUCUCUCAAACCAAGUUCUAAGGGAUCGCUUGAGGCCAUACAACGACUUCUUUAGUCUACAGACUUUCUUUGAUCCCAAAUUCUUCUCAAAACUGGGUGGUAGACUCAUAAAAACCUCUUCCUUAAGAUCACCAUUCAAAAGGCAUUUUUUACAUCCAAUUGGUAUAAUGGCCAGUUCAUAUUUACAACCAAAGAUAAUAGAAUUCUAAUUGAGUUUAUCUUCGCUAUCGGAGAAAAGGUCUCCUGAUAAUCAAUCUCAUAGGUUUAAGUGAAUCUCUUAGCUACUAAUCUUGCCUUAUACAUUUCUAUGCUACCAUUUGCUUUAUACUUCACAGUAAAGACAUACUUGCAACCUACAAUCUUCUUCUCUUUAGGCAAGUCAACUAUCUCCCAAGUACCAUUUCUCCUAAGAGCAUUCAUCUCUUAUAUCACUGCCAAUUUCCAAUUUGGAUCACCAAGAGCUUCUUGAAUGUUUCUUGGGAUUAAAAAAAUGUGAGAUUUUUUAAGUAAAUGCCCUAUAAGUGUGAGAAAGUUUGUCAUAAGAAAGAUAUUGAGCAAUGGGAUAUCUAGGAUUCUUAGUGAGAUUUCGAAUUCCUUUUCUAAUAGCAACAAGAAUAUUAAGGGCUGAUGAUUCCUUGCUAGGGAAAAUGAUGGGAAUUGAAGAUGAGUUAGGAUUGAAAAUACCUGUGAUAUUUGCAGGUCCAAUCCCCGAGGGUUGUGAUUGCUCGUUACCAAGAGUAACUGGUUGCCUUUGACUUUUUUGAUGAUGUUUUCUCCGAGUAUAAACCAAAAGCUCAAUGUUAGAAUCAUUUUGAUCCGGCAGUAGUAGUGAUUCUCCCCCUGUUUCAGAUACAAUAAUGUUUGGCAUUAUAUUGCCAGAACUUCCCUAAUUGUUCUCAGUGUUUUUAUCAUCACAUUGUUCCUAACUUUGAAGGUCGGGAAUGGUAGGAUGAGAGGAAUGAGGUAUAGUAGUAAAAAAUACUUUUGGUAAAGAGUUAGGAGAUAUAUCCCAAAAAGUUUAUUCCAUUACCUCAUACUCCCCCUGAAGAGAAUUUUUGUGAAAGUAGGAUUUAUUUUCAAAACACGAGAUAUCCAUACUCACAUAAAUUUUCCUUGUUUGGGGAUUAUAGCACUCAUAUCCCUUUUAUUGGAGGCAUGCCCGAUGAACACAUAGUUUUAUGCCCUUGGAUCAAGUUUGGACUGAGUGUUAUUAGGUAUACGAACAAAGACAAUACAACCAAAAACUUUAUAGGUAAAUCUUAAUACAUUCUAGAUAGGGGAAAGCAUUUUUUUAAAACAUUCUAGAGGUAUAUUAUAUUUUAAAACACAUGUAGGCAUCUUAUUAAUUAAAUAAGUUGCUAUUAAAAUAACUUCUCCCCAAAGAUAUUUUGGAACAUUCAUCGAAAGCAUUAUAACACUUGUUACUUCAAAUAAAUGUUUAUUUUUUCUUUUAGCAAUCCUAUUUUGCUGAGGAGUAUCUACACAAGUAGACUGGUGAUAAAUACCUUUUUCUUUCAAUUUUUUUUCCAAAAUACCUUUAUAGUACUCGGUUCCAUUAUCAUUGUGAAGAACUCUAAUUUUCUUUUGAAAUUGAGUUUCAACUAUUGUGUAAAAGUCUUUAAAAAAAUUUCCAACUUUAGAUUUUUCACUCAUUAAGUAAACCCAAUAUAGACGGGUGUGAUCAUUUAUGAAUGUGACAAACCAUUUUUUCUUUGAAAUAGUAGUAACUCUUGAAGGUCCCCAAACAUCACUACAUAUUAAAUAAAAUGGUUUUGAAGGAAUAUAAGGUUUUGGCAGAUAAGUAGUACAAUGAAUCUUUGACAUACAACAACUUUCACAAUAAAAUGAUGAAAAAUCCAAACCCUUAAAUAAAGUAGGAAACAAAUGUUUAAGAUAUGGAAAGCUAGAAUGUCCCAAUCUUAAAUGCCAAAGCAUUAUUUGUUCAUAAAUAGAGUUAGAACUAACACUACUAAGGCCCUAAGCCUUUUUAUUCCUAGAGAAAUCAUCAUCAAAGUAGUAAAGGCCACCAAUCAAUUUAGCACUGCCAAUCUUCUUCCCUGAGGUUUGGUCCUAAAAUUCAAAGUAAGAAUCACAAAAAAUCACUCGGCAAUUAGAAUCUUUAGUUAUUUUACUCACGGUUAAAAGAUUACAAGCUAACUUGGGAACAUGAAGAAUAGAAUUAAGGUUUAAUUUUUUGGAUAAUUUAAUCAAACAUUUCCCUACUAUUGGUGAGAAAGUACUAUCUGCAAUUCUUAUUUUGUCAAGACCAUAACAUGGUGAGUAGGUGCAAAACAAAUUUGAAAGGUUGGUCAUAUGAUCAAAAGCUCUUGAAUUUAUGAUCUAAUGAGCAUAAUUUGAACAUAAAGAAAGAGCAUUGGGUGUGCUACCUGUUUAUGCAAGAGAAACAGUAGGAAUACUACUUGGUGAGUAAUUGGGUUUUAUCAACUGCAUACGGUAAUCCAUCUGCUCCUUGGCGAAAGGGCCUGUCUCAGCUUCAUUUGCAGUACAAAUCAACUAGAUAUUUUUAUCACCAGGCUUGCUGCUCUUUCAAUUUACUGGUUUUUCGUGGAUUUUCCAGCAUGUUUCUCAGGUAUGACAGUGUUUGUUGCAAUAGUCACACCAUACCCGUAGCUUCUCUACAGUUUUAUGUUGAAAUCUGGCUAUUUUGUUAAAAACAGCCAAUGCACUAAAAAGGGCAGAACUUUCAGUAGGCCCGUCAGUUGUCUUCUUUCGUAGCAUUAUAUGUAUACGGCUUUCUUCUCUUCGAACCUCAAUAAACACCUCGCCAAUUGGAGCAAGUGGCUUUCUGCCAAUGAUCCGCCCCCGAACCUCAUCAAACUCAACGUUGACUCCUGCAAGAAAUUAGUAAAUACGAGAAGCCUCAACAAUAUUGUUGUAAUAUUUGGCAUCUUCUGUGGAUUUCAUUUCAUAAUCAUUGAACAUAUCUAAAUCUUGCUGAACGGAUUGAGACUACCUUAAAUAAUUAUCACCAUUAAGGCAAAUAAUGGUAAUUUGAAUUAGAUGAGUAUCAGUAUUGGGAGUUUGGGUUUGUGUUAGAGAAUUGGUUGAAGCAGAUAUAAUCGGUUGAUUAUGAUGGCUCUAAUACCAUGAAAACUUUUUUUAUUUCUCUAUAUUGUAAAAUGUUACACAGAUUCCUCUUAUAGAGGAGAAUACAUAAAAUUAGGAAACUGAAAAAAAAAAAAUUAGCUAUCUAACUGUACUAACUAUUUCCUAAUUUACACCAUUGACUUAUUCUUAUUUACAGCUAACAAUCCUCUCUAAUUGCAAAUAUUUCUUCCAUUUUCUACAGAGAUAUAUGCCAGACCUUACAAGAAAUCGCAUGUAUCUAUGGAUGAUUGAUCAAUUGGGCUGUAGCAUUAAGGUAGAAUAUGGUCAAAUACAGGUUAUAGAUAAGGGUAUGAAGGGAAUUAGAAGGAAUAGUUUGUGUGUUUUGGUUGGGUUAUUACCUCAGCUAGGGAUAAAUGCUAGUGUAAGUAGUGACAAAACCAAACUUUGGCAUAAUAAGAUAGAACAUAUAAGUGAAAAAGGUUUGAAAAAACUAAGAAAGUAAGAGUUAUUUGGUCAUAAUCAAAUUUCCUCACUAGAGACAGAAGUUCAGGACAGGAAGACAUGAAACAAAGAGACAUUGGAUUAUGUUCAUUCAGGUUCCAUCUCAUGGUAGAGCUAGGUACUUUAUUACCUUAAUGGAUGACUUCUCAAGGAAUCUUUGGGUUUAUGUGUUGAAACAUAAAAGUGAAGCCCUAAAGAAAUUCAAGGAAUGGACAGCCCUAAUGAAGAACCAAAUUGGAAGAAAAGUGAAGAGAUAAAGAACAGACAAUGGCCUGGAGUACUGCAACAGUGAGUUUGAUGAGUUUUGUAAAAAGCAUGGCGUUAUAAGGCAUAAGACAGUAAGGCAUACACCACAACAAAAUGGCCUUGUUGAAAGAAUGAACAGAACCUUAAUUGAGAAGGUCAGAUAAUAUUAUUUCUCUAACCAUUUUUGGGCUGAAGCAAUCUCUAUUGCUGCAUACCUUAUCAAUAAAAAUCCCUCAUCAACUUUGGACUUUAAAACUCCACAAGAAGUCUGGUCUAGCAAACCACUUGAUCUAAGUAACCUAAGAAUCUUUUGUUGCCCAGCUUAUGCACAUAUGAGUUUGGGAAAGCUAAAACCAAGGGUUGUUAAAGGUUAUUUUAUAGGAUAUUCUGAAGGAAUUAAAGGAUAUAAGAUUUAAAGUAUUGAUAGGAAGCCUAUUAGAACCUUUAUCAGUAUAGAUGUUGUGUUUAAUGAGGAGGAAUUGAUACAAACAAAAGUUGAAACAUAGAUCUUUACUAAUUUUAAAGGAGAUUCACAUCUGAUGGUGGAGUCAGAUGUGCACAAACAUUCAGAAUUAGAAGGAUAUCAUCUUGUAAGAAAUAGAGAAAGAAGAGUUACUGCAAGGCCUAAAAGAUAUGGUAUUGUUGUUUUAAUUUCAUAUGCAUUUAUGGUUAUUGAUUAUGUAAGUGGUUGAGAACUUAUCAGCUACAAAAAGGCCAUGAGUAGUAAGGAGAAGUCAAAAUGGCUUUGUAGCAAUGAAAGAAAAAUUGCCUUUUUCUAGAAAAAUAAUACGUAGAACCUAGUUGACAAGCCUUUAAACAAGAAAUUGGCUAGCUAUAAAUGGGAUUUCAAGCUCAGAAAGUGAUCAUGGGCAACCUAGAUAUAAGGCUAGACUUGUAGAAAAAAGGUUUACACAAAGGGGAGGAAGCAUUUUCACCAAUAGUUAAACAUAGCUCUAUAAGGGUUUUGUUGGCUAUCACUGCAUUCUUAUAUCUAGAAUUAGAUCAAAUGGAUGUCAAAAUAGCCUUUUUGCAUGGCAACUUAGAUGAAGAAAUUCUAAUGGACUAACCAGAAGGAUUCAUUAAAGAAGGAACUAAAGAUAUGGUUUGCUUAUUACAUGGCUCGAAGCAAUCCUUAAGACUAUAGUAUUUAAGGUUCAAUGAAUUUAUGAUCACUCAUGGAUACUUCAGAAGUCAAUAUGACAGUUAUGUGUACUGUAAACUCUGCCUAUUAAAGAUACUAUCUAUCUUCUUCUAUAUGUUGAUGACAUACUUAUUGCAUAUAAACAAAGAGAAUAAAUAUAGAGGCUUAAAGAUGAACUAAGUUCUGAGUUUAAUAUAAAGAUCUUAGGCCCUACAACAACGAUUUUAGGAAUGCAGAUCAUAAGAGAAGGAGGUGAAAAAACUUUGUUCCUUUUCACAAGCUGAUUAUGUCAGAAAAGUGCUUAACAUAUUUGGUAUGCUUAGUUCUAAACUUGUUACUAUACCUUGUUGCACAUUUCAAACUGUCUAAACAACAAGAACCAACUGAAGGAGAAAAUGUUGAACACAUGAUGAAAAUACCUUAUUCUAGUGUAAUGGGGAGCAUCGUGUAUGAUAUGGUUGUUUUAGACCCGAUGUUUGCAUAUGGAAUAGGAGUUUUCAGCAGGUUUAUAAGAAAUCCAGGGAAAGAACAUUGAGAGGCUGUUAAGUGGAUACUUAGAUACCUUAAUGGUACAACUAAUAAUGGUAUUUUAUUUAGAGGAAUUAAUAAUACACAAGUAAAUCCUUAGGCUAUGUGGACUCAGAUUUUGCUGGCAACUUGGACAAAAGAAGGUCAGUUACUGGAUUUGUCUUCACAUUGUAUGGAGGUGCAAUGAGUUGGAAAGAAUCACUGUAAUUAGUUGUUGCUUUAUCGAGAACUGAAGUUGAAUAUGUUGCACUCAUAGAGGCUACAAAGGAAACAAAAUGGCUCAUAGGCUUGGCAUCAGAAUUAGGAUUGAGGCAAGAGUCGAUUUCCAUUAGUUGUGAUAGUUCUAAUGCAAUACAAUUGAGCAAAAACCCAAAAGAACAUGAAAGAACAAAGCAUAUUGAUGUUAGGCUACAUUUUAUCAUAGAAGAAAUUGGUUCUGGUGUGGUGAAUAUUAUCAAAAUCCCCUUAGUAAUCAAUCCUACUGAUAUUCUAACAAAACCUUUGCCUAUAGUCAAGUUCAUGGGCUCUUUGAACUUAAUUAGGGUUGUUAGCUUGUAAAUCAAGCUAUGUGUUGCUGCUACAGAGUUCGGGUGAAGCUUGAAAAUAAUAUAAAUGAAGAGGAGAUUUGUGAAUUGGGUUAGUUAUAUUCUAUUAAGUUAGUUGUUGAGGUGGCUUGAUGAGCUGCUGUAUGGGACCCUUGUAGUUAAGUUGUUACUCGGCCCUACAAGCUUCUGGAAUUAAAUAUAGAAGAAAGCAACGCUGGCUGGUGCAACACCCGGAGAAAAGAUCUUGACUAGCUUUGAGAUAGAUUUUGUUAAUUCUUCAUUGAAGGGAUUUGUUCUCUGUGAUCUCAAGAAUUGUUCUAAUCAAUAUCUUAAUAAAAACUUCAAGUCCAAAGGGGUAUUAUCAGCCGUGGAUGUAAAUACUUUUGUAGCAAACCACGUAAUAUUGCAGUGUUCUUUUUCUCUGCUUUCUUAGUUUCAUUGCCGUCUUUAUUCUUUGUUCUUUGAUCUAGUGUCAUUAAUUCUUUGUGCCAUUAAUUAGAUUGGCUAAUUGGCUAGUCUGAUAAAGAAUCGAAAGAGAAGAAAAGGCCUUGAUUUCAUAACAAGUAUUAUGUCCAUUAAGGCUUCAAGUCAAUUAUUUUCUUAAACAAUUUAAGAGAAACUUUAAUUGCUUCAGUCUUCACUCUUCAACGUGUAUGAGUCUCUAUGAUAAGAGUUUUCUCCAAAUUCAAAUCCAACUUUAGCACCCAAAUUUUUGGCCUAAAUGGAAAAAAAAAAUUAAAGGUUUUACGUACUGGAUACUGAGGUACACACUGCACAUAUUAAUGUAAAAACUAAAAAGUUAACAUAUAUAUCAAAGGCUUUAUGAAAUGGAUAAGAGUCAUGACAUUUUGAUGUAAAAAUUAACAUAUCAAAGGCCUUAUGAACUGGAUAAGAGUCGAUCAUUUACCCCUAUUGGGGACUGAUACAAAGUUAUUCCAGUUGGCGCACAAUGUCUUGCAAAGCAAGCAAACGUUCCCCUCACUAGAUGUAAUUGAACAAACAAUAAUCACAAUAUUUUUUUUUUGGAAAAGUAAUUAAUUCAUUGAUUAGUACCAAAAAAAUCAUUGAAAUUUAAUCAAAUUAUACGGAGUUGCAUACCAUUUUUGCUCUUUGUUAAGAAUUGAUGGUUUCUUAAUAAGAUUAUAAUUGAAAGAAUUAGAAAUGGAAUGAGGAAGAUCUUUUGGGGGUAAAUUGAUUGAAGAAUGAAUGGAGAAUUUGUUUCAGCGGGAAAGAAAUCAGAAAGUAUUUGAGAUGGAAUUAAGAAGAUUUUUGUGGGUAAAUUGAUUAGAGAAUUGUCAAAGCCGGUGGCCACAAGGCAAGUUCAAGUUGGCUUUGACAAGCCGGCCAAAGAAAAUGUUAAAAGUUUUGGUAUCGUCCAAAGAAAAGGAAGAAGAAGUUGGCAACAACAUUUGAAACAUAUACAUAUCUAUAUUAAUUUAAUAGCCAUUUUUUGGCUAUAAAAGGGAGAGCUCCCUAAUUCAUUUGCGUCCAAUUCCAUUUUCAGAGAGCAAUUUAGGGAGUUGAGAGAGAGUUCAAGAGCUUGCAUUUAUAAGCUCUUGUUACAGUGAUUGAGAAAGUUUGGGUGUAUUGGGGUUUUGGGUAGUGAGCUAAAAUACUACAAUACUUGUAACUCCUUUUCACUAGUAAAAUAUUUCCUUCUGUUUUCGCCCGUGGAUGUAGGCUAAAAGCCGAACCACGUAAUUUCUGGUGUCCUCUAGUGUGCUUGUUCUUUAUUUUCUUCCAAUUUUAUUUUAGCUGCGUGUCUGCUUCACCCACCAAUUUCCUAACAGUGGUAUCAGAGCUAUUGGUUGUAUUUUUUGGAGUCAGGAACUGUUCACGUAAGGGGUACUAUUCACGUAUACGGCACUAUAUACGUAUACGAUACUAUUUCACGUAUACGGUACUGUUCACGUAUAUGGUUUUGUUUACAUAUACGGUACUGUUUACGUAUACGGUACUAUUCACAUAUACGGUACUAUUCACGUGAAACGGUGGAAGCGAUCCAAGAAUUUUGCGGUGCAAAGCAGGGAAUAGUGGUGUGAGUAAAGCAACUGUGUGGUUUUGUACAUGUCUAGGAAAGUUCUGUCACAAAGGCGAUAAGAGCUUAAGGAGUCUGGGUUUUAAGUAGAACCCUUGUGACCCCUUCAGUCUUUCCUGGGAACUUUCCUGGUGUGCAUUCUCACACAUACUCACAACUAUUCAAGGUGGUAUACUAGCUUGUGUGCAGUAUUUAUCAACAAAAUGGCGGCAAAGUAUGAAAUUGAGAAAUUUAACGGAAAUAAUUUUUCGUUGUGGAAAAUGAAGAUGAAAGCUAUAUUGAGGAAAAAUAAUUGCUUGGCAGCAAUUAGAGAAAGGCCCAUGGAGAUAACUGAUGACAAGUGGAACGAGAUAGAUGGCAACGCCAUUUCUGAUCUACACUUGGCACUUGCAGAUGGAGUAUUAUCCAGUGUGGCAGAGAAAAAUACAGCGAAGGAAAUAUGGGAUACUCUCACAAAAUUGUACGAGGCCAAGUCACUACACAACAAAAUCUUCUUGAAGAGGAAACUCUAUACUCUUCGAAUGGCGGAAUCUACAAUGGUGACCGAUCACAUCAACACCUUGAAGACUCUAUUUUCACAACUCACAACGUUGAGUCAUAAUAUAAAGGAAAAUGAACGUGCAGAGCUUUUACUUCAAAGUCUACCAGAUUCGUAUGAUCAACUCAUCAUCAACCUGACGAACAACAAUCCAGUGGACAGUAUAGUUUUCGACGAUGUUGCAGCCUCCGUAUUAAAUGAGGAGAGCAGGCGGAAAAAUAAGGAAAACAGACAAGCAAGUUCGCAGCAAGCGGAGGCGCUAUCGGUGACGAGAGAGAGAUCAACGGAACGUGGCUCCAGUGGGAGUCAAAAUCAUGGUAGAUCAAAAUCUAGAAGUAAGAAGAAUGUUAAAUGCUACAACUGUGGCAAGAAAGGGCACGUCAAGAAAGAGUGUUGGAGUAACCAGAUGAGAAAAGAGGGCAAAGAACCUGAGUCAUCAAAUGCUCAGGGGUGUGUAGCAAGUACCUCGGAUGAUGGCGAAAUUCUCUAUAGCGAGGCAACAACUGUUUCAGAAGGCAGAAAACGACUAUCUGAUGUCUGGCUUAUAGACUUAGGAGCUACCUGGCACAUGACCUCUCGGAGAGAAUGGUUCCAAUUCCAUUUUCAGAGAGCAAUUUAGGGAGUUGAGAGAGAGUUCAAGAGCUUGCAUUUAUAAGCUCUUGUUACAGUGAUUGAGAGAGUUUGGGUGUAUUGGGGUUUUGGGUAGUGAGCUAAAAUACUACAAUACUUGUAACUCCUUUUCACUAGUAAAAUAUUUCCUUCUAUUUUCGCCCGUGGAUGUAGGCUAAAAGCCGAACCACGUAAUUUCUGGUGUCCUCUAGUGUGCUUGUUCUUUAUUUUCUUCUAAUUUUAUUUUAGCUGCGUGUCUGCUUCACCCACCAAUUUCCUAACAGUGGUAUCAGAGUAAAAAAGCAAAAUUUGGAAACUCGGAUACUUGGAAAUCAAGUAACGUCUGUGAAGUCGGAUAUUAGGAGAAUUAUACAGGCCGUUUGAUAUCUAAUUUGAACGGUUUAGGAAAUUGGGUGGAUAUUCUCUUGCGUGCAUAUUAAUUUUAUUAAUGAAGAGUGAUUCGUUCAAUUGACGAGUAGAAUUUUAAGCAUUGUUAUAUGAUGGUGUUACGCAUUAUUUAGUACAAGUUUAACUAAUUGCAACUUAAAAAUUAUAGCACUAAAUUAUUUGUUAAACACUAGCUGCGCUGCUGUCACUUAAAAUUGAAAUUGAAUUGAUUCAACACUUUUAUGAUAAAAAAAAUUGAUUUUUUUUAAUUUUUAUCAUAUUAUUAUUAAAAAAAAUCAUGUUCGUCAUAUACUAUUAACUUUUAUUUUUAAUAAUAGCUUCUUUGACCACAAUAUGAGACUUAAAUAUUAUAGCACCUCAAUACUAAUCAAAAGCUUAGCGUUAAAUGUUUAUUCAGUGAAUUAACAUUGUGUUUGUACUACACAUCUUCUCUACAUAUAAGACAUGCCAUCCCUUAUAUUUGUAUAAUGCGGACAUGUCAUCUAUAUCAUAUGGUGGCCAAAAGUUUAGAAAAAUUUCAUAUGAGUCCUUCUAAAUAGAUUUAUCUGUAAAUUGUUGUCAAUAUUUUUUGAAAAAGACAUUUGUACCCUUAAAAUUUGGGUGAUGAUAAUGUAAACCACAAUUUUUUAAUAAGGGACACUAAAACUCUUUUUUUAAUAUAAUACCCUUUAUAAAUAGCAACUAAAAAAUUGACCUUAAAAUUUUUAAUAAAUAAAAAUAUAAUUUAAAUAGUUUAAUUUUUCUAAUAGACUAAUAAUAUUAGAAUAUUUUUAAUAUAAAAAUAAUUUUAAAACUAUAAAUGAUUAUAUUUAUUUUAAUAAUGUAUUUAUAUUUAUUCUAGAAUUUUUUAAUAAAUAUCUAUGUUAAAUAAUUUUUUCUAAUAGACUAAUAAUACAAUGCUCGCAAAAUGGUAAGCUUACCGAUUUGAGCCCUAGAGGCAAUUUUCGCUCAGAGAGAAUUUUCAAAUCUUGUUUUGACAAAUGACCGAGUUCGAGAUGCCACAUCAUCGUUGAUUCUUCUCCAUUUGAUGUGACACACGCAUCAGCUUCCUGUGGUGUUUCCCCUUCAAGUACGAACAAAUUAGGACUGAUCUUUUAUGCCUUCAUCAAUACAAGCGCACCUUUAACAAUCUUCAUAAUCCCAUUUUCAACAUGGGUUUUACACCCAUGACAAUCUAUUGUCCCAAAGAUAAUAGAUUUUUCUUCAAGCCUUUGACAUGUUGUACCUCCUCAAUUGUACGAACCGUACCAUCAAACAUUUUUAUUUUGAUAGUACCAGUACCAACGAUUUCCAAGCCAUGAUCAUCUCCCAUGUAUAUAAAUCCUCCUGAGAUAGGUUCCUAUGUGUGGAACCAUUCUCUUUUAGAGGUCAUAUGCCAGGUAGCUCCUGAGUCUAUGAGCCAUACAUCAGAUAGCCAUUUUCUGCCUUCUAAAACAGUUGUUGUCUCCACUCUGCUUGUUUUUCCAACACUCUUUCUUGAAAUGUCCUUUCUUGCCACAAUUGUAGCAUUUGACAUUUUUCUUUUUAAUUUUGAUCUACCAUGAUUGUGACUCCUAUUGGGGCCACGUUCUGUUGAUCUUCCUCUCGUCAUCGAUAGUGCUUCUACUUGCUGCGAACUUACUUGUUUGUCUUCCUUAUUUUUCCACCUAUUCUCCUCAUUUAAUACAGAGGUUGCAACAUCCUCGAAGACUAGACUGUCCGCUGGGUUGUUGUUUGUCAGGUUGAUGAUGACUUAAUCGUAUGAAUCUGGUAGACUUUGAAGUAGAAGCUCUACACGUUCAUUUUCCUCUAUUUUAUGACCCAACGUUGAAAGUUGUGAAAAUAGAGUCUUUAAGGUGUUGAUGUGGUCGGUCACAUAUUUAAGAAGAUCUUGUUGUGCAGUGAUUUGGCCUUGCACAAUUUUGUGAGAGUAUCACAUAUUUCCUUUGCUGUCUUUUUCUUUGCCACAUUGGAUAAUACUCCAUCCGCAAGCGCCAAGUAUAGAUCAGAAAUGGUGUUGCUGUCUAUCUCGUUCCGCUUGUCAUCAAUUAACUCCAUGGACUUUUCUCCAAUUGCUAUCAAGCAUACAAUUUUUAUCUUUAUUUUCCACAACGAAAAAUUAUUUCCGUUGAAUUUCUCAAUUUCGUAUUUUACCGCCAUCGCUUUUCACCAAAAACUAACUUUGCUAGGAUCGACUCCCAUCAUUUUCAAGUGAACAAUAAUUGUAUACGUGAACAGUAAUCGUAUACGUAAAUAGUGCCGUAUACGUUAACAAUACCCCGACUCCAAAAAAAAUACAACAAGUAGCUCUGAUACCACUGUUAGGAAAUUGAUGGGUGAAACACGGCCACAACUAAAAUGAAAUUGAAAGAAAAUUUACAAGUAUUGUAAUAUUUUGUCUCACUACCCAAAACCCUCUCACUCAAUAGACUCACAAGAGCUUUGUAAUUUUAAGCUCUUAAAAUCACUCAAAAUCUCUGUUUUUUCUCUCACCAAAAUUAGAUGCCUAAAACCAAAUAAAGAGCUCCCUUUAUAUAGCCAAAAUUGGCUAUUAAAAUAUUAUUAUUAUUUUAUAACCGCCUUUAAUUUCUUCUUCUUCUAUUUUCUUCUUUCUUCUUUCUACUUCGGCGGUGCCAAACCCUUCAACAUUUGCUACUUCCAAAUUCUAUUUUUCUUUCCUUGGGUGGCACCUCCUUGGACUUCAAUUUGGGCAGCUUAUACAGCUUCUAGAUCUUCAAAAUAGGCUACUUCUGGAACCCUUUUCGUGACACAUUACCUAGUAGAUUUACUCAAUCACAAAUUGGGUGGUUACAAACUAUGUUUGAAAACCUUUAAUUAAUAAAAUUCUUAUUUAUUUUCUUUCGUAAUACGAUUUACCUAUUAUGAAAUCAUUUUCAUUAGAGCGUGAAUAAUCUCAUUACUUUGGGGUAUUAUUUGUCUUGGACUUCUUUUUUUGGUCUAUCACUAUAUUACUUACCUUGGGCUGUCUCACUAUUCUCGUGUAAUAUUAUCUGCCUUGAGUCAUUCAUUUUUGUAUUGAGGGUGAUAUUAUCUCAUCAGUUUUUAUAUUAAUUUCUAUUUUGCCGUUGUAUGAAAUUACUUAUUUUGGUGAAUUACUAUAUUAUUUCCCUUGGGCCGCCUCACCAUUUUGUUGCAUAAUCUGCCUUGGGUCAUUCAUUUUUGUAUAGAGUGGAGAUACGAUCGCAUCAGCUUUUAUAUUAAUUUCUGUUUUGCCAUUGUAUGAAAUUAUGAAAAAUGGAUAUUGAAGAGUUUCUUGCCACAAAUUGAACCUGCAUCUCUGGUAAGCAUUACUCUUGCAUUUUCGCGGAAAAGGCAGUAAGUCAAUGGCCUAAAUUCAUGGUUCAUUUCAUAUUAUGGAGUUUCUUUCUUCAGGAUGAUUUCGGCUGGAAUUCUCAUAAUUUGCUUCCAAAAAUCCACUACUGAUAGGCUUGGUGCUUGCCAUUUUUGCCUUUGCAGCUGGUAGUGGCUUGUAUGCUUGUUGGAUUAGUCAGAAAAAUCAAUUGGCAUUGGUCACAAAUUUUUUAUUCGAGCUGAGGGAUACAUACAGUAGUAGACGUCGUGUACUAUGUUCUCUUUCUCAUAUGUAUAAAUAUAGUAAGAGAUAUAUAUGGCUUUUAUAUAAUUCUCAAUAUCAUAGGCAGUAAACAUGGACUCUUGGCUUAAAGACAAUAUGAACAUGAAACCAUUUCACGUGGGUGAUCAAAUAAUAACUUUCAUUUGUUUAACUUCUUAUAGAAGUCAGAAGAGAGUGUACCUGCGACCAGUGGCGGUGCCAGAAAUUAUUUUUAGCGGGGGCUAAGUUCACAUAAUAGUUUAAUUCAAGAAAGUAAUCAACAAAUAACAUAUAUCAAAAUAAAAAUUCAUUAAAGUAUUUAAUGCAACACACUUAUAAUUGUUCUCGACAAGGUUUCAUAUAUUGAAAACGUUGAAGAAUAACCUCAUUGUCAAGACUACAAAAUACAUCAUUUUUUUAUGAAUACAACAAGGCUAUCAUUCAACCAUUGAUCUCCCAUCCGAUUUCGCAGACGGUUUUUCACAAAAUUCAUAGCUGAAAAUGCCCUUUCUACUGUAACUGCGGCAACCGGUAAAAUCAAUGCUAAUGUCACCAAUAAAUAAACUAAUGAAUAUAAUUGAUCCUUUUUAGUCUCAACCAAUUUUCUUACUAGCUCACCAAUCCCUUUCAAUCCUGAAAAUUUGUUGUCAGAACCCACAUCCAUAAUAUAAACAUCAAAUUGAGUUUCAAGUGCCACAAGAUUCAUUAGAGAAAAAUCAUUUGGAUAAAACUCAGCAAGGUGAAGUAGUUUCUGUUUAUCAAAAGCUGCAAAUGAGUCAUUGGGACAUAGACAUGCCACACAAAGAAGCAACUCAGUAUUCAUCUCAUUGAAACGAUUGCUUAAUUCUUUAAGUUGCAUGUCCAAAAUUGCAUAAAAUAAUUCAACACGAAAACGAUGCAAAUUCGUGAUCUUUUGAGCCUUGCGUUGUGAUCUUGCUUGUGAUAACUCAUAUGCAAAUCCAAGAAUAUUUUUUAUUAACAGCAGGCUAAACACAAAAUCAAAUGAUUGCAUUGACUUCGAUAACAUUGUAGCUUGAAAUCUUUGUUCAGAAUUUCCCUCAUUUGAAAUUAUCUCAAGCAUGUCAAUAAUAGAUGGAAACAUGGUGAUUAUACUCAAUAACGUACCAUAAUGUGGGCCCCAAUGUGUAUCAGCAUAUCGCUUUAAAGUAACCUCUUGAUUUAAACCUCGUCCACUUGAAAGUUCACCAUCAUUGAGUGCUUUAAUAACUGCUUGAGCAUGUUUCUCUUGAAGAAUAUCACGACGUUUUGCUGAAGCACCAACAACAUUGAUAUCACGACGUUUGCCCGCGGGGAGUCGUGAUAUCAAUGAUUGCAUUCACCGUCCACAAGUUUCUCUUAUACACUUCAAUUAAUUUCAUAGCAUUCACAAUGUCUUGAUCCUUUUUUUUGUAAUGCUUGUGAUAACUCAUGUGCAAAUCCAAGAAUAAUAUUUUUCAUUAACAGCAGGCUAAACACAAAAUCAAAUGAUUGCAUUGACUUCGAUAACAUUGUAGCUUGAAAUCUUUGUUCAUAAUUUCCCUCAUUUGAAAUUGUCUCAAGCAUGUCAAUAAUAGAUGGAAACAUGGUGAUUAUACUCAAUAACGUACCAUAAUGUGAGCCCCAACGUGUAUCAGCAAAUCGCUUUAAAGUAACCUCUUGAUUUAAACCUUGUCCACUUGAAAGUUCACCAUCAUUGAGUGCUUUAAUAACUGCUUGAGCAUGUUUCUCUUGAAGAAUAUCACGACGUUUUGCUGAAGCACCAACAACAUUGAUAUCACGACGUUUUGCUGACGCACCAACAACAUUGACUAACAUUGUGACUAAAUUGAAAAGAGAAUUAAUUAUGAGAAUUUAAAGAGAAACUGAAAAACAAUUUCCAUGUCAAAAUGUAAAAAAAUACAAAAAUACAAAAUAUUAAUUUAAUAAACUAACUACCCAAUUAAAUCCUCAACCACUAAAUUACUAAUCCAUCAUAGCAUCACGCCAUCACCAAUGCCAUUGUUAUUCUAUUGUUAAUAAUCAGUAAAGUUAAAAGCAUCGCCACUUUAUCAAGAAGCAUCGCCACUUUAUCAAGAAACAUGCCACAAUCAUUCUAUUCAAUAAGCAUAAAAAAAUUCAAGAAUUAUAAUAUUAAAUUAUAAAGUGACAAAGAUGUUUAAUUAUCAAAAUAAUUUAAUCAAUUCUUAAUAAUUAAUCUAAAAGCUGCAAAGGUAUGACGGUAGUACCUGAAAAAAUACAAAAAUGCAGACCAUGCGGUGGUGUAGGGCUCCAAGUGCGAGCUGCAAGUUGUAGCAUUUAUGGCAUGAAAACUAAGAGGUAUGAUGGCAUGAGAGUUUGAUAGAGAUAGAUGACAGGCUGAUCACUGAUGGUAGCUGAUGGAGUUUUUCUUUGGCAAAGGAUCGAUGGUGGUGGUUAGGGAUUUGAUUUUGAGUUUUUUUUUUUAAUUUCUAAUCGUUGUUUUAAAUUUUGGUCUUUUAGUUAUUUCAAAAAUAUUUCAGGGAUUUUAUUGUAAAUUCAAUAAAAAAAGAUAAAUUUAAUUUUUUUUAAAUUCUAGGGGGCAUCAGCCCCAACUCUCAAGUGGCGCCGCCUCUGCCUGCGACAUCAACCGUAUCAAGCGAAGAUAUUGGACAUUUAAUAAUGAAAAAAUUAGGAAUUUUCAUGGACACAUCAGUAGGUUUCGUAAAUAUGUAGAAUCAACUGAUUCUAGGUACCUUACAAUGUGACUUUUUUUUUUUCCCGUGAAGAUAAGGACUAUUUUUUAGGAUACUGGCCGUUGAGGCUUUGUUUGUAUUUUUGCAAGAAAAUGGAAAAGGGUGGGCUAAAGCGCAAAAAAUAAAGCUAACAGCUGCUAAAUUUAAUUUUUUUAAGAGUGUUUUAAUGUGGAAUUUGAUUUGGGAACUUUUUUGUAGUUAUUGAAACAGCCACACAGGGUAACAAUUGGGGCAUUCUUUCAUAAAUUGGACAUUAAUAGUACCGAGUACGAAUGAGGAUGGUUAAAUGCCUAAUCACCCUAUUAAUCUUACAGUCCAAAAAAGCAAAAGCAAUAGCAUUACAAAUAGUAUAACUAUCAAAUUGAUUCACUCUGUCUAAACGACAGGUCAUCUGAUUACUAAAUUAUUUGAUGCAACGACUGAUUUAGAAUUUUAAUGUAGAGGGAGCUGAUGGGGAAAAAUAAGGUUUUUAAAUUUUUAUAAAACUUUUUGAAGAUCGCUCUCAUAUAAUAUACAAGAAUUUGUAAUCUAGAAAUCGUACCUUAAAAAUCCGAGUUGGCUUUUUCCGCUGAAGUGAUUUAGGCUCCUAGAUCACGAUCCGCCACCACCACGCUUGUUAGAUCACGAACCGUCACCACCACGCUUGUUAGAUCACGAACUGUCACCAAUGAUCUUCCAGGUUAUGACUCAGGUUCGAUCUGCACUUGACGUGUGGGCGCCUUUAUCACUACCAAAGCAACUAGCACGAGAAAAUUUUUCUCUCAACAAUAGAGAGAAAAAUCUUAUUCUCCGAUCUGUAUUAAGUGGCUUCUCUCUUUUUCUUUUGAGAAAAUAAGCAUUUUAUAUCUCCAUUUAGUGAAACCCUAGGCUCCAAAUAAUCAAAACACCAAACUCACGUUACUUGUUUUUUUCUAUAGGGGACCCACCAUGUAAAAUAACAUAAGGCCCCUUACACAUAAGCUAAUUAAAUAGAGCCUCCCACUAAAUGAUAUAAUUAGGCUUUUGACCCAAAUAGCUAGUUAUCUUACUUAUUAACCCAGUAGUGGUGCAGUCAAUUAAAUGAGCUAACCCGAGGAUCAUUUGGGAACAUACAAUAGUGGCUACAAUAAUUAGGCAUGUAAUUAAACUAGCCCAAUUAUUUAAUUCCAAAUCUACUCUACUAAAAGAUUGAAACUGACUUCCAAAUCUACUCUACUAAAAGAUUGAAAAUGACUUCCAUAAUUGUAUGCUCGAAUAAUAAUUCGUCCCAAGCCACAUUGAUUUCUUUACUGCACAAUCCUUUGUACCACAUCGUUAAUUAAAUUGAUAUCUCAACUGUCCAAUCAAUUUAAUAACAUCUUAUUCCUUGAUCCUUACUGGUUUUCUCUAAUGAUCAUUUUCAACAUACUAAAUAUGUUGACACACUCUGGCCAGAGAAUUCUAUGAUCAAGUGCCGAAAACCCAUCAAGAGAUGUGUUGUACAAAUUCUAUAUUGUUAAUCUAUAACUCCAAUACUCAUAAAUGCUCCCACCAAGAUACCGGGUAAUCUAGACUACAAGUAUGUGUCGUGUCCAUUGGUAACUCAAAUGGAAUAACAAUUACAAUCAUGAAAUCAUAAUUAACUCAAGAUUAAGAUUACAGUAAAAUCAAUGCCUGUGAGAUUUAAUAAGUCUGACAGCUAUUACAAAGUUAAUUAAAUCUCAUGUGUGAUCCUGUUCAAUAUAGUCGUACUACAUCAAUAAAUUCAUACAUGAUUAAGACAAAUCAUUCAAUGAAUUUAUUACAGUCUAUACCUAAAUAAAGUGCCCAACUUUAUUUAUCAACUGUGAACUAAAUUUAUUUAAUCAUAAGAUAACUUGUAUUUAUGUCUUCUGUGAAUCCACAUGGUGAUCACAUAAAUACAUAUAAUAUGAUUAAAUAGACUUUAAUACAAAUAUUAAUGCAAUUAAGAUAUUUGAAUAAAAUACAUCAUUAAUUUUAUUAAUCAGAAAAAAUGUUUAUUACAAUUAAAUAAACACAUAUGCUUUUAAAGAGCAUAUUUUCCCAACAGGAGCAUGGUAAAAAUACUAUGAUUCACAGUAGCGUGUUCGAUGGUGCGAGUGAUCAACAACAGCAACAAACAAGUGAGGCAAUGAUGAUGUAUAUGUUGGAAAUAUAAAUUCAUAUUGUUUUUUGAAAGUACACAAUAUGAAUAGUAGCUGUUGGUACUGUUCACUUCACUAUUUACUAAUACUAUUGAUCUUACUGUUCACUCAACAACAAUUGUAAAUUCGUGAAGGCGUGUUCGAACUGUCCUUAAGACCAACUUCUGCUUCUCCAGAAAGAUUUCCCGACACAAAAAAAGAUAUAAAUAAAACGGAUUGAUCCCUAGGAUAUAAUGACGUUAUUGUGAGCUUGUACUCCAAACACAACAGUUUAGAAUAACAAAAGAAAAAUUAAUGAAAAAAUAUAAGAUAGAAGGAUAGGUUAUAAUGGCUGUGCCUUGAAGAUUUUGUAUUUUGAAAUAUCAAUAAAACUACAAGAAUAAGCUUAAAUAAUUUUAUCAAGAUUGCACUUUAAGAUGAAACACUAAUUAAUGGCCUUUCAAGACUUGAAUUGGGUUAAAUAGUUUAUGUACGAAAAUUGAAUUAUUGAAAUCCAAAUGCACUUAAAUAAAUAUUUUCCCUAUCUCCUUUUAUAUAUUGUUGGUAAUAAAUCUAAUAACUUUAUGUUGUUGUGAUUCUUAAUGUAGUUUUUUUUUUAAUCGGUAGCUGUGUACGUGUCAUUAUUAGCAAUGUGUCAUUAUUAGCAAUGUGUCAUUUUCAUUACUGUGUCAUUGUUGGCAAUGUGUCAUUUUCAUUACUGUGUCAUUGGCCAAUAAUUUUGUAACAAAACCAACAUAUAGCGGUAAAUGAAAAAUUCACAAGUGGGGGACAUACACCCGUUUAAAAUAUUGUAAAUGCAUUUUCUUCAUUCUAAGUGUGGACAUGCCAAUUUUGCAUAAUAGUCAUAUCCCAGAACAAAAGUCGCAUUAAAAUUUUAUUCAUUUAUUCAGGUUUUUUCCUGCAUUAACGAAUUCAUUGUGUAGGAUUUCAUUUUUAUGUAAACGAAUUUAGUUACGAUAAUCAACUACUAAUUUUUUUCCGUUAAUUGGCUACGUUUACGUUAAUUAACUGAUAAAUAACUUUGCAUUAGCGAAGCCAAGAGAUUCAUUUAAACCCCUAAGAUUCAAAUAUUCUUUUACUAGUACUACUGGAGAAAUUUGGCAAUCGAUAUUUCGGAAGACAUCAUUACAGAUGUCAAACAAAAGGUAAAAAUAAAAUAAAAAAUAGCUAGUCCCAUCAAAAUCACCAAAUGCAAUCCAAUAACAUGCUCCAUUAUGGAUUUACUUUCAUCAGAAUUAGCAGGAAAAAAAAAGUUCAUUUAGUUAAGCAAAGAGCAACCUUUGAUUGUUCUUUAACAUUACUAAAAAUUUAAUUCUUACUUUACUUGAUUAUAUUGCCGAAUCUUUCUGGAAAGGUAGAAGAUAAAUCCCAUUUAUUGGAAUUGUUUGUAGGACGUGUUUUGUUCAAUGUUAGUAAUUUGGCAGUUAAGAAAUGAACAGAAAAUUGUUGUAGGUAGGGCAUGCGUCUCAUGUGCUUUAAAUUUCAAAAAUUUAUAUCUUUUUGACAUGGAAACUACUCAGCAAGGCAAUGGUGACUCAACAACAUUAUAUAUAUGGAACUCUUUAGGUGAAUUGAAGAUGAGAACGAGGGAUUGCAUAAGCUACAAGAAUGAACGGUCAUUUGUAAAGUACAGCGAAUAGGGUCCAUUAGAUCAAAUCAAGUAGAGUAGAAGAAAAUGAAUUACACUUAUGGUACAAUCAGUUUCAAUUUCUUUCAUCUGUUAACCGUCUAUAAACAAGAUACAAGCACGAAGCCACCAAUGGGCUAUAAACAGAGCUUCAUUCAAGAGAGUUAAAGGUAUCCCAAGUUCUGAAAAUUGAGAGCACGUACAAGUGAGCUUUUACAGAGAUUUUUCAGAGAAUGUUUUCUUAACUAUUCUAGAGGGAUUUAUAUCGGAUUUUGAGAAUUGUUCCCAUUCAAAGCCCAACCCCAAUUCAUGAGCCUAAAUAAUAAACCAAACAAAAGAGAAUAUUCUCUCCAUUUAUCUAGAAUUAUCUUUGCUAAAAAUAUCAUGAAUAAUUGGCGCGGUGGCAGUUUUAAAAUUUGGUGAUUGCUAAGAAAUUAAUGGUAAUAAGUUUAGAAUGUCGUUAUUUGUUAGGACCUGCAUUUAAAAUCUUAAAUAUUCGUAAUUAAUUAUAAAGAUCUCGGUUCACCUGCAAGCUACAACAAUUAGCUAACUGAUAUAUGGUUUUUUUUACAAAACUAUUCAAAAAGAAAGAGUAUAAUUAAUCAAACUGAUUUGGACAGUACCACACGAUUUUUUUGUUUUAUUGACAAACCAACAUAAACAACAUAUUAACGUAAAUAACGCAUUCACAUAUAAUUAUUUUAUUUAAUUAUUAAGAAAGACGAAGUACAUGGACGGUGGACACUAAGAAAUAUAAUCUCUUGUAGAUCAAGAGAUUUUAGAAGUUGAACUGAACUAAACUGACCCUCACACAAUUAAUUAACAGGUAAUAACAAUACCCAUCCUUUUAUUAACCAUAAUAGAAAAGAGUAAUAUUGCGUGCGUGCGCUGCGCUUAUUAACCAGUGUGGUCGGGAUUUCUUCCAUAUUGAGGGACAGCAAUAAGAUCAAGAUUAUCAAUUGUCCCGUCCUUAUCAUCAGCAAUACCAACUAAAAAUGCUGGAGAACCCUCCAACCAUUCAUUCUUACCUGAAAGUUUAACAUUAGAAAAUGGAUUCGUAAAUGCUUAUAUUAAUAUAUGAAUUGUAAAUGAUAUCUAUUCAGCUGAAAUUGGCUAAAAAACCUGCGCAAGGAAAAGGAGUUUCCAUAUUCUUCAAAUCAGAAAAGAUCUCCAGGUGAAGCGUAAUCAAAACUCAAAAAUAAGUAGAGCCUGAGCGUGUUCUUAUUUCUGGUUUGAUCUGAUAUAUAUAGAUUCAAGAAGUCGACGUUGCCG
rnacentral:lncRNA from 1 species